rnacentral:lncRNA from 1 species
CGAUUCGCUCGAGUCCGAUUCACUUUCAUUUUCACCUUGUGAUGGUGGUGAUGAUGGUGGUGAUGAUGGCAGCUGUGGCUUUUCACCUUCUGCAUCUUCCUCUUCAUUCACCUUUUGUUUCUUCACCGACGGCUCACUGUAUUUCGAUUCGCUUGAUGGCGGUGGCGACUUUGGUGGUUGCAACAUCAUGUCAAAUCGACAAAGAAUCUAAGAUUUGGGUAUGCAGUAUUGCCCCAACCCCAAUAGAGCCUUCAACUAAUACUGGAUAUUAUAAAUAAUAAAAACUUUGAUAUCUUGAUGCAAAUAAAAUAAUUAAAAUACAUUGACAUAUACUUAAAUUACAUUGGUUUCUUCAGUCUAGUAAGCAGAUGAUUAGUGCUUGAUAAUAAUUUUAUAGCAACACCAAACAUAUUCACACUAAUAACUCAAAGUAGAAAGAGAAUUCAUAACCAAAAAGUUAAAAAUAAAUGGAAUUUAACUCCAAAAUAUUACUAAUUUUUUUUUUACUACUUUCUCCAUCUUAUGAUUGCAGGUUGUUUCAAUGUCUUAAUAUAAUCUUCCGAAAUCUAACAAAAGCGUCUUGAACAUAAGAAAAUACGCUCUAUUUAUUGUAAUAUUGACAUACAUUAAUAGCAAAAUUAAUCANNNNNNNNNNNNNNNNNNNNNNNNNNNNNNNNNNNNNNNNNNNNNNNNNNNNNNNNNNNNNNNNNNNNNNNNNNNNNNNNNNNNNNNNNNNNNNNNNNNNNNNNNNNNNNNNNNNNNNNNNNNNNNNNNNNNNNNNNNNNNNNNNNNNNNNNNNNNNNNNNNNNNAGGAAUGAGAUUAUUCGGGAGAAGGUGGGAGUUGCCUCGAUGGAGGAUAAGUUGCGAGAAGUGAGGCUACAUUGGUUCGGACAUGUGAUGAGGAGGGGCCUGAUGCUCCAGUACGGAGGUGUGAGACUCUGGCUAUGGAUGGUUUUAGGUGGGCUAGAGGUAUACCGAAGAAAUAUUGGAGGAAGGUGAUUAGGCAUGAUAUGGAGUAAUUACAGCUUACAGAGGACAUGACCCUUGAUAGGAAGGUGUGGAGGACGCGAAUUAGGGUAGAGGGUUAGGGAGUGGGAGCGCGGUGGUAGUAAUAGGGGAGUGCUCCUUUGGGUCUGGAGUUUCUGGUUCGUAGUAUUGGGGCUGUAGUUUUUGGGAUUAGUGGUGUUGGCUUUUUUGCAUCCCGUGUUAGUUUAUUAUGCACUUAUCUUUUGUGUUUGUUAUACUGUUAGCUUAUUUUGUGUACCAUACUAGUUUGUAUCCGCUUACUUUUUGUAUUUGUUAUACUGUUACUGGUCCUAAGCUGGUGGUCUAUCGGAAACAACCUCUCUACUUAUCUUGAGAUAGUGGUAUGGUCUUCGUACACUCUACCCUCCCCUGAUCCCACUAGGUAUGUUGUUGUUUUUGUUGAUCAUAUCUUUUAGGACUCCUUAAUUAUUAGUUCUCCUAAUAACUCUUACCAUAUUUUAGGACUCUUUAAUUUUAAAUAUUAUAAAAAUAAUUCAAGAAAAAUAGUGAAAAGAUAACUUUGUUUAAAGUAGAGACUUUUAAUGAAGGUCAAAAAGUUCAAUUCACUUUCCUAAGGGUAUUUACACUUUUAAUAUAUUAUUAUAGAUUAUAGAUUAUAGACUAGUUUAAAGUACGUGCUUUGCACGUGGAUCUCACGUCAAAUAACAUAACUAUAUAUAAGAAAAAUAAAAUCAAUUUUUUACAUAUAUUAUUCUCCAUUUUCUUUGAUUUGUCAAUAAUUUAAAGAUAUAUUUUCCUCUGUAAAUCUUCAAAGUGAAAUAUUACCAAUCUAUCAUCAAAAUUUUUACGAAUGCAUGAAAAACAAUACCUAAAUUGAAACUUAAGAGAUGUCACAAAAUAUCCUUAAACUCUAGCUUUUUCUUCAUUCUUCAAUACACAAUAAAAGUGAGACUUCACAUUAUUUCUGUGGUAAUUAAAUAUGUGAUUAUACUUGUUACCAGAAAAGUAAUACGCAGGCAACCUGAGAACGAUAUCCCUCACCUACAACUUUUUCAAACAAAGUUUGUUGCAUCGGUGUAUAUAAUCUUGAUUAAUUGUCACUAAAUACUCAAGUUAUUAUUCGAUUGUCUUUUUAGUUGUUGAGCUUCUAACUUCAGACAUGAAUACUAAUAGCAGUGGGUUAUAAGUGGAUUUCAAGCGCAUAGGCAAACUCUAGCAUUGUGAAUCAAUAUUAUAAUCAUUUAUAUUAAUAAAUCAUAAGAAAAUUUUCUUUUGAAGUUACAUUCAUAAAUUCAAGUUGAUUAAUUUGCUCUAUUCACAAAGAUUUAAACAUUAAAAAUAAAGAUAAUAGGUGGAAUCAGAUUAGAGAACAAAAUGUUACAACUUAGAGACAUGAAAGUUUAUCUAAACAAUAUAUGCAUUUUUUAAUAUCAGAAAAAAAAAGACAAGAUAGAUUCAACACAUCAUUUCUUUAUUGGUUUCAUCAUAAAAUUUGUGACCAUCAGAAAGCAAAAUAAUAUUCAUGAUUAUAAAACCAACAUAAUAAAAAAAGAAAUUUGACCUCUAGAAACCACCAAGUUACUCGACAAUAAAAUCUUGUUAUUCAUGAACAAUAUACCUAAUGUAAUAGAAAAGAAAAUCUUAAACCGACAGAAACCACAAAGCUCCAUGGGAGAUUGAACAACAAAACUUAUUUACAAAUAUAAAAAAAAAAAUUGUUAUUCUUAAUCAAUAAAACCAACGUAAUAGAAAAGAAAAUUGAGAUCUGAAAAUCAAAUUAAAAAUGAUUUUAGAGACUCAACAACAUAAGCUACUUAUAAACAUAAAAAGACGAUUUGUUAUUUAUGAUCAAUAAAAUCAAUGUAAUAGAAAAAGAAAUUCGAAACUUAUAAAUCACAAAAUUACUCAAAAAUGAAAUCUUGUCAUUCAUGAUCAAUAAAUCUAGUGUAUCAAAAAGAAAAUCUCAUAACAUAAGCUAUUUACAAAUAUAUAAGGACAAUACUUAGGGCUGCUUGAUGGUUGGAUCGGUUGGAUAAUUAUGCUUAGCGGUUCGACUUAUUGGUUAUUGGCUUUUAAAUAUACUAAUCCGCUAGCCACCCAAUAAGAUAACGGUUGGUUCGGUAUUUGAUUAGUAAUUAACAGACGGUUAUCGGAUGGUGUAAUGGAUUAAUUUAAGAGACAAUGAAAUAUCGAGUGAUUAUUGAUAGUUCCUCCGUUUCUCACCGACUAAGUUGUUUGUAUACUACGAUUGAUCUAUUUAUAAAUCUUUUAGGCUUCUUAUGGUUAUUUAAUAGGUUAAAACAUAGAAUCAAAUAAGAAUUUUCUUAUAAACCUAAGAUGUACGUAGAAACAUUUUUAAUUACUGGUCGAUAGAAAAAUCAAAACUUUAAUAUUAUUUGAAUUUUUAUGUUUUAUAUAAAACUUUGUGAAGGGCACAUUUGAGUUGUUUCAUUUUUGUUGCGGUCCUUUGUGUUGUCAAGAAUAAUUUAUGUUUUGAUUUAAGAAUUAUUUUUAAGUUUUUGUUACAUUUUAGAGAGCCUGACUGUGCUUUAUGGUUAGAUGUCACAAGAAGUGGCAUGUUAUUUUCUAAAGUAACAACUGAAUAGAACAAUAAAUGGAGUUUUAUACGUUGGAUUGACUAAGAUACUUGAUAUAUCUGUCAUACCCUAUUUUUACCUGAGGUCAAAACGAGCAUGACGUUAUGGAUUCAAAAGAAUAAAUUAAAUACAUAGUCGCCACCUAAUUUUUUAAGGAAAAAUAGGAAACCUAUCUGUUAACAUGUAUAAUUAAUGUUUUUUAGUUUGCGAAGAAAAUCAGUUGAGAUUCCAGGUAAGGGUUCAAGUUAUCUCGAAGGGAAGGGAUUAGGCACCCUUCGAGAUCCUCAACUGUGGUACCCGGCUAUACUAAACUUUUCAAAGAGGGAGGAGAUAUGUAAAAAUAAUGUAAAAGUGUAUAAAAGUGUAUAAAUUACAUGUAAAAGAAUAGUAUUUCUUGUGACAUGUAUGAAAAGAAAUGUAUGUUUUAUGUACUAAGAAGAAAAAAUAUUUUUUAAUAAUAAUACUUUUAUUUGAUCACAUCACGAAGAAAAAUAAAAAUUCAUUUGAAAAGAAAAAGGCUUCAUAAUAGGUGAAUGUAUGAAUUAAUUAAUUAACUUAAUUAUUUUAUGUAAAUAUUAACGGCCUAAGUUUUGCCUAAAAUUGAUGAAAUUAUGUAAAUGAAGAAUAUCUCCGCCCGACACCCAAAAAUAAAGUUUUCACUAUUUGGCCCGAAAAUGCCCCAUUUCGCUCGUUUGUCCACCCAAAUAGCCACAAAAAUUUAAACGGACCAUACUGGGAUGAUCCCCAACCUCCCUGGCAUGCCCCGGUCGAUUUUUGACCUACAGCAUGCCCAAACCCAGAGCCCACCCAUGAAAUCGUGGGCUAUAGCACACCGAUUUGGCCCUAAAAGGACCCGUUCAUGCCACUUCACCCGUUUGUCCACUUAAAUGGCCACGAAAAUUUAAACGGACCACACUGGGACGAUCAUCAACCUCGCUGGCAUGCUUCGGUUGAUUUUCGGCCCACAGCACACUCGAACCUCAGGCCCAUCCCCAAAACUGUGGGCUAUAGCACACCGAUUUGGAUUGAAAAUGCCCCGUUUGCACCGUUUCGCCCGUUUGUCCACCCAGAUGGCCAUGAAAAUUUAAACGGACCAUACUGGGAUGAUCCUUAACCUCCCUGGCACACCCUAGUCGAUUUUUGGCCCACCCACGCCUGGACCUCGGGCCCACUUUCAAAACCGUUGGCUAUAGCACACCAAUUUGACCCGAAAAUUCCUCGUUCACUCUGUUUCGCCCGUUUGUCCACCCAAAUGCCCACAAAAAUUUAAACAGACCAUACUGGGAAGAUCCCUAACCUCCCUGGCACGCCCCGACCGAUUUUCAGCCCACAGCACGUCUGAACCCCGGGCCUACCCCCAAACCUGUGGUCUAUAGCACAUCGAUUUAGCCCGAAAAUGCCUCGUUCACACUGUUUCACCCGUUUGGGCAAUCAAAUGGCCACAAAAAUUUAAACGGACCACACUGGAUGAUCCCCACCCUCCAUGGCACUCCCCAAUUAAUUUUCAGUCAUAGUACGCUGGACCUCGAGCCCACCCAUAAAACCGUAGGCUAUAGCACACCGAUUUGGUUCGAAAAUGCCCAGUUCGUGUCGUUUCGCCCGUUUGCCUAUACUAAUGGAAACGAAAAUUAAAACGGACCAUACUAGGACGAUCCCCAACCUCCCUGAAAUGCCUCGAUUAAUUUUCAGCCCACAGUACGCCCAGACCCCGGGCCCACCCCUAAAACCGUGGUCUAUAGCACACCGAUUUGGUCCGAAAAUGCCCCGUUCGCGUCAUUUCAUCGGUUUGUCUACCAAAAUGGCCACAAAAAUUUAAACGGACCACACUAGGACGAUCCCCAACCUCCUUGGCAUGCCCCAAUCAAUUUUUGACCCACAGCAUGCCCGGACACACCCCAAAACCAUGGGCUAUAACACAUCGAUUUGACCUGAAAAUGCCUCGUUCGUGCGUUUCGCCUGUUUGUCCACCCAAAUAGCUACAAAAAUAUAAACGGACCGCACUGGGAUAAUCCCUAACCUUCCUGGCAUUUCCCGAUAAAUUUCAGCCCAUAACAUGCCUGGCCCCGGGCCCACCACCAAAAUCGUGGGCUACUACAGCACACCGGUUUAGCCCAAAAAUGUCCCGUUCACGCCAUUUUUCUCGUUUGUCCACCCAAAUGGACACGAAAAUUUAAACGGACCACACUAGGAUGAUCCCCAAUAUCUCUGACAUGCCUUAGUCAAUUUUUAUCCCACAACACGCCCGGACCCCGGGCCCACCCUAAAAACGUGGGCUAUAGCAUACUAAUUUGGCUCGAAAAUGCCCUAUUCACGUUGUUUCGCCCAUUUGUCCACCCAAAUGGCCACGAAAAUUUAAACGAAUCAUACUAGGACGAUCCCCAACCUCCUUGGCAUGCCCCAGUAGAUUUUUGGCCCAGAACAUGCCCGAAUCCCGAGCCCACCAACGAAACUGUGGGCUACAGCACACCGAUUUGGCCCUAAAAUGACCCGUUCAUGCCAUUUUGCCCAUUUGUCCACCCAAAUGGCCACGAAAAUUUAAACGGACAACACUGGGAUAAUUCUCAACCUCGCUAGCAAGGCCUGGUUAAUUUUUGACUCAUAGCACACCCGGACCUCGGGUCCACCCCCAAAACCGUGGGCUAUAGCACAACGAUUUGGUUAAAAAAUACCACAUUCACAUCGUUUCCCCCGUGUGUCCACCCAAAUGGCCAAAAAAAUUUGAAUGAACCAUACUGUGAUGAUCAUUAAUCUCCUUGGCACGCUCCGGUGGAUUAUCGACCCACAGCACGCCUGGAACCCGGGCCCACCUCCAAAACCGUGGGCUAUAGCACACCAAUUUGGCCCGAAAAUGCCUCGUUCGCUCUGUUUCGCCCGUUUGUCCACCCAAAUGGCCACAAAAGUUUAAACGAACCACACUGGGAAGAUCCCCAACCUCCCUAGCAUGCCCCGAUUGAUUUUUGGCCCACAACACGCCUGGACCCCGGGCCUACCCCCAAACCAUGGGCUAUAUCACACCAAUUUGGCUCGAAAAUACUUCGUUCUCGCCGUUUCGCCCGUUUGUCCUCCCAAAUGGACAUUAAAAUUUAAAUGAACCAUACUGGGAUGAUCCCCAACCUCCCUAGCACGCUCCGAUCAAUUUUCAACAGACAGCACACCCGAACCCUAGACCCACCCACAAAAUCGUGGGCUAUAACACACCGAUUUGGCCUGAAAAUGCCUUGUUCACUCGUUUCGCCCGUUUGUCCACCCAAAUGGCCACGAAAAUUUAAAUAGACCACACUGAGGUGAUCCUCAACCUCCCUGGCAUUCCUCGAUCAAUUUUGGCCUACAACAUGCCUGGACCCCAGGCCCACCCCUGAAACCAUGGGCUACAGCACACCGAUUUGGCUUGAAAAUGCCCCGUUCACUCUGUUUCUCCCGUUUGUCCACCCAAAUGGCCACGAAAAUUUAAAUGGACCAUACUAGGAUGGUCCCCAACCUCCCUGGCAUGCCCCAUUUGAUUUUCAGCCCAUAGCACACCCGGACCCUGGGCCCACCCCCAAAAACAUGGGCUACAACACACUUAUUUGGCCCAAAAAUACCCCAUUCGCACUGUUUUGCCCAUUUGUCAACCCAAAUGGCCCCAAAAAUUUAUAUGGACCACACUGGGAUGAUCCCCAACCUCCCUAGCAUGUCCCGCUCGAUUUUUGGCCCAUAGUAUGCCCAAACCCCGGGCCCCAGGCCCACCCACAAAACUGUGGACUAUAGUGCACCGAUUUGACCCUAAAAUGACCCGUUCAUGCCAUUUCGCCCAUUUGUCCAGCCAAAUGGCCACGAAAAUUUAAACAGACAACACUGAGAUGAUCCUUAACCUCGCUGGCAUGCCCCAAUUGAUUUUCAGCCCACACCACACCUGGACCCCGGUCCCACUCCUAAAACCAUGGACUAUAGCACACCGAUUCGACUUGAAAUUGCCUCGUUCGUAUCGUUUCGCUCAUUUGUCCACCCAAAUGGCCACGAAAAUUUAAAUGAACCAUACUGGAAUGAUCCUUAACCCCCUUGGCAGGCCCUGGUCGAUUUUUGGCCCACAGCACUCCCGGACCCCGUGCCCACCCCCAAAAUCGUGGGAUAUAGCACACCAAUUUGGCUCGAAAAGGCCUCGUUCAUAUCAUUUCGCCCGUUUGUCCACCCAAAUGGCCACGAAAAUUUAAACAAACCACACUAGAAAGAUCCCCAACCUCCCUGGUAUGCCCUGGUCAAUUUUUGGCCUACAACACGCCUGGACCCUGGGCCCACCCCCAAAAUUAUGGGCUAUAGCACGCCAAUUUGGCCCGAAAAUACCUCUUUCGCUCUUUUUCGCCUGUUUAUCCAACAAAUGGCCACGAAAAUUUAAACAGACUACACUGGGAUGAUCCCCAACCUCACUGACAUGCCUCUAUUGAUUUUUGGCCCACAGCACGCUUGAACUCCAUUUUCACCCCCAAAACCAUGGGCUAUAGCAACCGAUUUGGCCUGAAAAUGCCCCGUUCGCGCCGUUUCACCCGUUUGUCCACUAAAUGGCGACGAAACUUUAAAUGGACUACACUGGGAUGAUCUCCAACCUCCCUGGCAUGUCUACAUCGAUUUUUCACCCACAACAUGCCCGAACCAUAUGCCCACCCCCGAAACCAUGGGUUAUAGUACAUCGGUUUGGCCUAAAAAUGCCCCGUUCGCGUCGUUUUGCCCGUUUAUCCACCCAAAUAGCCACAAAAAUUUAAACGAACCAUACUGGGACAAUCUCCAACCUACUUGGCACACACCGAUUGAUUUUCGAACCACAGCACGCCCGGACCCCAGACCCACCCCCAAAACCAUAGGCUAUAUUGCACACUGAUUUGGCCUGAAAAUGCCCCAUUCGCAUUGUUUUACCCGUUUGUCCACACAAAUGGCAAUGAAAAUUUAAACGGACCUCACUGGGAUGAUCUCCGACCUCCCUGGCAUGCCCCAAUUGAUUUUCGGCCCACAACACACCCGAUCCUCAUGCCCAGCACAGAAACCGUGGGCUAUAGCACACCAAUUUGACCCAAAAAUGCCCCAUUCACGCCGUGCUGCCUAUUUGUCCACCAAAUAGCAACGAAAAUUUAAACGGAUCACACUAGGAUGAUCCCCAACCUCCUUGGCACACUCCAGUUGAUUUUUGGCCCAAAGUACUGUAACACCCCACAUUUUACAUGUGGCCUUAAACGGAGAAAAUCAUUGACAUGCUUAUGGAACUUAGGAAGCUAGCAGGUGAGUCACCUGUGUGCUUAGCUUAAAAAUUUUAUAUACAUGAGGGAGAAGAAUUCAUUCAUAAGUGAACUCACUUGAAGUCUAGACGUUAGUAAAAAGAAAGGGGAACGAAGACAAGGCUUAACGCCGAAACUUUCCAAGUCUUGUGACAAACGAAGCCCAAGUUAGGGAGGCUAUUUAAGCCAAUGGUUUAACAUUUUAGCCUAUCAAAACAGUCCACCAUGGACAGAUUCGGAUUUACUUAAAUUUUUAAGGGCAAUAUGGUCAUUUUCCAUCACCUCAUGGACGAAAAUUGGUCAUUAUAUACAUAUACUUAGCCUUAUAUCCACCAUUUAUCAUCCAAAUCAUUGAAGAAUAAGAAACCCUAGCCUAAGUUCAACUCCAAUUAUCUUGUGAUUCAACCGUAGAAAAUCCAAAUUGAUUCCGUAGUUGUGUUCACCGUCUCAAGGGCUUCGAGAAGCACCCCUUAUUUGUGCCAACAGGACUUCGAAAUCAAAAGGGCCAUUUUUUUUGGUAAGGAUGUAAAUUAUGUUGGUGUUAUUUAUAUGGAUAUGUAUAUAUAUAUAUAUAUGCAUGUGAGCAUAAGAAGUAUGUUAUUUGAUUGUUGUUGAAAGAUGAUUGGAAAUGAUGUUGGAUUAUUCUUGUGCAUGGUUGGAUUAUGUUAAAUUGUGAAGGAAUUUGGGGUGAUGAUGUGGUAUUGAUGAUGUGGUAUUGAGAUGAUGAUUAUAUACAUAUACACACAUAAACCUAUUGUUCAAGUUGGUUUUUGGAAUGUUUUGCAAAUAUUGGUAGUAUGGAAUUAUGGAAGAGAAUUGUGGUGUUGGGUUGCUAAUACUAGAUGCCAAACAUUUCAUUGUAGAUAAGUGAUUUGUAAAGGCGGGAAGUUGUGUUGAAUUGGUAGCUGAAUCUACAACGAGGUAUGUAAAGCAUACUCUAACAAUGUUCUUUGGCAUGAAAACACCAAUGUUCCAUCAAGUAAGAUUCCGAGGUUGUCCAAAAACAUGUAUUGUUCUACGUUACCAACGAAGUUGUUUCCAUCCUAUAAAGUGUCAAAAUGUUCAUUGAUAUACCAAAAGGCUCUUAUUUCAUUGUUGUGAUAUUGAUGAUUCUGAAACAUAUUGUUGAUGUACCAAUGAGUCCUUAUUACAUCGUUAUUGUAUAGAAGGUCUAUUACUUGGUUCCUAUUGAUGUAUCAUUGUUUCAAGGUAUCAAAAAUGUGGUGACGACCGAAAUAACAAUCUCAAAGAUUAAUUGAACUAAGUGAUGAAAGUUCUCUCUUAUCGGGUGGUAUCCCAGGGGCAUAAGCCUAGCAUGGGUCGAUCCCUAUUUCAUGUGUUUAUGGGUGGUAUCCCAGGGGCAUAAGCCUAGCAUGGGUCGAUCCCAGUUGAUAUGUACUGGAGGCAUCCUAAUGGUCACAGUACAGUACAGUAAUGAUUACAAAGACGAUAAGAACGAAGGUAAAGUGAUUGAAUAAAUACAAUGUACAGGUUGUCACAAGUUCUAGUAAGUGUGGUCCACUCCUAUUACGACUUAUUCACUUGUUUCUGAUUUCUAUUGAGCUCCUAUAUCAUAUGUGAUUAUUUACAGCUUUACAUACUCAGUACAUAUUUCGUACUGACGUCCCUCACGGGGGACCUGCAUUUCAUGCUGCAGGCACAGGUACCUCAACUCAUACACCGCACAAGUAGGAGCCAGGUCAUACAGCUAUUGUUGGUGAGCUCCAGUUUGCUUCGGAGCUUUCCGAGUCGGUUCCUUAUGUUUUGUUAUUGUACAUGAGUCACGUGUGGGCGGGGGUUUGUCCCGACCCUAGUUAUGUCAUGUAUAUCCUAGAGGCUUUGUAGACAUAAGGAAGGGUAAAGUCAUGGAAGUUUAUAUAGUAACGUUAUAUUUGUAUAUGUGGUGGCCCCGACGGCCAAGUAUUAUAUAUAUAUAUUUGUGCGUGUUGUGCUGAUACAGGUAAUUAGACCUUUCUAUAUGCAACGAAGUGCUGUCCAAUUUUUUUGGUGACAUGUAAGUGAAAGUACAGGUAUUUGAACGGGUUCUCCCGGGCCUUCUCGGCUUCGGGUGCCAGUCCGGCCCGAUGGGAUUUUGGGGCGUGACAAAAGUGGUAUCAGAGAGGUUCGUCCUAGUGAGUCUACAAAGCCGUGUCUACGUAGGGUCUUGUUUAUCGGUGUGUUGUGCACCACAUCUAUAAACAGGAGGCUAUGGACAUUUAGGAAUUGUUUCUUUUCUUCAUGUCUUAGAUCGUGCGAUAGAGCUUAUAUUGUAUAUGAAGUCAUAGUUGACCACUGAAUCAGUUUGUUUCUCUUAUUAUAGUAAUGAUGCCGGUUACCAGAAGCAAGAAUACCGGUAAGCAAGUAGAUGUGGCUGCCGGAGAGGGGACUAGUAAGUCACCCACUAUACCAGCUAAUCAAAGUGAGGCUCCAGCUGAGCAUGCAUCAGAAACUUCCUCCAGUCCGGAAGAAAUAAGGGGGAGGAGAACUAUAUCCGCAGAGCCACCUAUUAAUGUUGUUGAUCAAGAUCUUAGAAAUGCAGUGCAACUUUUGACUCGUAUAGUUGCUGGGCAAGCUCAAGGGCAAGCCAUUCCUACUGCAGGUCCUAGUGGUAUAGAUAGGGCGGCUAGCCUUCGAACACAGGAUUUUCUUAAGAUGGAUCCUCCCACUUUUACUGGAUCAGAUCUUAACGAGGACCCACAGGACUUUAUCGAUCAAAUUCAAAGGGCCUUGGAUGUUAUGCAUGUAACGGGUAGAGAGACAGUGGAGUUAGCGGCGUAUAGAUUUAAAGGGGAGGCUAUAUAUUGGUAUGAGGACUGGAAACGAUCUAGGGGUAUUGAUGCACCCCCAGCUACUUGGAAGGAGUUCAAAGAGGCAUUUCUUGAUCAUUAUCUUCCAUUCGAGAUUCGUCAGGCCCGUGCAGAUCAGUUUUUAAAUCUUCGUCAGGGGAAUAUGAGCGUGAGGGAGUACAGUCUUCGAUUUAAUUCCUUGUCGAGAUAUGCUCCUAAUGUUGUAGCUACUAUGGUUGACAGAGUUCAUCAAUAUGUGGAUAGGCUAGAUCCAUAUCUGGUUAGAGAUUGUACUAUUGCUGCUUUGAACAAAGAUAUGGACAUAGCGAGAAUCCAAGCUUUUGCACAAAAAAUGGAAGAUCAGAGGCAGAGGAGAAGAACACAGGAAUCAGAAAGAGGAUAUUCCAAGAGGGCCAGAUCUACAGGGCAGUUCAUGGCAUUCGAAAGAGGGUUCAGACCACAGUUUUCUGCUAGACCACCUAGGCCAUUAUCCUCUUAUUCUACAGCUAGUGCCCCACCACAGUUCCAAGGGUUCAGAGGAAAUCAAUUUGGGCACAGAAGUGAGAGUCAGAGUUCGCGGACAGUGGGGUACCAAGGUCAAGGGAAUAUGAGCCAAUCAAGACCUCCUCGAGAGCCAUGCAAUAAAUGUGGAAGGUAUCAUUUGGGCGCAUGUCGGCUGGGGACCAAUGUUUGCUUUUGGUGCGGUAUGUCGGGGCAUAUGAUGAGGGAAUGCCCACGAAGGGACAUAGGGGGUAUGGCACGACCUACGGGGUCAUUUGUUGCAUCAUCAUCAUCGAUGCCUUAUUCAGGAAGGGGUGCACAGCCAAUGGGUCGUGUUAGAGGUGAUAGAGGAGCCACGAGUUCUAGCGGGGCUCAAAAUCGUACGUAUGCUCUAGCAGAUCGACAGAAUUUAGAGGCUUCUCCAGAUGUGGUUACGGGUAUGUUGGCUAUAUUUUCAUUCAAUUUAUAUGCCUUAAUUGAUCCCGGUUCUACAUUAUCUUAUGUUACUCCAUUGGUUGCUGGAAAGUUCGAAAGAAUACCCGAACUGUUAGUUAAGCCAUUUGAAGUGUCCACACCGGUCGGGGAAUCUAUUAUAGCUAGAAGGGUUUAUCGAAACUGCAUAGUAACUGUUUGUGGUCGUGAUACGAUGGCUGAUCUUGUGGAGUUAGAAAUGGUAGAUUUUGAUGUUAUAAUGGGUAUGGACUGGUUGGCGUCUUGUUAUGCCACAAUUGAUUGCUGCACGAAAAAGGUAUAUUUCCAUUUUCCAAAUGAAUCAGUCCUUGAAUGGAAAGGUGAAAUUAGCGUGCCAAGAGGUAGAUUUAUUUCUUAUUUUAAGGCGAGAAGAAUGAUUUCCAAGGGAUAUAUAUAUCAUUUAGUUAGAGUAAGGGAUACAGAAGCGGAGCCACCAACUCUUCACGCUGUUCCGGUGGUAAAUGAAUUUUCUGAUGUAUUUCCUGAAGAUCUUCCAGGUUUGCCUCCUGAACGAGAAGUAGAGUUUGGUAUUGAUGUAAUACCAGGCACCCAACCAAUCUCCAUUCCUCCGUAUAGAAUGGCCCCAGCAGAAUUACGAGAAUUGAAAGAGCAAUUGAAAGAUUUGCUAGAAAAGGGGUUCAUUAGGCCUAGUAUUUCCCCUUGGGGAGCACCAGUGUUAUUUGUACGCAAAAAGGAUGGCUCGCUGAGGAUGUGUAUUGAUUAUCGGCAAUUGAAUAAGGUGACUAUUAAGAAUAAAUAUCCUCUCCCAAGAAUUGAUGAUUUAUUUGAUCAGUUACAGGGCGCCAAGUGCUUUUCUAAGAUUGAUUUGAGGUCAGGUUACCACCAAGUGAGGGUCAAAGAAAAAGAUAUACCCAAAACAGCUUUCCGAACAAGGUAUGGUCAUUAUGAGUUUCUAGUUAUGUCAUUUGGGCUAACAAAUGCACCCGCAGCUUUUAUGGAUUUGAUGAAUAGGGUUUUUAAGCCAUUCCUGGAUGUAUUUGUGAUAGUUUUUAUAGAUGAUAUUCUAGUUUAUUCUAGAUCAGAAGAGGACCAUGCCAAUCACUUACGACAGGCAUUGCAGACUCUUCGUGAUUGUAAGCUUUAUGCAAAGUUCUCUAAAUGUGAGUUUUGGUUAAAGUCGGUGGCAUUUUUGGGUCAUAUUGUAUCUAGUGAAGGGAUAAAGGUUGAUGCUCAAAAGAUAGAGGCUGUGAAGAACUGGCCAAGGCCCACAACGCCUACGGAGAUUCGUAGUUUUCUUGGGUUGGCCGGUUAUUAUAGAAGGUUUGUCAAAGACUUUUCUUCCAUUUCAGCACCCUUAACCAAGCUAACCCAUAAAGCAUCCAAAUUCCAAUGGAAUGAUGCCUGUGAGAAGAGUUUUCAAGAUUUAAAGAACAAGUUGAUUUCUACACCCGUGUUGGUACUACCAGAAGGCACCGAAGGGUAUACAGUGUAUUGUGAUGCUUCCAGAAUUGGUUUAGGAUGUGUAUUGAUGCAGCAUGGUAAGGUAAUAGCAUAUGCUUCUAGACAAUUACGGCCACAUGAGAAAAAUUAUCCUACACACGAUCUUGAGCUGGCAGCGGUUAUUUUUGCUUUAAAGAUAUGGCGCCACUACUUAUAUGGGGUUCACGUUGAUAUAUAUACUGACCAUAAGAGCUUGCAAUAUAUUUUUAAUCAGAAGGAUCUAAAUUUAAGGCAGCGGAGAUGGCUUGAACUAUUAAAGGACUAUGAUGUUGAUAUCUUGUACCAUCCAGGGAAAGCAAAUGUGGUAGCUGAUGCGUUAAGUCGUAAGGCUAUGAUGGCGCCUAUAGAAAGGCAAGGGAUGGUUAAAGAUCUUCACCAGUUAGCUAGUUUGGGAGUUCGCCUUCUUGAAACUCCGAAUAAAGAGCUUAUCGUACAUAAUGCUGCGGAAUCUUCAUUAGUAGCUGAAGUGAAAGAGAAGCAAUAUGCAGAUCCUAUUUUAUUACAUCUUAAGGAGAACGUUCAGAGUGGUGCGACCAAGGCAUUUGAGCUUACGCGAGAAGGAGUACUUCAGUGCCAAAACCGAUUGUGUGUGCCGGAUAUAGACGGGCUAAGAAAGAAGAUUAUGACAGAGGCACAUUUUUCAAGGUAUUCCAUUCAUCCAGGAUCAACCAAAAUGUAUCAAGAUUUGAAAGAUAUGUAUUGGUGGAAUGACAUGAAGAAGAGCAUUGCAGAAUUUGUAGCUGAAUGUCCAAAUUGUCAAAGAGUUAAAGUUGAGCACCAAAAACCCGGAGGCUAUAUGCAAUGCAUAGAUCUUCCAAUUUGGAAGUGGGACAUGAUCAACAUGGAUUUUGUUACAGGUUUGCCUCGUACAGCUCGAAAAUUUGAUUCUAUAUGGGUGAUUGUGGAUAGGCUUACUAAAUCCGCACAUUUCUUACCCGUUAAGACCACUUACACAGUUGAAGAAUAUUCGAAGCUGUAUGUUAAAGAAAUAGUCCGAUUACAUGGAGUGCCAACUUCUAUUAUAUCGGAUCGGGGAACUCAAUUUACUGCAAACUUUUGGAAGUCUUUCCAACGGGGUUUGGGAACACAAGUGAAUCUGAGUACAGCUUUUCACCCUCAGACGGAUGGACAAGCAGAGCGCACCAUUCAAACACUUGAAGAUAUGCUACGAGCAUGUGUUAUAGAUUUUAAAGGCAGCUGGGAUGAUCAUUUACCUCUUAUUGAGUUUGCCUACAAUAAUAGCUAUCAUUCAAGUAUCAAAAUGGCACCAUAUGAAGCUUUAUAUGGGAGAAAGUGUAGAUCACCAAUAGGAUGGUUCGAAGCGGGUGAAACUCUUAUGUUCGGACCGGAUCUUGUGUAUCAAGCCAUAGAAAAAGUCAAGGUGAUACAACAACGGCUAAAAACAGCCCAAAGUCGUCAUAAAUCAUAUGCAGAUAUUCGGAGAAGAGGGCUGGAAUUCUCUAUUGGAGAUUGGGUAUUUUUAAAGGUAUCACCAAUGAAAGGGGUUAUGAGAUUUGGUAAGAAGGGGAAACUAAGCCCACGUUACAUAGGGCCAUAUAAGAUUACCAAGAGGGUCGGACAAGUUGCAUAUGAAUUAGAGCUACCCCAGGAACUUUCAAUGGUUCAUCCAGUGUUUCAUGUGUCAAUGCUUCGAAAAUGCAUAGGUGACCCCUCUCGUAUCACUCCUAUAGAAGAUGUACAGGUCACAGAGGAUCUUACUUAUGAAGAGGUACCGGUUGCUAUUCUAGAUCGCCAAGUUAAAAAGUUAAGGAACAAAGAAAUGGCAUCAGUAAAGGUACUCUGGAGAAACAACCAAGUAGAAGAGAUAACGUGGGAACCGGAGGAAGUAAUGAUAUCCAAAUACCCUCAUCUAUUUGAAGACAAGGAGGGACCAAAAGAUACAGAGGAGGAACAUUAAUAGGUAUGUGUUUGAAUACUAGUUAUGUUAUUAAAAGUUGUGUGACCAGAAAUUCAAACCUGCCUAGACUAUACAGUUAUGUUAACAUUCGGGACGAAUGUUCCUAAGGGGGGGAGGAUGUAACACCCCACAUUUUACAUGUACUAGUAAUGUUCACAUAAAAUGACAUACGACUUGAUUUAAUUACUACCAAAAUUUUUCAAGUGUUCAAGUGUUAGAUUGGGGCACUAUAUGGAAGUCUAUUUAGAGACUGUGGCCUUAAACGGAAAAAAAACAUUGACAUGCUUAUGGAACUUAGGGAGCUAGCAGGUGAGUCACCUGUGUGCUUAGCUUAAAAAUUAUAUAUACAUGAGGGAGAAGAAUUCAUUCAUAAGUGAACUCACUUGAAGUCUAGACGUUAGUAAAAAGAAAGGGGAACGAAGACAAGGCUUAACGCCGAAACUUUCCAAGUCUUGUGACAAACGAAGCCCAAGUUAGGGAGGCUAUUAAAGACAAUGGUUUAACAUUAUAUUGGGCCAAGAUGUUCAGCCCAAGAUUUUUAUAUAAUAGGCCCAACUACAUUCAUUCACUACUAACAAAAUUGAGCCCAAACAAAGUGCAAGAAAGAGUAAGGAAAUGGGCCACUAAAGCCCAUUGAUUUAGAGAUCCAAAAGGCCCAAGUGAAAGGGGAAAAUUAGUCAUUGACCAACUUGAGUUAAUCAGCUACAAAUAUUAGGAGAAAGUCGGUCUAAAGUCUCCUUAAAAAGGGACCAAAACCGAGCUCUAGGUUAACCAAAGAAAAGACCAAAAAAUUUCAGAAUUUCUCUCUAAGUUUCUCUUGGUAUUUCUUCACCUUGGAAGGCAACCAAAGGCUACUUUUUGAGUUCUUGAAUUAGACCUACACCUUGGGAGUUAAGGUAUGUAAAAAUAACCAUAUACUUGAUAUGAAUUUUCCAUGGAAAACAAGAUAAGUUGGCUGGUUCACUGUGCAGGAAUUUCUGGACAGCUUGUGUCCUGAAAGUUGUUGUUUGGUUUUCUUGGCUUUGGAACGAUUUUUACCCUGAUUUUUCACUUUAAUAUGAUGUAAAGUUGAGGUUAUUAACAUGUUAUAGUGUGUAUAUGGUUGCCAAGGUUGCUGGACUGUUUUGCUAGUUCUUUGGAAACAAGUAUCCUUAUAUGAUCUUAUGUGCUUCCAAACUGGUAUUGGACUGUUUUGUUGAGGGGGAUGUUGUUUCACGUUUCCCCUACGUUUUGAGCUAUUUUGUGACUAUGUUAAGGUUUAUUUGAUGUAUAUAUAUGUUGGGAGCAUCUGGUUCAAAGUUGGGACAAGUAUGAAUUGUUAACGACGAAAUGUAGGGAGACGACGAGAUGUUGUGCUUCUUAGUUGAGCGUUUUGUAAAAUGGUUAUGUGUUGUAGUUAUGGACUGUUGCCAGCAUGUUAUAGAACUAAUAUAGGCUGUAUACAUCAUGUAUAUGAUAAUCUAUGCUGGUUGAAUACAGUUAGAAUUGAGAAAGUCGGAAUAACACCAUUGAGUUGAUGGUUAUACGUUUGUUGCCAAAGUGUUGUGUCUUGUGAGAUUGGGCUGUCCAGAUGCAUUGAUUAGCUGCUAAUACUAGCUUUAAAACAUGAUAUUGUAGAUAAAUAGUUGGAAGAAAAGAAGUCAUUUCGACGUAAAAACAAGUUGAUAUGUCGAGGUAUGUAAGGCUAUUCGAUCUCUUAUUAUUUGGCAUGGAAUCCAAAGUCUUCAUUGGCACAUAGAGAUCUUUACAAACUUUGACAUAACCACUCCACUCUUUAACAUGUACUUGUGUGUCCAGAUUCGAGCAUUGUCACUGCUGCAUACAUACAUUGGGUACCAUGACAUAUGAGUCUUCUUUUUAGCUAAAUAAAGUUCAUACGUUGUUUAUGUCCUACAUGUUUCACUAAUUGUACAACCCACUCUUUUCAUUAUGAUAUGAUGUUACAUGGACACAUACUUGUCAUUUGUCAUGCUUAUAGUCUUAUAGCUCAAAUGUUACGACCACCAAAGAUUCAUCUCAAAAGUAAUAAGAAGAUAUAUGUAUACAGUUGCUUCUGUUGGGUGGUAUCCCAGGGGUGAAAGAAUCACCUAGCAUGGGUCAAUCCCAGUAUUACAGGGGGUAUCCCAGGGGUGAAAGGAAAGCCUAGCAUGGGUCGAUCCUGAUAUAGAAUUACCACUGAUCAGCUGGUCAUUUGUAUUACAUGCUGUGCACAGAUUAUUCAAGUAAUAAGAGUAAAGUAACAUAAUUGUUAUAAGAUACAUGACUCCACAAUAUUCAUAAAGGUGGUCUUUUACCCUACAGCAGUACAUGGUUUCAUUUGAGUUUUUAUCUCAUAUAUAGUACAUGUUGCCUUACAUAUUCAGUACAUUAUUUCGUACUGACGUCCCUCUUGGGGGACCUGCAUUCCAUGCUGCAGGUACAGAAGCUAAUAAACCUCCCUAGUAAGAGUACAGGAUAUCAACCGCAGUCACUGAGCUCCAGGUUGCUUCGGGGCUUUGAGUCUUAUCAUAUCUUUUUGCAUUGUAUAGUAUCUUAUCAUGAGGCGGGGCCUGUCCCGACCCUUAUAAGAUAACUUUUCUUGUCUAGAGGCUUUGUAGACUACGUAAAGUAUAGUAUGGUCAUGUAUCCUAUCCUAGACAUUGUGGCUCCAACGACCUAGUCAUAUAAUAUCUUUUGGCUUGCUAGUCCUAUUUAUCUUUUGAGGGCGUGUUUAGUAUGAAAGGAACUUAUAAUGUUCAUAGGUAAUAUAUUGCUACAGGUUGGUUCUCCCGAGCCUUACCGGCAACGGGUGCCAGUCCGCCUUAAUAGGAUUUGGGGCGUGACAAGUACGCCCGGACCCCAGGUCCAUCCCAAAAAUAGUGGGCUAUAGAACCCCAAUUUGGCACGAAAAUGCCCCAUUCACGUCGUUUGCUCGUUUGUCCACCCAAAUGGCCACGAAAAUUUAAACAGACCACACUGGAAUGAUCCCUAAUAUCUCUGGCAGUCCUCGGUCAAUUUUUCACCCACAACACACUCGGACCCCGGGCCCACCCCCAAAACUGUUGGCUAUAGCUUACAGAUUUAGCCUAAAAAUGCCCCGUUCACAUCGUUUCGCCCGUUUGACCACCUAAAUGGACACAAAAAUUUAAAUGAACCAUACUGGGAUAAUUCCCAACCUCUCUGGCAUGCUCUGGUCGAUUUUCGGCCCACAGCACGCCCGGAACCCUAGCCCACCCUCGAAAAUAUGGGCUAUAGCACACCAAUUUAGCCCGAUUCGCAUCGUUUAUGCCCGUUUGUCCACCAAAAUUGCCACGAAACUCUAAAUGAACCACACUGGGAUGAUCCCCAACCUACCUGACCCGCCCCAUUUGAUUUUUAGCCCACAACACGCUCGUACCAUGGGCCCACCCCAAAACCUACGCUAUAGCAAUCCGAUUUGGUCUGAAAAUGCCUUUUUCACGUUGUAUUGCCCGUUUGUCCAUCCAAAUGGCCAUGAAAAUUUAAACGGACCUCACUAGGACAAUCCCCAACCACCUUGGCAUGCCCCGAUCGAUUUUUUCCCAACAGCACGCUCCAACCAUCAUGGGCUAUAGCACACCAAUUUGGCCCGAAAAUACCCCGUUCGCAUCGUUUCGCCCAUUUAUCCUCCUAAAUGGCUACAAAAAAUCUAAACGGACCACACUAGGAUGAUCCCCAACCUCCCUGGCAUGCCCCGGUCAAGUUUUCGCCCACAGCAUGUCUGGACCCCGAGCCCAGCCCAAAACUGUUGGAUAUAGCACACUGAUUUGGCCUAAAAAUGCCUUGUACGUGCUGUUUCGCCCAUUUGUCCACCCAAAUGGCCACAAAAAUUUAAAAGGACCACACUGGGAUGAUCCUCAUCCUCCCUCCCAAGCCUCGAUCGAUUUUUAGCCAACAGCAUGCCCAGACCCCAGGCUCACCUUGAAAAUUGUGGGCUAUAGCACACCAAUUUUGCCCAAAAAUUCUCCGUUCGCAUCGUUUUGCCCGUUUGUCCACCCAAAUGGCCACAAAAAUUUAAACGGACCUCACUAGGAUGAUAUAUAACCUCCCUGGCAUGCCCCAAUUAAUUUUUAGCCAACAGCUUACCCGGACCCUGGGCGCACACCCAAAAUCGCGGGCUAUAGCACAGUGAUUUGGCUAAAAAAUGCUCCAUUCGCGUUGUUUUGCUCAUUUGUCCACCCAAAUGGCCACGAAAAUUUAAACAGAUCACUCUAGGACGAUCCUUAACCUCCCUAGCAUGCCCCAAUAGAUUUUUGGCCCAUAACAUGCCCGAAUCCCAAGUCCACCAACGAAACUGUGGGCUACAGCACACCGAUUUGGCCCUAAAAUGACCCGUUCAUGCUAUUUCGCCCGUUUGUCCACCCAAAUGGCCAUGAAAAUUUAAACGAACAAUACUGGGAUGAUCGUCAACCUCGCUGGCUAGGCCUGGUUGAUUUUAGGCCCACAGCACACCCGUACCCCGGGCCCACCCCCAAAAACGUGGGCUAUAGCACACCAAUUUGUCUAAAAAAUGCCCAGUUUGCAUCGUUUCCCCCGUUUGUCCACCCAAAUGGCCACAAAAAAUUGAACGAACCAUACUAAGAUGAUCCUUAACCUCCUUGGCACGCUCCGGUCAAUUUUCAGCCCACAGAACGCUUAGACCCCGGGCCCAUCCCUAAAACCGUAGGCCAUAGCACACCAAUUUGGCUAAAAAAUAACUCGUUCGCUCAGUUUCGCCCGUUUGUCCACACAAAUGGCCACGAAAGUUUAAACGAACCACAUUAGAAAGAUCCCCAACCUCCCUAGCAUGACCCGGUUAAUUUUUCACCCACAACACGACUAGACCCGAGCCCACCCCCAAAACCGUGGGCUAUAGCACACCAAUUUGGCUCAAAAGUUCUCCGUUCGCGCCGUUUCGCCCGUUUGUCCUCCCAAAUGGCCAUGAAAAUUUAAACGAACCACACUGGGAUAAUCCCCAACUUCCCUGACAUACCUCGGUCAAUUUUCAGUACACAGUACGCCCGAACCCCUGGCCUACCCACGAAAUCGUGGGCUAUAACACAUCGAUUUGGCCUGAAAAUGCCUUAUUCGUACAUUUCACUCGUUUGUCCACCCAAAUGGCCACGAAAAUUUAAACAAACCUCACUGAGAUGAUUUCCAACCUCCCUGGCAUUCCCCAAUCAAUUUCAGCCCACAACAUGCCUGGACCCCAGGCCCACCCCCGAAACCAUGGGCUAUAGCACACCGAUUUGACCCGAAAAUACCUCGUUCACUCCGUUUCUACCGUUUUCCACCCAAAUGACCACAAAAGUUUAAACAGACCAUACUAGAAUGGUCCCUAACCUCCCUGGCAUGCCCCAUUUGAUUUUUGGCCCAUAGCACGCCUGGAACCCGAGCCCACCCUCAAAAACAUGGGCUAUAGCCAACUAAUUUGGCCUAAAAAUGCCCCAUUCACCCUGUUUUGCCCAUUUGUCCACCCAAAUGGACAUUAAUGUUUAAACGGACCACACUGGUACAAUCCUCAACCUCCCUAACAUAUCUCGGUCGAUUUUUGGCCCACAGCAUGCCCGAACCCCGGGGCCACCCAUAAAACCGUGGACUAUUAUGCACCGAUUUGGCCCUAAAAUGACCCGUUCACGCCAUUUCGCUCGUUUGUCCAGUCAAAUGGCCACAAAAAUUUAAACAGACCACACUGAGAUAAUUCUCAACCUCGCUGGCAUGGCCCGAUAGAUUUUUGGACCACACCACACCUGGAACCUGGGGCCACCCCCAAAAUCGUGGGCUAUAGCACACCGAUUUGGCUCGAAAAUGCCCCGUUUGCACCGUUUCGCCCGUUUGUCCACCCAAAUGGCCAUAAAAAUUUAAACGAACCAUACUGGGAUGAUCCUUAACCUCCUUGGCCGGCCCCGAUUGAUUUUCGGCCUACAGUACACUUGAACCCCAUGCCCACCCCUAAAAUCGUGGGAUAUAGCACACCAAUUUGGCCCGAAAAGGCCUCAUUCAUAUUGUUUUGCCCAUUUGUCCACCCAAAUGACCACCAAAUUUAAAGGGACCACACUAGGAAGAUCCCCAACCUCCCUGGCAUGCCUUAUUCGAUUUUUGGCCUACAGCACGCCUGGACCCCGGGCCCACCCCCAAAAAUGUAGGCUAUUACACUCUAAUUUGGCCCGAAAGCACCCCUUUCGCGCUGUUUGGCCCAUUUGUCCACCAAAAUGGCCAUGAAAAUUUAAACGGACUACACUUGGAUGAUCCCCAACCUCCCUGGCCAUCCUCUAUCAAUUUUUGUCCCACAUCACGCCCUAACCCUAUUUCCACCAUUAAAACCAAGGGCUAUAGCAUACCGAUUUGUCCAAAAAAUACACCAUUCGCGCUGUUUCACCCGUUUGUCCACUAAUAAAUGGCCACAAAAAUUUAAACGGACCACACUGGGAUGAUCCCCAACCUCCCUGGCAUGCCUAUAUCAAUUUUUUGCCCACAACACGCCCGGACCACGUGCCCACCCUCGAAACCAUGGGCUAUAGCACACCGAUUUAGCCUGAAAAUGCCCCGUUCGCAUCUUUUCGCCCGUUUAUCCACCCAAAUAGCCACAAAAAUUUAAAUUGACCAUACUGGGAUGAUCUCCAACCUCAUUGGCACACACUGAUCGAUUUUCGGACCACAGCACGCCUGGGCCCCAGGCCCACCCCCAAAACUGUGGGCUAUUGCACACUAAUUUGGCCCGAAAAUGCCCCGUUCGCAUUAUUUUACCUGUUUGUCCACACAAAUAGCAACGACAAUUUAAACGGACCUCACUGGGAUGAUCCCCAACCUCCCUAGCACGCCCCAAUCGAUUUUCGACCCACAGCACGCCCGGUCCUCGUGCCCACCACCAAAACCAUGGGCUAUAGCACACCGAUUUUGCCGAAAAAUGUCCCGUUCAAGCCAUUUUGCCCGUUUAUCACCCCAACUUGCAACAAAAAAUUAAACGGGCAAUAUUGGGACGAUCCCCAACCUCUCUGGCACACCCGAGCUGAUUAUCAGCCCACUGCACGCUUGGACCUCUGGCCCACCCCCAAAACCGUGGGGUAUAGCACACCAACUUGGCUAAAAAAUGCCCCAUUCACGCCGUUUCGCCUGUUUGUCCACCCAAAUAUCCACGAAAAAUUAAAUGGACCACACUGGGAUGAUCCCCAACCUCCCUAGCAUGCCCCAUCGAUUUUUGACCCUCAGCACGCCCGGACCCCGAGGCCACCCCCGAAAUCGUGGGCUAUAUAGCACACUGAUUUGGCCCGGAAAUGCCCCGUUCACCCUGUUUCGCCCGUUUGUCCACCCAAAUAGCCACAAAAAUUUAAACUAACCACACUGACACGAUCCCCAACCUCUCUGGCAAGCCCGGUCAAUUUUUUACCCUCAGCACACUUGGACCUUGGGCCCACUCCCAAAACUGUGGGCUAUAUAGCACAUCGAUUUGGCCCGAAAAUGCCCUAUUUGCGCCAUUUCACCUAUUUGUCCACCCAAAUGGCCAUAAAAAUUUAAAUGGACCACACUGGCAAGAUCUCCAACCUCCCUGGCAUGUCCCAAUUAAUUUUUUGCCCAUAGCACGCCCGGACCCCGGGCCCACCCCCAAAAUUAUGGGCUAUAACACAUCGAUUUAGUUCGAAAAUGCCCCGUUAGCGCAGUUUCGCCCAUUUGACCACCCAAAUGGCCAAGAAAAUUUAAAUGGACCAUACUGGAAUGACCCCUAACAUCCAUGGCACGCCCUAGUCAAUUUUAAGCACACAGCACACUCAAACCUCGGGCCCACCCCCAAAACCGUGGGCUAUAGCACACCAAUUUAGCUUGGAAAUGCCCCAUACACCCAGUUUUGCCCAUUUAUCCACCCAAAUGGCCACAAAACUUUAAACGGACCACACUAGAAUGAUCUUCAACCUCCUUGGCAUGCCCCGAUCAAUUUUGACCCACAACGCCCCCAUACCCCGUGCCCACCCCCGAAAUAAUGGUCUAUAACGCACUAAAUUGGCUUGAAAAUGCCUCGUUCGCUCCUUUUUCGCUCGUUUGUCCACCCAUAUGGCAACAAAAAUAUAAACGGACCACACUGGGACUAUCCCCAACCUUCCUGGUAUACCCUAAUCGAUUUUCGACCAAUAUCACGCCCAAACCUUGAGCCCACCCUGAAACUAUUGGCUUUAGCAUACCGAUUUGGCCCAAAAUGCCCCGUUCGUGCCAUUUUGCCUGUUUGUACACCCAAAUGGCCAUAAAAAUUUAAACGGACUACACUGGGACAAUCCCCCAACCUCCCUGGUAUGACCCGAUUAAUUUUUGGCUUAUAGCAUGCAUGGACCCUGGGCCCACCCCCAAAUCGUGGGCUAUAGCAUAUCGACUUGGCCUGAAAAUGCCCCGUUCACGCUGUUUCAUCCGUUUGUCCACCCAAAUGGCCACAGAAAUUUAAAAGGACCACACAAGGAUGAUCCCCAACCUCCCUAGCAUGCCUCGGUUGAUUUUUAGCCCACAGCACCCCCAAAAUCGUGGUCUAUAUAGCACACUGAUUUGGCCUAGAAAUGCCCCGUUCGCCCUGUUUCGCUCGUUUGUCCACCCAAAUAGCCACAAAAAUUUAAACUAACCACACUGAGACGAUCCCCAACCUCCCUGGAAAGCCCGAUCAAUUUUUUACCCUCAGCAUACUGGACCUCGAGGCCACUCCCAAAACUGUGGGCUAUAUAGCACAUCGAUUUGGCCCGAAAAUACCCUGUUUGCGCCAUUUUGCCCAUUUGUCCACUCAAAUGGCCACAAAAAUUUAAACGGACCACGCUGGAAAGAUCUCCAACCUCUCUAGCAUGUCUCAGUCAAUUUUCCACCCGCAGCACGCUCGGACCCUGGGCCCACCCUCGAAAUUGUGGGCUAUAACACAUCGAUUUGGCUCAAAAAUGCCCCGUUAGUGUAGUUUCGCCUAUUUGACCACCCAAAUGGCCAAGAAAAUUUAAAUGGACCAUACUGGAAUGAUCCCUAACAUCCAUGGCAUGCCCCAGUCAAUUUUUAGCACACAGCACACUCGAACCUCAGGCCCACCCCCAAAACCGUAGGCUAUAGCACUCCAAUUUAGCUUGGAAAUGCCCCGUACACCCAGUUUUACCCAUUUGUCCACCCAAAUAGCCACAAAACUUAAAACGGACCACACUGGAAUGAUCUUCAACCUCCUUGGCAUGCCCCGAUCAAUUUUUGGCCCACAACACCCCCGGACCCCGUGCCCAUCCCCGAAAUCAUGGUCUAUAGCAGACUGAGUUGGCUCGAAAAUGCCACGUUUGCGCCCUUUUCGCUCGUGUGUCCACCCAUAUGGCAACGAAAAUAUAAAUAGACUACACUGAGAUGAUCCCCAACCUUCCUGGUAUACCCCAAUCUAUUUUCGGCAAAUAUCACGCCCAAACCUUGAGCCCACCCUGAAACUAUUGGCUUUAGCACACCGAUUUGGCCUAAAAUACCCUGUUCGUGCCGUUUUGCCUGUUUGUACACCCAAAUGGCCACAAAAACUUAAACGAACCACACUGGGACGAUCCCCAACCUCCCUGGCAUACCCAGAUUAAUUUUUGGCCCAUAACAUGCGCGAACCCUGGGCCCACCCCAAACCGUGGGCUAUAGCACAUCGACUUGCCCCAAAAAUACCCCAUUCACGCUGUUUCGUCCGUUUGUCCGCCCAAAUGGCCACGAAAAUUCAAACGGACCACAGAAAGAUGAUCCCCAACCUCUCUGGCAUGCCCCGAUUGAUAUUUAGCUCACAGCACCCCCGAAACCCAAUCCCACCCCCGAAACCGUGGGCUAUAGAAUGCCAAUUUGGCCCGAAAAUACCCCAUUCGCGCCGUUUUACCCAUAUUUUCCACCUAAAAGGCCACAAAAAUUUAAACAGACCAUACUAGGACAAUCUCCAACCUCCCUGGCACACCCUGGUUGAUUUUCAGACCACAACACGGCCGAACCCACCAACAAAACCGUGUGCUAUAGCACACUGAUUUGGCCUAAAAAUGCCCCAUUCGCGCCAUUUCGCCAAUUUGUCCACCAAAAUAGCCAAAAAAAUUUAAACGGACCAUACUGGUAUGAACUCCAAGCUCCCUGUCACGCCAUGGUCAAUUUUCAGCCCACAACACGCCCAGACCCUGAGCCCACCCCCAAAACCGUGGGCUAUAGCACACCGAUUUGGCCCAAAAAUGCCCUGUUUAAGCCAUUUCGCCCGUUUGUCCACCCAAAAUGGCAAUGAAAAUUUAAACGCACCACAUUGGGAUGAUCCCUAACCACCCUUGCAUGCCCCAUUUAAGUUUUUACACACAGCACGCUCGAAUCCCGGGCCCACCCUCAAAACCGUGGGCUAUAGCACACCGAUUUAGCCAGAAAAUGCCCUUUUCGUGCUAUUUUGCCCAUUUGUCCACCCAAGUUGCCACGAAAAUUUAAACUAACUACAUCGGGACAAUCCCCAACCUUCCUAGCACGCCUUGAUCUAUUUUUGGCCCACAACAUACCCGGACCCUGGGCCCACCCUUGAAACCAUAGGCUAUAGCACACCGAUUUGGCCCGAAAAUACCACGUUCAUGAUAUUUCUCUCAUUUAUCCACCCAAAUUGCCACAAAAAUUUAAAUGGAUAACACUGGGAUAAUACCCAACCUACUUUGCACGCCUCAGUCAGUUUUUUGCCCUCAUCACGCUCGGACCCCGGCCCACCCCGGAAAUCAUGGGCUAUAGCACACCGAUUUGGCUCAAAAAUGCCCUGUUCGUGCUUUUAUGCGCAUUUGCCCACCCAAAUGGCUACAAAAAUUUAAACGAACCACACUGGGAAGAUCCCUAACCUUUUUGGCAUACCCCGAUCGAUUUUCAGCCCAUAACACGCCCGGACCCCGAUCUCACUCUUAAAAUCGUGGGCUAUAGCACACCAAUUUGGCCCGAAAAUAUUCCAUUCGCGCCAUUUCAACUGUUUUUCCUCCCAAACAGCCAUAAAAAUUUAAACGGACCACACUGGGAGGAUCCCCAUCCUCCCUGGCAUGCCCCAGUCGAUUUUUGGUCCAAAGCAUGCCCGGACCCCGAACCUUCCCCAAAAACUGUGGGCUAUAGCUCACCGAUUUGGCCCAAAAAUGCCCCGUUCGCAUCAUUUCGCCUGUUUGUCCACCCAAAUGGCCAUAAAAAUUUAAACGAACCACACUGGGAUGAACCCCAACCUCUCUGCCAUGCCCCGAUCUAUUUUUAGCAUACAACACACCCUGAACCCGAGCACCCCUCAAAACCACGAGCUACAACAUACUAAUUUGGCCCAAAAAUGCCUCGUUCGCAUCAUUUUGCUCGUUUGUCUACCCAAAUGCCACAAAAAUUUAAAAAAAAAUUACUCGGACGAUCCCCAACCUUCCUGGCAUGCCCCGAUAAAUUUUUAGCCCAUAACAGGUUCGAACCCUGGGCCCACCCAUAAAAUCAUAGGCUAUAGCACAACGAUUUGGCUUGAAAAUGUCCCGUUCGCACCGUUUUGACUGUUUUUCCAUCCAAAUGGCCAUGAAAAUUUAAACAGACCAUACUUGGAUGAUCCCCAACCUCCCUAGCAAGCCUCGAUUGAUUUUUGGUCGACAACAUGCCCAGACUGCGGGCCAACUCCCGAAACAGUGGGUUAUAGCACAUUUAUUUAGCCCAAAAAUGGCUCGUUCGCGCCGUUUCACCCAUUUGUCCACCCAAAUAGCCAAGAAAAUAUAAAUGGACCACAAUGGGACAAUCCUCGACCUCCCUAACAUAUCUCAGUCAAUUUUCGGCCCAUAGGACACUCGGACCCCAGGUCACCCCCGAAACCGUUGGCUAUAGCACACCGAUUUGGCUUAAAAAUGCCCUAUUCGUGUCGUUUCACUCGUUUGUCCACACAAAUGGCCACGAAAAUUUAAAUGGACCACAAUGGGACGAUCCCAAACUUCCCUGGCAUACCCCAAUCAAUUUUUGACCCACAACAUGCCCAAACCAUGGACCCACCCCCAAAAUCAUGGGCUAUAGCACACCAAUUUGGCCCAUAAACGCCUCGUUAGCAUCGUUUCACCCUUUGGUCCACCCAAAUAGCAUCAAAAAUUUAAACGGAACACAAUGAGAUGAUCCCCAACCUCCUUGGACUGCCAUGAUUGAUUUUUGGCGCAUAGCACGCCUGAACCCCAGGCCCACCCCAAAACAGUGCGCUAUAGCACACUAAUUUGGUUCGAGAAUGCCCCGUUCACGCUUUUUCACCCGUUUGUCCACCUAAAUAGCCACAAAAAUUUAAACGAACUACAUUGGGAUGAUCCCCAACCUUCCUCUCAUGCCCCAGUUGAUUUUUGCCCCACAGCACACCCAGACCCCAGACCCACCCCCUAAAAUAGUAGGCCAUAGCACACCAAUUUGGACCGAUAAUGCCCCAUUAGUGUCGUUUCGCCCAUUUUUCCACCUAAAUGGCCGCAAAAAUUUAAAUGGACCAGGGACAAUCCCCAAUCCCCUGGCAUGCCCCUAUCAAUUUUUAACCCACAGUACGCCCAAACCCCGGGCCCACCCUCAAAACCAUGGGCUAUAGCACACCGAUUUGGCCCAAAAAUGCCCCGUUCGUGCAGUUUCGCUCGUUUGUCCACCCAAAUAUCCAUGAAAACUUAAAUGGUCCAUACUGGGAUAAUCCCCAACCACGCUGGCAUGCCACGAUCAAUUUUCGGCAUACAACACGCUCAAAACUGGGGACUACCCCUGAAACAGGGGGCUAUAGUGCACCGAUUUGGCCCGAAAAUGCCCCAUUUGUGCUGUUUCGCUCGUUUGUCCACCCAAUUAUCACAAAAAUUUAAACGGACCACACUGGGAUGAUCUUCAACCUCCCUAGAACACCCCUAUCAAUUUUGGCCCACAACACACAUGGACCCUAGGCCCACCCCCAAAAUCGUGGGCUAUAGCACAUCGAUUUAUCCCAAAAAUGGCCCGUUUGCGUUGUUUUGACCAUUUGUUUACUCAAAUGGCCACAAAAAUUUAAAUAGACCACACUGGGACGAUCCCCAACCUCGCUGGCACAUCCUUACAUAUUUUUUGCCCACAGCAUGCCCUGACCCCGAGUUCACCCCCAAAACCGUAGGCUAUAGCACACGAAUUUGGCCCGAAAAUGCCCCGUUCACGCCGUUUCGCCCGUUUGACCUCCUAAAUGGCCACGAAACAGAUCACACUGGGAUGAUUCUUUUCUUCCCUGGCAUAUCCUGAAUUGUUUUUGGCCCACAGCACGCUCGAACCCUGGGCCUACCACCAAAACCAUAUGCUAUAGCACAUUAAUUUGGCCUGAAAAUGCCCCAUUCGCGCUGUUUUGCCCAUUUGUCCACCCAAAUAGCUAUAAAAAUUUAAACGAACCAUACUAGGAUGAUCCGAAACCUCCCUGGCAUGACCCGAUCAAUUUUCAGCCCAUAGCACACCCAAACCAUGGAUCCACCCCUAAAACCGUGGGCUAUGGCACAUAGAUUUGGCCCAAAAAUGCCCCAUUCACGCCGUUUAGCCCGUUUCUCCACCAGAAUGGCCAGGAAAUUUAAACGGACUAUACUGGGAUGAUUCCCGACCUCCCUGUCAUACCCCGGUCUAUUUUCGGCCUACAGUACGCCCGGACCCCAGGCCCACCCCCGAAACCAUAGGCUAUAGCACACCAAUUUAGCUAAAAAAUGCGUCGUUCGCAUCGUUUCACCCAUUUGUCCACCCAAAUGGCCACAAAAAAUUAAAUGGACUGCACUGGGAGGAUCCCCAACCUCCCUGGCAUGCCCCGAUAGAUUUUCGGCCCACAGCACGCCCGGACACCCAGCCCACCCCAAAACCAUGUGCUAUAGCACAUCGAUUUGGCUCAAAAAUGGCUCGUUUGUAUGUUUAUCCACCCAAAUGGCCAUGAAAAUUUAAACGGAUCAUACUGGGACGAUCCCCAACCUCCCUGGCAUGCCCAGAUAAAUUUUCAACCCACAGCAUCCCCGGACCUCAGGCCCAACCCCAAAACCGUAGGCUAUAGCACACUGAUUUAGCCCCAAAAUACCUCGGUCGCAUCGUUUCGCCCAUUUAUCCACCCAAAUAGUCACAAAAAAUUUAAUGAACCACGCUGUGAUGAUCCCUACUUCCCUGGCAUGUCCCGAUUGAUUUUUGGCCUACAGCACGCCCGAACCUCGGGCCCAUCCCCGAAACCGUUUGCUAUAGCAUACCAAUUUGGCCUAAAAAUGCCUUGUUUGCGUCGUUUUGCCUGCUUGACCUCCCAAAUGGCCAGUAAAAUUUAAACGGACCACACUAGGAUGAUCCCCAACCUUCCUGGCACGCCGCGGUCAAUUUUUGACCUACAGCAUGCCCGAACACCGAGACCACCCCCAAAAUCAUGGCCUAUAGCACAUCGAUUUUGCCCGAUAAUGCCCCGUUCGUGCUGUUUUACCUGUUUGUCCACCCAAAUGGCAACAAAAAUUUAAACGAACCACACUGGGAUGAUCCCCGACCUCCCGGGCAUAUCCCAAUCGAUUUUUGUCCUACAGCAUGCCCGACCUGGGCCUACCCCCAAAACUGUGGGCUAUAGUACACCAAUUUAGCUUGAAAAUGCCCCAUUUGCACCAUUUUGCCUGUUUGUGCACCCAAAUAGCCACGAAAAUUUAAACGGACCAUACUGGGACGAUCCCCGACCUUCCUGGCACGUCCCGAUUGAUUUUUGGACCACAACACGGCCGAACCCUAUGCCUGAUCAAUUUUUGAACAACAAUACGCUUGAACCCCGUGCCCACCCUUUAAACCGUGGGCUAUAGCUCACCGAUUUAGCCCAAAAAUAUCCCAUUCGUGCUGUUUCACCCGUUUGUCUACCCAAAUGGCAAUGAAAAUUUAAACGGACCGUACUGGGAUGAUCCCCGACCUUCCUGGCACGCCCUGAUAAAUUUUUGGCCCACUGCACGCCCGAACCCUUGGCCCACCCCCAAAACUGUGGGCUAUAGCAUACCAAUUUAGCCCAAAGAUGCCCCGUUCGCGCCGUUUCGCCCGUUUGUCCACCCAAAUGGAAACGAAAAUUUAAACAGACCAUACUGGGACUAUCCCGAACUCACUGAAAUGCCCAAAUCAAUUUUCAGAGCACAGAACGCCUGGACCCCGGGCCCACCACCAAAAUCGUGGGCUAUAGCACACCGAUAUGGUUUGAAAAUGCCCUGUUCGCACUGUUUUUCCAUUUGUCCACCCAAAUAGGCACAAAAUAUUAAACGGACCACACUAGGAUGAUUUUCGACCUCCCUAAAAUGCCCGAACCUCAUGCCCACCCCUAAAACCGUGGGCUAUAGCACACUGAUUUGGUGCAGAAAUGCCCUAUUCUUGCUGUUUCGCCCGUUUGUCCACCCAAAUGGCCACGAAAAUUUAAAAGUACCAUACAGGUAUGAUCCCCGACUUUCCUAACAUGCCUCGAUCAAAUUUUAACCCAUAGCACACCCGGAACCCGGGCCCACCCCUAAAACCAUGGGCUAUAUAGCACACCGAUUUGGCCCGAACAUGUCUCGUUCGUAUUAUUUUGCUCAUUUAUCCACCCAAAUAGCCAUAAAAAUUUAACCAGACCAUACUGGGACGGUUCUCGACCUCCCUUGAAUGCCAAAAUCAAUUUUUGGCCCACAGCACGCUGGACCCCAGGCCCACCACCAAAACCGUGGGCUAUAGCACACCAAUAUGGCCCGAAAAUGCCCCGUUCGCACUAUUUUUCUAGUUUGUCGACCCAAAUGGCCACGAAAAUUUUAACGGACCACACUAGGACUUUUCCUGACCUCCCUGGAAUGACCCAAUCAGUUUUUGUCCCACAGCAUGGCUGUACCCCGAUCCUACCCCCAAAAGCAUGGGCAAUAGCAUACCAAUUUGGCUUGAAAAUGCCCUGUUCGUGCCGUUUGGCCCGUUUGGCCCGUUUGUCCACCCAAAUGGCCACAAAUAUUUAAACAGAUGACACUGGGAUGAUUCCCAACCUCCCUGGAUCUCCCCGAUUGAUUUUUGACCCACAGCAUGCCUAGACCCCGAGCCCGCCCCUCCUACCCUAAAGCCGUGGGCUAUUGCACAUCAGUUUGUUUCAAAAAUGCCCCGUUCGAGCCGGUUCGCCCGUUUGUCCACCCAAAUGAUCAAAAAAUUUAAAUGGACUACACUGGGAUGAUCCCCAACCUCCCUGGCACGCCCCGAUCAAUUUUCAGCACAUAGCACGCCCGGACCCCAGGCCCACCCCCAAAAUCGUGGGCUAUUGCACACUGAUUUAGCCCGAAAAUGCCCCGUUUGCACUGUUUUGCUUGUUUGUCCACUCAAAUAGUCACAAAAUUUUGAACGGACCACCCUGGACGAUCCCCAACCUACCUGGCACGACCCAGUUAGCUUUUAGUCCACAACACAUUGGACCCCGAGCCCACCCUAGAAACCGUGGGCUAUAGCACACUAAUUUGGCCUGAAAAUAUCCCAUUUGCACCGUUUUGCCCGUUUGUCCACCCAAAUGGCCACAAAAAUUUAAACGAACAACACUAUAAUCAUCCCCACCCCCUGGCAUGCCUCUAUCAAUAUUAGACCUACAGGACGCCCGAACCCUGGGCCCACCCUCAAAAUCGUGGGCUUUAGCACACCGAUUUGUCCCGAAAAUACCUCGUUUGCGCAGUUUCACUCGUUUGUCAACCCAAAUGACCACGAAAAUUUAAAUGGUCCAUACUGGGAUAAUCUCCAACCACCCUGGCACACCACGGUCAAUUUUCAACCCACAGCACGCCCGGACCCGGGUCCGCCCCCAAAAUAGGGGGCUAUAGUGCACCGAUUUGGCCCGAAAAUGCCCAUUUGUGCUGUUUCGCUCGUUUGUCCACCCAAUUUCCACAAAAAUUUAAACGGACCACAUUGGGAUGAUCUCCAACCUCCCUAGCACGCCUUGAUCAAUUUCAACCCACAACACGCACGGACCCCAGGCGCACUCCCGAAAUCGUGGGCUAUAGCACACCAAUUUAUUCUAAAAAUGACCCAUUCACGUCGUUUCGACCGUUUGUCCACUCAAAUGACCACAAAAAUUUAAAUGGUUCAUACUGGGAUGAUCUCCAACCUCCCUGGCACACCUCGAUCAAUUUUGGCACACAACACACACGGACCCCAGGCCCACCCCCAAAACCGUGGGCUAUAGCACACCAAUUUGUCCUAAAAAUAACCUAUUUGCGUCGUUUCGACCGUUUGUCCACUCAAAUGGCCACAAAAAUUUAAAUGGACUACACUGAGAUGAUCCCCAACCUUCCUGGUACACCCCUGCCAAUUUUCGGUGGACAACAUGCCCCAACACCGAUUCCAACCCCAAAACCGCAGGCUAUGGCACACGAAUUUGGCUCGAAAACACCCCGUUCCCCGUUCACCCGUUUUUCUUCCUAAAUAGCCACGAAAAAUUAAACAGACCACACUAGGAUGAUCCUUUUCUUCCCUAGAAUAUCCCGAUUAUUUUCAGCACGCAGCACGCCCGAACCCUGAACCCACCCCUGAAACCGUACGCUAUAGCACACCGAUUUAGCCUGAAAAUGCUCUAUUCAUGCCGUUUUACCCAUUUGUCCAUCCAAAUAGCCACAAAAAUUUAAACAGACCAUACUGGGAUGAUGCCCAACCUCCCUGGCAUGACCUGAUCGGGCCCACAGCACACCCGAACCCCGGAUCCACCCCAAAAUUGUGGGCUGUAGCACACCGAUUUGGCUAAAAAAUGCCCCAUUCAUGCCGUUUCGCCCGUUUGUUCGCCCGAAUGGCCAGGAAGUUUAAACGGACUACACUGGGAUGAUUUCUGACCUCCCUAGCUGCCCUGGUCGAUUUUUUGCCCACAACAUGCCCAGACCUCGGGACCACCCCUGAAACCAUACACUAUAACACACCGAUUUAGCUUAAAAAUGCAUCGUUCACGCUGUUUCACUUGUUUAUCCACCCAAAUAGGAAAAAAAAAUUAAAUGGACUACACUGGGAGGAUCCUCAACCUCCCUGGCAUGGCCCGAUUGUUUUUCGGCCCACAGCACACCUGGACCCCGAGCCCACCCCAAAAUCGUGCCCUAGAGCACAUCGAUUUGGCUAAAAAAUGAACUAUUCGUCCAUUUAUCCACCCAACCUCCCUGGCAUGCCCCGAUCGAUUUUCAACCCACAGCAUGCCCGAACCUCGGGCCCAACCCCAAAACCAUGGGCUAUAGCACACCGAUUUAGCCCCAAAAUGCCUCGUUCACGUUAUUUCGCUCAUUUGUCCACCCAAAUAGCCACAAAAAUUUUAACGGACCAUGCUGUGAUGAUCUCAACUUCCCUGGCAUGCCUUGAUUGAUUUUUGGCGCACAGCACGCUCGGACCCUGUGCCCAUCCCCGAAACCGUAGGCUAUAGCACACCGAUUUGGACCGAAAAUGCCCCGUUCGUGCUGUUUUGCCCGCUUGACCUCCCAAAUGGCCACAAAAAUUUAAACGGACCUCACUGGGAUGAGCUUCGAUCUCCCUGGCAUGCCCCGAUCAAUUUUUGGUGUACAGCAUGCCCGAACACAGAGCCCACCCCCCAAAAUCGUGGGCUAUAGCACACCAAUUUUUCCCAAUACUUCUGCGUUCACACCGUUUCUCCUGUUUGUCCACCCAAAUGGCAACGAAAAUUUAAACGAACCACACUGGGAUGAUUUCCAACCUCCCUGGCAUGUCUUAAUCGAUUUUUGUCCUACAUCAUGCCCGGACCUGGGCCCACCCCCAAAACCGUCGGCUAUAGCACACUGAUUUGGCUUGAAAAUGCCCCGUUCGCACUGUUUUGCCUGUUUGUGCACCCAAACAACCACAAAAAUUUAAACGGACCCACACUAGGAGGAUCCCCAUCCUCCCUGGCAAACCCCGAUCGAUAUUUAGCCCAAAGCACGCUCGUAUCCCGAAUGCACCCCAAAAACUGUGGGCUAUAGCUCAUUGAUUUGGCCCAAAAAUGCCCCAUUCGUGUCAUUUCGACUGUUUGUCCACCCAAAUGGCCACAAAAAUUUAAACGAACCAUACUGGAAUGAUCCCCAACCUCCCUGCCAUGCCCCGGUCAAUUUUUAGUAUAUAGUAUGCCCAGACCUCGAGCACCCCCCCAAAACCGUGGGGUAUAGCAUACUAAUUUGGCCCAAAAAUGCCCCGUUCGCAUCAUUUUGCCCGGUUUUCCACCCAAAUGCCACAAAAAUUUAAACUAAAGUCACUGGGACGAUCCCCAACCUCCCUGGCAUGCCCCGAUUAAUUUUUGUCCCACAGCAGGUCUGGACCCCGGGCCCACCCCCUAAACCAUGGGCUAUAGCACAACAAUUUGGCCCGAAAAUGCCCCGUUCACGCUGUUUUGACUGUUUUUCCACCCAAAUGGCCAUGAAAAUUUAAAUACACCAUACUGGGAUGAUCCCCAACCUCCCUAGCAAGCCCCGAUCGAUUUUUGGCCCACAGCAUGCCCAGACCAUGGGCCCACUCCCUAAAUCGUGGGUUCUAGCACACCUAUUUACCCCAAAAAUGGCUCGUUCGCGCUGUUUUGCCCAUUUGUCCACCCAAAUAGCCAUGAAAAAAUAAAUGGACCACAAUGGGUUGAUCCCCAACCUCCCUAGUAUAUCCCGAUCAAUUUUUGACCCAUAGGACACUCAGACCCCAGGCCCACUAUCGAAACCGUUGGCUAUAGCACACUAGUUUGGGUUGAAAAUGCCCUGUUUGAGCCGUUUCACCCGUUUGUCCACCCAAAUGGCCACAAAAAUUUAAAUGGACCACAAUGGGACAAUCCCCAACAUCCCUGGCAUGACCCGGUCAAUUUUUGACCCAUAACACGCCUGAACCAUGGGCUCACCCCCAAAAUCGUGGGCUAUAGCACACCGAUUUAGCCCGUAAAUGCAUCGUUAGUGCCGUUUCGCCCUUUUGUCCACCCAAAUAGCAAUGAAAAUUUAAACAGAACACAAUGAGAUGAUCCCCAGCCUCCUUGGCAUGCCACGAUCGAUUUUCAACCCAUAGAACGCCCAAACCCAAGGACCACCCCCAAAACAGUGCACUAUAGCACACUAAUUUGGUUCGAGAAUGCCCCAUUCGCGCUAUUUCACCCGUAUGUCAGCCCAAAUAGCCACAAAAAUUUAAACGAACUACACUGGGAUGAUCCCCAACCUCCCUGGGAUGCCCCGGACCCACCCCCUAAAAUAGUUGUCUAUAGCUCACCGAUUUGGACUGACAACUCCCCAUUUGUGCCGUUUCGCCCGUUUGUCCACCCAAAUGGCCACAAAAAUUUAAAUAGACCAUACUGGGAUGAUCCCCAACCCCCCUGGCAUGCCUCUAUCAAUUUUAAACCCACAGCACGGCCGAACCCUGUGCCCACCCUUGAAACCGUAGGCUUUAGCACACCGAUUUGGCUCGAAAAUGCCCCGAUCGUGCAGUUUCUCUCGAUUGUCAACCCAAAUAGACACAAAAAUUUAAAUGGUCCAUACUGGGAUAAUCUCCAACCACCCUGGCAUGCCACAAUCAAUUUUUGACCCACAGCACGCCCGGACCCCGGGUCCGCCCCCAAAACAGAGGGCUAUAGUGCACCGAUUUGACCACACUGGGAUGAUCUCCAACCUCCCUGGCACACCCGGAUCAAUUUCGACCCAUAACACGCACGAACCCCAGGCCCACCCCCAAAACCAUGGGCUAUAGCACACCAAUUUGUCCUAAAAAUGAUCCGUUCGCGCCGUUUUGACCGUUUGUCCACUCAAAUGGCCACAAAAAUUUAAAUGGACCACACUGGGAUGAUCCCUAACCUCGCUGGCACACCCCUUCCAAUUUUUGGCGGACAGCAUGCCCCAACUGCGAUUCCACCCCUAAAAUCGCAGGCUUUGGCACACGAAUUUGGCUCGAAAAUGCCUCGUUCACGCCGUUCGCCCAUUUUUCCUCCUAAAUGGCCACAAAAAAUUAAACGAACCACACUAGGAUGAUCCAUUUCUUCCCUGGCAUAUCCCAAUUAUUUUUGGCCCACAGCACACCCGAACCCUGAACCCUCCCCUAAAACCGUAUGCUACAGCACACCGAUUUAGCCCGAAAAUGCUCCAUUCACGCUGUUUUACCCAUUUGUCCACCCAAAUAGCCAACAAAAUUUAAACGGACCAUACUGGGAUGAUCCCCAACCUCCCUGGCAUGACUUGAUUGAUUUUUGGCCCACAGCACACCCGAACCCCGGAUCCAAACCCAAAAUUGUGGGUUGCAGCACACCGAUUUGGCUCGAAAAUGCCCCAUUCACACCAUUUCGCCCGUUUGUUCGCCUGAAUGGCCAGGAAAUUUAAACAAACUACACUGGGAUGAUUCCUGACCUCCCUGGAAUGCCCUGGUCGAUUUUUUCCCCAAAGUAUUCCCAGAACCCGGGCCCACCCCCAAAACCAUAGGCUGUAGCACACCGAUUUAGCUCAAAAAUGCAUCGUUCGCGCCGUUUCACCCAUUUAUCCACCCAAAUGGCAACAAAAAAUUAAAUGGACUACACUGAGAGGAUCCUCAACCUCCCUGGCAUGACCCGAUAGAUUUUUAGCCCACAACACGCCUAAACCCCGAGCCCAUCCCAAAAUCGUGCCCUAGAGCACAUCGAUUUGGCCUGAAAAUGACCCAUUCAUCCGUUUAUCCACCCAACCUCCCUGGCAUCGCCCGAUCGAUUUUCAACCCACAGCAUGCCCGAACCUCGAUCCCAAUGCUAAAACCAUGGGCUAUAACACACUGAUUUAGCCCCAAAAUGCCUCGUUCGCAUUAUUUCGCCCAUUUGUCCACCCAAAUAGCCGCAAAAUUUUUAACAGACCACGCUGUGAUGAUCCCAACUUGCCUGGCAUGCCCCGAUUGAUUUUCAUCCCACAGCACGCCCGGACCCUGUGCCCAUCCCCGAAACCAUAGGCUAUAGCACACUGAUUUGGCUCAAAAAUGCCACGUUCACGCCGUUUUGCCUGCUUGACCUCCCAAAUAGCCAUAAAAAUUUAAACGGACCACACUGGGAUGAGCCCCGAUGUCGUUGGCAUGCCCCGAUCAAUUUUUCGCCUACAGCAUGCCCGAACACCGAGGCCACCUCCCAAAAUCGUGGUCUAUAGAACAUCGAUUUUUCCCAAUACUUCCGCGUUCACGCUGUUUCACCUGUUUGUCCACCCAAAUGGCAACAAAAAUUUAAACGAACCAUACUGGGAUGAUCCCCGACCUCCCUGGCAUGUCUCAAUCAAUUUUUGUCCUACAGAAUGCCCGGACCCGAGCCCACCCCCAAAACCGUCGGCUAUAGCACACUGAUUUGGCUUGAAAAUGCCCUGUUCGAAUUGUUUUGCCCGUUUGUGCUCCCAAAUAGCCAAAAAAAUUUAAGCAGACCACACUGGGAUGAUCCCCGACCUCCUUGGCAUGUCCCAGUCAAUUUUUGGACUACAACACGAUCUAACCCUAUACCCGAUCAAUUUUCGAACCACAACACGCCCGAACCCCAUGCCCACCCCUAAAAUCGUGGGCUAUAGCUCACCAAUUUUGCCCAAAAGUGCCCCGUUCGUGCUGUUACGCCCGUUUGUCCACCCAAAUGGCCACAAAAAUUUAAACGGACCAUACUGGGAUGAUCCCUGACCUCCCUGACAUGCCUCGAUCAAUUUUUGGCCCACAGCACCCCCGGACCCUUGUCCCACCCCCAAAACCGUGGGCUAUAGAAUACCGAUUUAGCUCGAAGAUGCCUCAUUCGCGCCGUUUUGCUCGUUUGUCCACCCAAAUGGCCACGAAAAUUUAAAUGGACCAUACUUAGACUAUCCCCAACCUCCCUGGAAUGCCCAAAUCAAUUUUCGGCCCACGACACGCCUGGACCCCGAGCCCAGCUAUAAAAUCGUGGGCUAUAGCACACCGAUAUGGUCCAAGAAUGUCUUGUUCGCACCAUUUUUCCCAUUUGUCAACCCAAAUGGGCACAAAAUUUUAAACGAACCACAUUAGGACGAUCCCCGACCUCCCUAAAAUGCCCGGACCUCGAGCCCCCUAAAACCAUGGGCUAUAGUACACCGAUUUGGCCCAAAGAUGCCUCGUUCGCAUUAUUUCGCUCGUUUGUUCACCCAAAUGGCAAUGAAAAUUUAAACGGACCAUACUGGGACGAUUCUCGACCUCCCAUGAAUGCCCAAAUCAAUUUUUGGCCCACAGCACGCCUGGACCUUGGGCCCACCCCCAAAACCGUGGGCUAUAGCACAUCGAUAUGGCUAGAAAAUGCCCCGUUCAUACCAUUUUUCCCGUUUACCGACCUAAAUAGCCACGAAAAUUUAAACGGACCACACUAGGACUUUCCCCGACCUCCCUGAAAUGCCCCGAUUAGUUUUUGGCCCAUAACACUACUAUACCUUGGUCCCACCCCCGAAAUCAUGGGCAAUAGCACAUCGAUUUGGCUCAAAAAUACUUCGUUCAUGUCAUUUCGCCCGUUUGUCCACCCAAAUGGCCACAAAUAUUUAAACGGACCACACUGGGAUGAUCCCCAACCUCCUUGGCUCUCCCCAAUUGAUUUUGGGCUCACAACACACCUAGACCCCGAGCUCGCCCCUCCUACCCCAAAGUCGCGGUCUAUUGCACACCGAUUUGUUCUGAAAAUGCCCCAUUCGAGCUGUUUUGCCCGUUUGUCCACCCAAAUCAUCAAAAAAAUUUAAAUGGACAAUACUAGGACGAUCUCCAACCUCCCUGGUAUGCCCCGGUCAAUUUUCAGCCCACAGCAUGCCCGGACCCCAGGACCACCCCUAAAAUCGUGGGCUAUUGCACACUGAUUUGGCCCAAAAGUGCCCCGCUUGUGCUGUUUUGCUUGUUUGUCCACCCAAAUGGCCACAAAAAUUUAAACGGACCACAUUGAAUGAUCCCCAACUUCCCUGGCACACCUCGGUUAGUUUUUAGCCCACAGCACAUUGGACCCCAGGCCUACCCAAGAAACCGUGGGCUAUAGCACACUGAUUUUGGCCCGAAAUUGCCUCAUUUACGCCAUUUCGCCCGUUUGUAGACCCAAAUGGCCACAAAAAUUUAAACGGACCACAAUGGGAUAAUCCGCAACCUCCCUGGCAUGGCUCGGCCGAUUUUCAGCCCACAACACACCCAGACCCCGAGCCCACCCCCAAAACUGUGGGCUAUAGCUAACCGAUUUGUCCAAAAAAUACCCCGUUCGUGCCGUUUUGCCCGUUUGUCAACCCAAAUGGCCACAAAAAUUUAAACAGACCACAUUUAGAUGAUCCCCAACCUCCCUGUCAUGCACCAGUCAAUUUUUGUCCCACAGCACGCUCGGACCCCAGGCCCACCCCCUAAAUUGUGGUCUAGUACAUUGAUUUGGCUCGAAAAUGCCUCAUUCGUCCAGUUUCGCCCGUUUGUCCAUCCAAAUGGCCAUAAAAAUUUAAACGGACCAUACUGGAAUGAUCCCUAACCUCCCUGGCAUGCCCAAUUUUUUUUUCAAGCCACAGCAUGCCCGAAUCCCAGGCCCUCACCCGAAACCGUGGGCUAUAGCACACCGAUUUGGCGAAAAAAUGCCCCAUUCACACCGUUUCACUCAUUUGUUCACCCAAAUGGACACAAAAGUUUAAAUGAACCACACAGGGACGAUCCCCAACCUCCCUAGCAUACCCCGAUUGAUUUUUCAAAUCACACCACGCCCAGCCCCCCUUAAAAUCGUUGGCUACAGCCUACCGAUUUGGCUCAAAAAAGCAUCGUUUGCACUAUUUUACAUGUUUCUCCACCCAAAUAGCACGAAAAUUUUAACAGACCACACUGGGACAAUCCCUAACCUCCCUGGCAUGCCCCGAUUGAUUUUUGUCCCACAGUACAUCGGACCCCGAGCCCACCCUCAAAAUCAUGGGCUAUAGUACACUGAUUUGGCCUGAAAACGGUCCACACUAAGAUGGUCCCCAACUUCCCUAGCAUGCCCCGAUCAAUUUUUAGCCUAUAACACACCUGAACCCCAGGCCCACUCCCAAAACCGUGGGCUAUAGCACACCAAUUUAGCUAAAAAAAUGCCCCGUUUACAUCCGUUCGCUCGUUUGUCCACCCAAAAGGCCAUAAAAAUUUAAAUGGACCACACUGGGAAAUUCCCCAACCUCCUAGGCAUGCUCCGGUCAAUUUUUCUCCCACAGCAUGCCAGAACCACCCUCAAAACCAUGGGCUAUAAGCACAACGAUUUGGCCCAAAAAUGCCCCGUUCAUGCUGUUUUUCCCUUUUGUACACCCAAAUAGCCAUAAAAAUUUAAACUGACCAUACUGGGUUAAUCCCAAGCCUCGCUGGCAUGCCCCGGUUGAUUUUAGGCCCAUAGCACGCCUAAACCCCUCGUCCACCCCUAAAACCGUGGGCUGUAGCACACUGAUUUGUCUGAAAAAUGCCUCGUUCGCGCUGUUUCGCCCGUUUGUCCACCCAAGUGGCCACCAAAAUUAAAUGGACCACACUGGGACAAUCACCAGCCUCUCUGGUAUGCCCCAGAUGAUUUUCAACCCACAGCAUGCCCGGACCCCGGGCUUACCCCCAAAACCAUGGGCAUAGCACACCCAUUUGGCCCAAAAAUGCCUUGUUUGCGCUGUUUCGCCCGUUUGUCCUCCCAAAUCGACAUAAAAAUUUAAAUGGCCCAUACUGGGAUGAUCCUCGAUUUCCUUGGCAUGACCUGGUCAAUUUUUGGCCCACAGCACGCCCGAACCCCAUGCCCACCCCAAAAUCGUGGGUUAUAGCACACCAAUUUGGUCCAAAAAUACCCGAUUCAUGCCGUUUUGCUCGUUUAUCCACCCAAAUGGCCAUCAAAAUUUAAAUGGAUCACACUGGGACGAUCCUAACCUUCCUGGAAUGCCCCAAUCUAUUUUUAUCCCACAACACACUCGGAUCCCCGCCCCACCCCCAAAACAGUGGGUUAUAGCACACCGAUUUGGCCAGAAAAUGCCCCAUUCGCGUCGUUUCACCCGUUUGGGCACCCAAAUGGCCACAAAAAAUUAAACGGACCAAAUUAGGAUGAUCCCCAACCUCCCUGGCUCGCUUCGAUCGAUUUUUGACCUACAGCAUGCUCGAACCCUGGGCCGACCCCCGAAACCGUGGGCUAUAGCACACCAAUUUAGCCUGAAAAUGCCCCAUUCGUACCGUUUCGCCCAUUUGUCUACCCACAUGGCCACGAAAAUUUAAACGAACCACACUGGGAUGAUCCCUAGCCUCCCUGUCAUACCUCGAAUGAAUUUUAGACUACAGCACACCCGAAUCCUGGGACCACCCCCAAAAUCAAGGGCUAUAGCACACCGAUUUAUCACGAAAAUGCCCCGUUCACGUUAUUUCACUUGUUUGUCCACCCAAAUGGCCAUAAAAAUUUAAACGGACCAUAAUGGGAUGAUCCCAAAUCCCCUGGCAUGUCCAGGUUGAAUUUUGACCCACAGCACGCUCAGACCCCGAGCCCACCCCCGAAACCAUGAGCUAUAGCACACCUAUUUGGGUCAAAAUGCCUCAAUCGCACCAUUUUGCCCGUUUGUCCACCAAAAUGGCCACAAAAAUUUAAACGGACCAUAUUGGGAUGAUAUCCAACAUCCCUGGCAUGUCUCGGUCAAUUUUUGGCCCACAGCAUAACUGGACCCCGGGCUCAUCCCCAAAAGCAUGGGCAUAGCACACCGAUUUAGCCCAAAAAUGCCUUGUUCGCAUUGUUUCGCUCGUUUGUCCUCCCAAAUAGCCAUGAAAAUUUAAAUGGACCAUAUUAAGAAGAUCCCCAACCUCCCUGGCAUGCCUAGGUUGAUUUUUGGCCCACAAUAUGCUCGGACCUUGUGCCACCCCAAAAACCGUGGGCUAAAGCACACUGAAUUGGCCCAAAAUGCCCCAUUUGCGCUGUUUUGCCCGUUUGUCCACCCAAAUGGCCACAAAAUUUAAACGAACCAUACUGGGACAAUCCCUAACCUUCCUGGUACAGCUUGAUCAAUUUUUGGCCUACACUACGCCUGAAUCUUGGGCCCACCCUCAAAAUUGUGGGCUAUAGCACUUCGAUUUUACCUAAAAACACCCAAUUCGCGUUGUUUCGCCUCUUUAUCCACCCAAAUGGCCACGAAAAUUUAAAUAGACGACACUGGGAUGAUCCCCAAACUCCUUGGGACGCCCCGAUCAAAUUUUAGCCUGCAACAAGCCUAGAUCUUGAUCCAACCCCAAAAAUCAUAGGCAAUAGCACACAGAUUUGGCCCAAAAAUGCCUCGUUCAAACGAUUUUCCCCGUUUGUCCACCCAAAUGGCCAGGAAAAUUUAAACAGACCAAACUGGGACAAACCCCAGCCUCCCUGGCAUGCCCCGAUUAAUAUUUGGCCCACAGAACGCCCGGACCCCAUGCCUACCCCUAAAAUUGUGGACUACAGCACACCGAUUUGGGCCGAAAAUGCCCCAUUCGCACCGUUUCGCCCGUUUAUCUAACCAAAGGCCACAAAAAUUUAAACGGACAACACUACGAUGAUCCCCAACUGCCUAGGCAUGCCCUAAUCAAUUUUUGGCCCAUAACACGCCCAGAUCUGGAGCCCACCUCCAAAAUCGUAGGCUAUAGCACACCGAUUUGGCUUAAAAAUACCUGUUCGCACCGUUUUGCCCGUUUGUCCACCCAAAUGGCCACAAAAAUUUAAACGGACCAUACUGGGAUGAUCCUAAACAUCCCUCGCAUGUCUUGGUCAAUUUUUGGCCCACAGAACGCCUGGGUCCACCCCCAAAACCGUGCGCUAUAGCAUACCAAUUUCGCCUAAACAUGUUCCGUUCACGCCGUUUCGCCCGUUUGUCUACCCAAAUUGCUGCAAAAAUUUAAACAGACCACAUUGGGAUGAUUCCUAACUUCGCUGGCAUGCCCCGAUCAAUUUUCAGCCCCAGCACGCCCAGACCCCGGGCCCACCCCUAAAAACGUGGGCUAUAUAGCACACCGAUUUGGCUUGAAAAUGCCCCAUUCCCGCAGUUUCACCCGUUUGUCCACCCAAAUGAUCAUGAGAAUUUAAAUGGACCAUACUGGGAUGAUCCCCAACCUUCCAGGCAUGCCCCAAUCGAUUUUCGACCUACAGCACGCUCGGCCCCCAAGCCCACCUCCGAAACCGUGGGAUAUAGCACACCGAUUUGGCCUAAAAAUGCCCCAUUCGCGCCCUUUCUCCCGUUUAUCCUCCUAAAUUGUCACAAAAAUAUAAACGGACUACACUGGGAAAAUUCUCAACUUCCCUGGCAUACCCCGAUCGAUUUUCGGACCACAUCUCGCCCGAACCUCUGCCCCCCAAAACCAUGGGCUAUAGCAUACUGAUUUAGCCUAAAAAUACCCUGUUUAUGCUGUUUCGCCUAUUUAUCUACCCAAAUGGCCACAAAAAUUUAAACGAACCAUACUGGGAUGACCCGCAACCUCUCUAGCAUGCCCCGGUCAAUUUUUCGCCCACAGUACAACUGUGGGCUAUAGUGAUACAAGGAUAAUCCCAAACAUGAAUUUAUGAGAGUGCAUGUUGGAUCCGAGACUUGGUGUGUUCAAUUGAAGAGCCAAAGAUGACCUAAUUAUGCACCCAAAAUAGUCCAAACACUACACUUAGGCUACACUUGAUGGGAACCCAUCACUUAAGGGCCUUUUGGUUAUUUUUAGCUUUCAUUUUGUAAUAACUAUAUAAGUAACAUGCUAGGGCUUCCAUUAGGAGUUUUUGGGGGAUAUUAUUGUAAGUCUUGUAAGACUUGAAACACCAUAAUUAGGGCUUGACUAGUGAUUGUGUUUGCUUGGAAACAUUGAUGCUUAGGAGGUGAAAUCCAAACUUUUAUCUUUGUAAGAGAUAGAUUUAUGUGUGGUGUUAAGGGUCCAAGAUUGUCCAUUCUUGGGUUCUUAAGAUUAUACUUUUAUGUGGUCUAUCUAUCUAUAAUUUUACCUUCAUGUAAUCUUGUUUAUUGUUGUGUUGUAAUCUUGUGUUCUUGUUGUUAUUGUUAAAUUCGAAUCUUGUGUCUUCUUGUUCAUCAUAUAUUGUGGUUAAUCUUAGUUUGGACUGCUGAUUUGGUGUCAAAUACACCACUAUAUCUUGUAAUCUUAUUGUUGGUAAUGAAUCCGAGAGUGGUUUCCAUCUUGGUCCUCGAAUUCUUAAUAUUUGUAGACUGAUUUUGAGUGUUUUUCGUGCCUUCCUUGUUAGUCUUGUAUCAUAAAGUACACCAAUUUGGCCCAAAAAUGCCCCAUUCGCGCCGUUUCGCCCGUUUUGUCCACUCAAAUGGCCACGAAAAUUUAAACAGACCAUAAUAGGAUAAUCCCCAACCUCCUUGGAAUACCUCAAUCGAUUUUCGACACACAGCACACCCGGACCCCUGGCCCACCCCCAAAAUCAUGGGCUAUAGCACACCGAUUUGGCCCAAAAAUGCCACAUUCGCAUCGUUUCGCUCGUUUGAAGACUCAAAUGGCCACAAAAAUUUAAACAGACCAUACUGGGAUGAUCCCCAACCUCCUUGGUAUGCCUCGAUUGAUUUUCGGCCCACAGCAUGCCCGAACCCCUAGCCCACCCCCAAAACCAUAGGCUAAAGCACACCGAUUUGGCUAAAAAAUGCCCCGUUCGUGCUAUUUCGCCCGUUUGUCCACCCAAAUGACCGCAAAAAUUUAAAUGGACCACACAGGGAUGAUCCCCAGCCUCCUUGGCACACCCCGGUCGAUUUUCAGCACAUAGCAUGCCCGGACCCAGGGCCCACCCCAAAAACCGUGGGCUAUAGCACACCGAUUUGGCCCAAAAUGCCUCAUUAGCACCGUUUCGCCUGUUUGUCCACUCAAAUGGCCAUGAAAAUUUAAAUAGAACAUACUGGGAUGAUCCCCAACCUCCUUGGCAGACCCCGAUCGAUUUUUGGCCCACAGCAUGCCCGGACCCCUGGCCCACCCCAAAAAUCAUAGGCUAUAACACACCAAUUUGGCCUAAAAAUGCCACAUUCACGUUGUUUUGCCCGUUUGAAGACUCAAAUGGCCAUAAAAAUUUAAACGGACCAUACUGUAAUGAUCCCCAACCUCUUUGGAAUGCCCUGGUCGAUUUUCGGCCCACAGCACGCCCGGACCCCUGGCCCACCCCCAAAACCGUGGGCUAGAGCACACCAAUUUGGCUCAAAAAUGCCUCGUUCGCGCAGUUUCGCCCGUUUGUCAACCCAAAUGGCCACGAAACUUUAAACGGACCACACAAGGAUGAUCCCCAGCUUCCCAGGCACACCCCAAUAAAUUUUCAGCACACAGCAUGCCUGGACCCUGGGCCCACCCCUAAAACUGUGGGCUAUAGCACACCGAUUUUGCCCAAAAAUGCCCUGUUCGCGUCAUUUCGCCAGUUUGUCCACCCAAAUGGCCAUGAAAAUUUAAAUAGACUGUACUAAGAUGAUCCCCAACCUCCCUGGCAUGCCCAUCCAAUUUUAGGCCCACAACACGCUCGUACCCCAGGCCCACACCCAAAAUCGUAGGCUAUAGCACAUCGAUUCAGCCCGAAAAGGAUCUGUUCACCCCGCUUUGCUCGUUUGUACAUCCAAUUGGCCAUAAAAAUUUAAACGAACCAUACUAGGAUGAUCCCUAACCUUCCUGGCAUGCCCCGGUCAAUUUUUAACCUACAGCAAGCUCGGGCCCUAGGCCCAUCCCUAAAACUGUUGGCUAUAGAACACCAAUUUGGCCCUAAAAUGCCCCGUUCCCAUCGUUUUGCCUGUUUGUCUACCCAAAUAGCCACAAAAAAUUAAACGGAACAAAUUGAGACGAUCCCCAACCUCUCUUUCAUGCCCCAAUUGAUUUUCGGCCCACAGCACGCUCGGACCCCAGGCACACCCCCGAAACCAUAAGAUAUAGCACUAUGAUUUGGCCCAAAAAUGUCCCGUUCAUGCUGUUUUGCCCGUUUGUCAUCCCAAAUGGCCACGAAAAUUUAAACGGACCAUACUGGAAUGAUCCUCAACCUCCCUAUCAUGCCCUUGUUGAUUUUCGGCCCACAGCACGUCCGGAUCCUGGGCUCACCCCCAAAACCGUGGGCUAUAGCACACCUAUUUGGCCCGAAAAUGCCCCGUUCAUGCUAUUUUGCUUGUUUGUCCACCUAAAUGGUCACGAAAAUUUAAAUAGACCACAUUCGGAUGAUCCCCAGCCCUCCUGACAUGCCCUGGUCAAUUUUUAGCCUACAGUAAGCACGAACCUCGGGUCCACUCCUGAAACCGUGGGCUAUAGCACACCGAUUUAUCUUGAAAAUGCCUCGUUUGCGCUGUUUCGCCCUUUGUUCACCCAAAUGGCCACGAAAAUUUAAACGGACACACUGGAAUGAUCCCCAACCUCCCUGGCAUGCCCCGGUCGAUUUUAGGCCUAUAGUACGCCCAGACCCCAGGGCCUCCCCCAAAACUGUGGGCUAUAGGACACCAAUUUGGACCAAAAAUUUCCCGUUCACGCUGUUUCGCCUGUUUGUCCACCCAAAUGGCCACGAAAAUUAAAAUGAACCAUACUGGGAUGAUCCCAAACCUCUCUGGCAUGCCCUGGUUGAUUUUUAUCACACAGCACGCUCGGACCCCAGGCCCUUCCCCAAAAUCGUAGGCUAUAGCACCCCGAUUUAGCCCAAAAAUGCCCCAUUUUACCCGUUUGUCCACUCACAUGGCAACAAAAAUUUAAACAAACCAUACUGGGAUGAUUCCCAACCUCCCUGAUACACCUCGAUCGAUAUUCAUCCUACAUCAUGCUCGAACCCCGAGCCCACCUCCGUUCGUGCCGUUUCGUCCGUUUGUUCACCCAAAUGACCAUGAAAUUUUAAACGGACCAAACUGGGAUGAUCGCAACCUUCUUGGGAUACCCCGAUUUAAUUUUUAGCCCACAGCAUGCCCGAACCCCGGGACCACCCCAGAAACUGUGGGCUAUAGCACACCGAUUUGGCCCAAAAAUGCCCCGUUCGUGCUGUUUUGCUCGUUUGUCGACCCAUAUAGCCACAAAAAUUUAUACAGGCCACACUGGGAUGAUCCCCAACCUCUUUGGCAUGCCUCGAUCAAUUUUUGUCUCAAACUACACCCGAACCCCAGGCCCACCUCCGAAAUCAUGGGCUUAGCAUACUGAUUAGGCCAAAAAAUGCCCCGUUUGCACCGUUUUGUCUGUUUGUCCAUCCAAAUAGCCAUAAAAAUUUAAACGGACCACACUGGGAUGAUCCCCAACCUCUCUAGCAUACCUCGGUUGAUUUUUAGCCCACAGCACACUCAGACCUCGAGCCCACACCCAGAACUGUGAGUUAUAGCACAUCGAUUUGUCCUAAAAAUGCUCCGUUCAUGCUGUUUCGCCCGCUUGUCCACCCAAAUGUGCACAAAAAUUUAAAUGGACCACACUAAGAAGAUCCCCAACCUCACUGGCAUGACCCGAUCGAAUUUAGGCCCACAGCACGCCCGGACCCCUGGCACACCCCCAAAACCAAGGGCUAUAGAACACUGAUUUGGCCUGCAAAUGCCCCGUUCAUAUCGUUUGGUCCAUUUGUCCACCCAAAUGGCUACAAAAAUUCAAAUCGACCAUACUGGGAUGAUCCACAACCUCCCAGACAUGGCUCGGUCGAUUUUAGGCCCCAAGCACGCUCGGACCACCAGCCCACCCCCAAAAUCGUGGGCUAUAACACACCGAUUUGGUAUAAAAAUGCCCCAUUUUGCCCGUUUGUCCACUCAAAUGGCCACAAAAAUUUAAACAAACCACACUAGGAUUAUUCCCAACCUUCUUGGCAUGCCCUUAUUGAUUUUUGGCUCACAUCAUGCUUGGACCCCGAGACCAACCCAAAACCGUGGGCUAUAGCACACCUAUUUGGUUCGAAAAUGCCCUGUUCGCGGCGUGUCGCCCAUUUUUCCACCCAAAUGGCCACAAAUAUUUAAAUAGACCACACUGGGACGAUCCCCAACCGCCCUGGCAUGCCCGGGUCGAUUGUUAACCAACAUACGCCCGAACCCCGGAUCCUGAACCCUGGACCCACCCUUAAAAUAGUGGGCUAUAGCACACCGAUUUGGCCUGAAAAUGCCCCGUUCGUGCUUUUUCGACCGUUUAUCCACCUAAAUGGCCACGUAAAUUUAAACGGACCAUAUUGGAAUGAUCCCCAACCUCCUCGGCACUCCCCGGUCAAUUUUUAGCCUACAGCACGCCCGAAACUGGGCCCAUCCACGUAAUCGUGGUCUAUAGCACACCGAUUUGGCCCGAAAGUGCUCCAUUCGUGCCGUUUCACCCAUUUGUCCACCCAAAUAGCUAUGAAAAUAUAAACGGACCACACUAGGAUGAUCCCCAAUCUCUCUUGGAUGCACCGGUCAAUUUUUAGCCCAAAGCACACUCGAACCUCGGGCCCACCCUCGAAACCGUGGUCUACAGCUCACCGAUUUGACCUAAAAAUUCCCCGUUCAUGCUGUUUCGCUCGUUUGUCCAUCCAGAUGGCCACAAAAAUUUAAACUGACCACACUGAGAUAAUCCCCAACCUCCCUUGCACGCCCCGAUCGAUUUUUGGCCCACAACACGCUUGACCCAGGGCACACCACCAAAACCGUGGGUUAUAGCACACCGAUUUGGCCCAAAAAUGCCCCUUCGCACUGUUUCACCAAUUUUUCCACCUAAAUGGCCAUGAAAAUUUAAAUGAACCGCACUGGGACAAUCCCCAACCUCCCUGGAAUGCCUCAGUUUGGCCCAAAAAUGCCCCGUUCGCAUCGUUUUGCCCGUUUGUCCUCCCAAAUGGCCACAAAAAUUUAAGCACACCUCACUAGAAUGAUCCCUAACCACCCUUGCACGCCUCGGUUGAUUUUUUGGCCCACAGUACGCCUGGACCCCAGGCCCACCCCCGAAACCAUGGGCUAUAUGAUAUGAGACAACCCAAGGAGCUCACAAAAUGAUACCAAAAUAGUCCACUCAACAAGGCACAAACAGAGGACCCUUUGAGAGCUAGUUUCGGCCAAGAACAAGAAUACGAGUUUCACAAGUUAACAAGGUAUUGGUGACACCAAAAUCAGCCAACCAAUCUAAGUUACAACACAAUCUAAUGAACAAUGAAGAACAAUGACAAUGUUAUAACAAAACAACACCACACGGCUUACAACACAAGAUUCAAACUACUACAAGAUGGAAACAAACAAAAGGAUAGAUAGUUAGACAAAGGUGGUGUAAAUCCAAGUAACCAAAGAGUACAUAAAACUCUAAGACCCCUAACACCUCCACACACGAUCACCUAACUCUUACGAUGACACAAGAGAUGAUUCCACCACUCAAGCGCCAAGGUUUCUCAAAAACAAACAAUUACAAGUGAUUCCACCCUUGAAUUGCUAUCCUAGUAACAAAUUUCAAUUCGCCUCGAGAGAGGACUUUGGUGUUUCAAAUGUCAAGACUUACAGCAAUAAUCAACUAAUCCUCAAAAGACCUAUCUUGUUCUAUUUAUAUUACAUAACAAUUUAGACUUAAAAUAACAAAAGUGCCCCUUUAAUGAAAAGCCUUCAAAGGCCACCCCUCUAGUGUUGCAAAUAAAAAAAUGGGAGGCAUUGGGUGUGUCUUUGGUCCAUCUCACAUCUCAAUUUUGAACUUCCUAGGAUGAUAAUUUGCUAAACUUGUACACACGUUGAUCUUCAUAGUCGCACUUGUAUCACUAUAGCACACCGAUUUGGCAAAACAAUGUCCCGUUCGAGCAGUUUUGCCAGUUUGUCCACCCAAAUGGCCACGAAAAUUUAAACGGACCACACUGGGAUGAUCCCCAACCUCCAUGGUACACCUCGGCCAAUUUUUGGCCUACAGCAUGCUCGAAUCCCUGGUCCACCCCCAAAACCGUGGGUUAUAGCACACCGAUUUAUCCCAAAAAUGCCCUGUUCAUGCCGUUUUGCUCGUUUGUCCACCAAAUUGCCAUAAAAAUUUAAACAGACAACACUGGGAAGAUUCCCAACCCCUCUGGCAUGACCCAUUCGAUUUUAAGCCCACAGCACGCCUGGACCCUGGGCACCCCCCCAAAUCGUGGGCUAAUUUAAACCAAAAAGGCCUCGUUCACAUCAUUUCGCUCGUUUGUCCACCCAAAUGGCCACAAAAAUUUAAACGGACCACACUGGGAUGAUCCCCAUCCUCUAUGGCAUGCCCCGAUUGAUUUUUGGCCCACAACAUACCCGGACCCCUGGUCCACCCCCUAAAUCUUGGGCUAUAGCAUAUCGAUUUGGCCCGAAAAUGCCCCGUUCUCGCUAUUUCGCCCGUUUGACCAUCCAAAUGGCCAUGAAAAUUUAAAUGGACCAUACUGGGAUGAUCCCCAACCUCCCUGGGAUACCCCAGUCAAUUUUCAGCCAACAACACACCCGUAACCUGGGCCCAUCCCCAAAAUCGUGGCCUAUACCAUACCACUUUGGCUUGAAAAUGCCCCGUUCGUGCCUUUCGCCCAUUUUUCCACCCAAAUGGCAAAAAAAAUUAAACGGAUCACACGAAAAAGAUCCCCAACCUACCUGGCAUACCUCAGUCGAUUUUCGGCCGACAGAACGCCCAAAGCCUAGGUCCACCCCCGAAACCGUGGGCUAUAGCACACCAAUUUAGCCCAAAAAUAUGUCGUUCGCGUCGUUUCACCCGUAUGUCCACCCAAAUGGACAUAAAAAUUUAAAUGGACCACACUGGGAUAAUCCCCAACCACCUUGGCAAACCGCAAUUAGUUUUUGGCCCAUAGCAUGCCUGAAGCCCGGGUCCACCCCUAAAACCGUCGGCUAUAACGUAUCGAUUUGGCCCAAAAGGCCUCGUUUAUGCCGUUUUGCCCAUUUGUCUAUCAAAAUGGCCACAAAAACUGCAACGGACCACACUGGGAUGAUCCCCAACCUUACUGGCAUGCCCCCAUCAAUUUUUGGCCCACAGCACACCUGGACCUCAGGCCCACCCCCGAAAUCGUGGGCUAUAGCACAUCGAUUUGGCCCAAAAAUACCCAGUUUGUGCUGUUUCGCCCGUUUGUCCACCCGAUUGGCCACAGAAAUUUAAAAGUACCACACUGGGAAGAUAUCCAACCUCCUUGGUAUGCCUUGAUUGAUUUUCGGCCCUCAGAACGGCCGGACCCUAGGCCUUCUCUCAAAAUCAUGCACUGCACAUUGAUUUUGCCCGAAAAUGCCCUGUUUGCGCUGUUUCGACCCUUUAACCACCCAAAUGGCCACAAAAAUUUAAAUGGACCACACUAGGAUGAUUACCAACCUCCCUGGUAUGCCCAGGUUAAUUUUUGGCCCCGACAUGCCCACACCACUGGCUCACCCCAAAACUGUGGGCUAUAGCACACUGAUUUGGCCCGAAAAUACCCCAUUCACUUUGUUUCACCCAUUUGUCCACCUAAAUGUCCACUAAAAUUUAUACGGACCAUAUUAAGAUAAUCCCUAACCUCCCUGGCAUGCCUCAGUCAAUUUUUGGCUCACAGUAUGCUCGGACCCUGAGUCCACCCCCAAAACUGUGGCUAUAGCACACUGAUUUAGCUCGAAAAUGCCCCGUUCGCGCUAAUUCGCUCGUUUGUCAAACCAAAUGGCCACAAAUAUUUAAACGAACCAUAAUAGGAUGAUUCCCAACAUCCUUGGCAUGCCCCGGUCGAUUAUCAGCCCACAACACGCCCGGACCUCAGGCCCACCCCCAAAACUAUGGGCUAUAGCACACCGAUUUAGCCCAAAAAUGCCCUGUUCGUGCUGUUUCGCCCGUUUGUCCACCUAAAUAACCAUGAAAAUUUAAAAGGACCACACUUGGAUAAUCCCAAACCUCCCUGGCAUACCCCGGUCAAUUUUCAGCCUAUAUUACGCUCGGACCUCAGGCCCACCCCCGAAACCAUGAGCGCUAGCACACCGACUUAGCCCAAAAAUGCCCCGUUUGCGCCAUUUCUCCCGUUUGUCCACCCAAAUGAAAAUUUAAACGAACCACACUAGAAUAAUACCCAACCUCCCUGGCAUUCCUUGGUCGAUUUUUGACCUACAGCACGCCCGGACCCCAGGCCCACCCCCGAAACAGUGGGCUAUAACACAUCAAUUUGGCCUGAAAAUGCUUCGUUUGCGCCGUUUCACCUGUUUAUCCACCCAAAUGGCCACAAAAAUUUAAAUGGAUCAUAUUGGGAUGAUCCCCAACCUUCUUGGCAGAUCGAGGUUGAUUUUUCGCCCACUGCACGCUCGUAGCCCAGGCCCACCCCCAACACCGUGGGCAGUAGCACACCUAUUUGGUCCAAAAAUGCCCCGUUCGCUGUUUCGCCAGUUUUUACACCUAAAUGGCCAUGAAAAUUUAAAUAGACCACACUGGAAGGAUUCCCAACCUCUAUGGCAUGCCUCGAUUAAUUUUCGGCCAACAACACACCAAGACCCGGGGCCACACCGAAAUCGAGGGCUAUAGCACACCGAUUUGGCCCAAAAAUGCCCAAUUCGUGUUGUUUCACCCGUUACUCCAUGGAAAAGGCUACAAAAACUUAAACGGACCAUACUGAGAAGAUACCCAAUCUCUCUGGCACGCCUUGGUCGAUUUUUGGCCGACAGAACUCCUAAACCCCAGGCCCACCCCCAAAACUGUGGGCUGUAGCACAUAAUAAUUUGGCACAAAAAUGCCCUGUUCGCGUCGUUUCGCCUGUAUGCCCACCCAAAUGGCCACAAAAAUUUAAAUGGACUACAAUGGGAUGAUCCCCAACCUGCCUGUCUUGCCCCGAUCAAUUUUUUUCUUACAGCACGCUCGGACCCUAGGCCUUCUCCUCCCUCCCAAAAUCGUGGUUUAUAGCACACCGAUUUGGCCCGAAAAGCUCCAUUUGCACCAUUUCUCCACCCAAAUGGCCACAAAAACUUAAACGAACCACACAAGGAUGAUCCUUCAUCUACCUACCACUCCCCGGUCGAUUUUUGGCCCAUAGCACAUUGUACCCUGAGCCCACCCUCAAAAUUGUGGGCUAUAAUACACUAAUUUAGCCCGAAAAUGCCCCAUUUGUGUUGUUUCACCCCUUUGUCCACCCAAAUGGCCACUAAAAUUUGAACGGACCACACUUGGACGAUCCCAAACAUCCAUGGCAUACCCUAAUUGAUAUUUGGCCUGCAACACGCCUGGAUCCCGGGCCCAUACCCAAAACCAUAAGCAAUAGCACACCAAUUUGGCCUGAAAUUUCCCUAUUUCAUGUUGUUUUGCCUGUUUGUCUACCUAAUUGGCCACAAAUAUUUAAACGGACCAUACUGGUACAAUCCCCAACCUCCCUAGCAUGUCCCGAUUAAUUUUUGGCCCACAGUACGAUCGAACCUGGGCCCACCCUCGAAAUCAUGGGCUAUAGCACACCGAUUUGGCCUAAAACUGCCUAGUUUGCGCCGUUUCGCCUGAGUAUCCAUGCAAAAGGCCACAAAAAUUUAAACGGACUACACAGGGUUGAUCCCAAGCCUUCCUGGCAUGCCCCAAUUUAUAUUUGACCUACAAUAUACCCUGACCCUGGGCCCACCCAUGAAACCGUGCGCUAUAGCACACCAAUUUUGCCUGAAAAUACCCCCUUCGCGCCGUUUCAUCUGUUUGUCCAUGUAAAGAGCCACAGAAAUUUGAAUGGAAUACACUGAGAUGAUCCCUAACCUCCCUGGCAUACCCUGGUCAAUUUUAGGCCCACACCACUCCUAGAACCAGGGCCCACCCUCGAAAUCGUAGACUAUAGCACACAAAUUUAGCCCGAAAAUGCCCCAUUCAUGCCGUUUCUACCAUUUCUCCACCCAAAUAGCCACGGAAAUUUUAAUGGACCACACUGGGAUGAUCUCUGACUUCCCUUGCAUACCCUAGUCGAUUUUUAACCCAUAGAACGCCCGAAACCCGCAUCGACCCCCAAAACCGUGGGCUAUAGCACACCAAUUUGGCCCGUAAAUGCCCAGUUCGCACCGUUUUGUCUGUUUAUCCACCCAAAUGGCCACAAAAAUUUAAGCGGACCAUACUGGUAUGAUCCCCAGCCUCCCUGGCAUGUACCGAUCAAUUUUCGACCCACAGUAUGCCCGGACCCCGGGCUCACCCCCAAAAUCAUGGGCAUAGCACACCGAUUUGGCCCGAAAAUGCCUUGUUUGCGCUGUUUUGCUCGUUUGUCCUCCCAAAAGGCCAAUAAAAUUUAAAUGGACUAUAUUGGGAUAAUCCCUAACUUCCCUGGCAUGCCCUAGUCAAUUUUUUGCCCAUGCCCACCCCUAAAAUCGUGGGCUAUAGCACAUCGAUUUAGCCCAAAAAUGCCCCGUUCGAGACGUUUUGCCCAUUUAUCCACCCAAAUGGCUAAGAAAAUUUAAUAGGACCACACUGGGAUAAUCCCAACCUCCCUGGCAUGGCCCGACCUAUUUUUGGCCCACAGCACACUCGAAUCCCCGCCCCACCCCAAAAAUAGUGGGUUAUAACAUACCGAUUUGGCCAGAAAAUGCCCCAUUCACGCCGUUUCGCCCGUUGUCCACCCAAAUGGCCACAAAAAUUUAAACGGACCAUAUUGGGAUGAUCCCUAACCUUCCUAUCUCACUCCAAUCAAUUUUUAACCCACAGCACGCCUGAACCCCGGGCCCACCCCCGAAACCGUGGUCUAUAGCACACCAAUUUAGUCUAAAAAUGCCCCGUUCGCUCUGUUUCUCCACCCACAUAGCCACAAAUAUUUAAACGGACCACAAUGGGAUGAUCCCCAGCCUCUCUGGCAUUCCCUGGUCGAUUUUUGACCAAUAGCAUGCACGGAUCCUGGGCCCACCCACGAAAUCAUGGGAUAUAAAACACCAAUUUGUCACGAAAAUGCCCCAUUGGUGCUAUUUUGCCUGUUUGUCCACCCAAAUGGCAACGAAAAUUUAAACGGACCAUACUGGGAUGAUCCCCAACCACCCUGGCACGCCCAGGUUGAUUUUUAGCCCACAACACGCUUAGACCCCGGGCCCACCCCUGAAACCGUGAGCUAUAGCACAUCGAUUUAGCCCAAAAAUGCCCCGUUUGCGCUGGUUCAUCCAUUUGUCCACCCAAAUAGCCACGAAAAUUUAAAUGGACCACACUGGGAUGAUACCCAACCUCCCUGGCAUGCCCUAGUCGAUUUUCGGCCCACAGAAUGCCCGGACCCCGGGUCCAACCCCAAAACCAUGGGCUAUAGCACAUCGAUUAGGCUCGAAAAUGCCCCGUUCGCGCCGUUUUUCCCUUUUGUCCACCCAAAUUGCUACAAAAAUUUAAACGGACCACACUGGGAUGAUCCCUAGCCUUCCUGGCAUGCCUCGGUCAAUUUUUAACCCACAGCACGCCCGAACCUCGGGCCCACCCUUGAAAUCAUGGGCUUAUAGCACACCUAUUUGGCCUAAAAAUGCCCCAGUCGCAUCGUUUGUCCACCCAAAUGGCCACAAAAAUUUUAAUGGACCAUAUUGGGAUUAUCACCAACCUUCCUGGCAUGUCCCGAUCGAUUUUCGUCCCACAGCACACCCAUACCCCAGGCCCACCCCAAAACCAUGGGCUAUAGCACACUGAUUUGGCCCAAAAAUGCACCGUUCGCGCUAUUUCAUCCGUUUGUCCACCCAAAUAACCAUAAAAAUUUAAAUGGACCAUACAGGGAUGAUCCCCAACAUCCCUGGCAUGCCCCGGUCAAUUUUUAGCGAACAUCACGCCGGACCACAGGCCCAACCCCAAAAUCCUGGGCUAUAGAACACCGAGUUGGCCAAAAAAUGCCCCGUUAGCACUGUUUCACCCAUUUGUCCAACCAAAUGGCCACAUAAAUUUAAACGAACUAUACUGAGAUGAUCCCCAACCUCUUUGGUAUGCCUCAGUCGAUUUUCGGACCGCAGUAUGCCUGGACCCAGUCCCACCCCAAAAUCCAUGGAAGAAUGCUAAUUUGGUCUGAAAAUUCCUCAUUCGCUCCGUUUCGCCCGUUUGUCCACCCAAAUGGCCAAAAAAAUUUAAACGAACCACACUAGGAUAAUCCCUAACUUUCCUGGUAUGCCUCAGUCAAUUUUUGGCCCACAGUACGCUUGAAUCCUGAGCCCACCCUCAAAACUGCGGUCUAUAGCACACCGAUUUGGCCCGAAAAUGCCCAAUUCGUGCUGUUUCGCCCGUUUGUCCACACAAAUGACCAUAAAAAUUUAAACGGACCACACUGGGAUGAUCCCCAACCACCCUGGAAUGCCCUGGUCGAUUAUUCGCCCACAGCACGCCCUGAUCCCGGGUCCACCCCAAAAACCAUGGGCUAUAGCACACCGAUUUGGCCCAAAAUACCCCAUUUGCGUCGUUUCACCCGUUUGUCCAUUGAAAUGGCCAAAAAAAUUUAAACGAACCAUACUGAAAUGAUCCCCAACCUCGCUGUCACACCCCGAUCGAUUUUUGGCCCACAGCACACCUAGACCUCGGGCCCACCACCAAAAUCGUGGGCUAUAGCACAUCCAUUUGGCCUGAAAAUGCUCCGUUCGUGCUGUUUUGCCCGUUUGUCCACCUGAAUGGCCAUGAAAAUUUAAAUGGACCAUACUGAGAAGACCCCCAACUUCCCUGGAAUGCCCUGGUCGGUUUUUGUCCCUCAGAACACUCGGACCCCAGGCCUUUCCUCGAAAUCGUGCGCUGCACACUGAUUUGACCUGAAAAUGCCCCAUUUGUGCCGUUUUGACUGUUUGACCACCCCAAUGGCUAUAAAAUUUUAAACGGACAACACUGGGAACUCCCUGGUAUACCCCGAUCAAUUUUUGGCCCCAGCAUACCCAGACCCCCAGCACACCCCAAAAACUGUGGGCUAUAGCACACCGAUUUGGUCCAAAAAUGUCCCGUUCGCGCCCUUUCGCUCGUUUGCCCAAAUGUGCACAAAAUUUAUACGGAACACACUAGGAUGAUCUCCAACCUCCCUGGCAUGCCCCAAUCGAUUUGUGGCCCAUAGCACGUCAGACCCCAGGCCCACCCUCAAAAUCAUGGCCUAUAGUACCCUAAUUUGGCCCCAAAACGCCCCGUUUGCGUCGUUUCACCCGUUUGUCCACCCAAAUGGCUACAAAAAUUUGAACGGACCAUACGGGGACAAUCCCAAACCUCUAUGGCAUACCCCGGUCAAUCUUCUGCCCACAACACGCCUGUACCCUGGGCCCACACCCAAAAUUGUGAGCAAUAGCACACCGAUUUGGCUCGAAACUGCCCUGUUUUGCGCCGUUUUGCCCGUUUAUCCCCCUAAUUGGCCACAAAAAUUUAAACGGACCACACUGGUAUGAUUUCCAACCUCUCUAGCAUACCUUGGUUAAUUUUUAGCCCACAAAAAGCUCAAACCCUGGGCCCACCCAUGAAACCAUGGGCUAUAGCACACGGAUUUGGCCCAAAAAUGCCCAGUUCUAGCUGUUUCACCCGUUUGUCCAUGCAAAAGGCCACAAAAAUUUAAACGAACCAUACUAGUUUGAUCCCAAGCCUCCUUGGUAUCCACCGGUUGAUUUUUGACCCACAGCAUGCCCUAACCCUGGGCCCACCCCCAGCAUGCCUUGAAAAUGCCCCGUUCACGCUGUUUCAUCUGUUUGUCCACCCAAAUGGCCAUGGAAAUUUAAAUAGACCAUACUGGGAUGACCCCCGACCUCCUUGGCACGCCUUGGUAAAUUUUAGGACCACAGCACAUCCAGAACCCGGGCUCACCCCCAAAACCGUAGGCUAUAGCACACCAAUUUGGCCCAAAAAUGCCCAAUUCACGCUGUUUCGCCCAUUUCUCCACCUAAAUAGCCACAAAAAUUUUAACGGACCACACUGCGAUGAUGCCUGACUUCCCUGACCUACCCUAGUAGAUUUUUGGCCCAUAUCAUGCUUUAAACCCACGUCCACUCCCCAAAAUCGUGGGCUAUAACACACCGAUUUGCCCAAAAAAUGCCCCGUUCACGCCGUUUCGCCUGUUUGUCCAUCCAAAUGGCCACAAAAAUUUAAACGGACCACACUGGGAUGAUCCCCAGCCUACGUAUCGGUUGAUUUUCGACCCACAGCAUGCUCGGACCCCAGGCUCAGCCUCAAAACCACGGGCAUAGCACACCGAUUUGGCCCAAAAAUGACUUUUUCGCGCUGUUUCACUCGUUUGUCCUCCCAAAUGGCCACGAAAAUUUAAAUGGAGCAUACUAGGAUAAUCCCUAACUUCCUUGACAUACCCUGGUCAAUUUUUGGCUCACAGCACGCCCGAACACCAUGGCCACCCCUGAAACCGUGGGCUAUAGCACAUCGAUUUGGCUUGAAAAUGCCCCAUUCGCGAUGUUUUGGCCGUUUAUCCACCAAAAUAGCCAAGAAAAUUUAAACGGACCACACUGGAAUGAUCCCAACCUCCCUGGCAUGCCUUGGUCUAUUUUUGGCCCACAGCACAUGCGGAUCCCCACCCCACCCCCAAAACAGUGGGUUAUAAGAUACCUAUUUGGCCAAAAAAUGCCUCAUUCACAUCGUUUUAUCCGUUGUCCACCCAAAUGGCCACAAAAAUUUAAACAGACCAUAUUGGGAUGAUCCCCAAUCUCCCUAGCAUGCCCCGAUUGAUUUUUGACCAACAGCACGCCCGGACCCCAAGCCCAUCCCCAAAACCGUGGGCUAUAGCAUACCGAUUUUGCCCAAAAAUAUGCGGUUUGAGCUGUUUUGCCAGUUUGUCCACCCAAAUGUCCCCAAAAAUUUAAACGGACCAUACUGGGAUGAUCCCAAACUUCCCUGGAACACCUCAAUAAAUUUUCAAACCACAACACGAUCGAAACCCAGGGCCACCCCCGAAAUCGUAGGCUAUAGCACACCGAUUUGGCCCGAAAAUGCCCCGUUCGCACCAUUUCGCUCGUUUGACUACCUAAAUGGCCACAAAAAUUUAAAUGGACCAUACUAGGAUGAUCCCCAACCUCUUUGGCAUGCCUCGGUUGAUUUUUGGCACACAACACGCCCAGAUCUCGAGCCCACCCCUAAAAUCGUAGGCUAUAGCACAUCGAUUUAGUCCAAAAAUACCCCGUUUCAUAUGUUUGUCCUCCCAAAUGGCCACAAAAAUUUUAAACGGACCACACUGAGACAAUUCCAAACCUCCCUGGCACACCCCGGUCGAUUUUCAGCCCACAACACACCUGGACCGCUGACCCACCUUCAAAAUCGUGGGCUAUAGCACCCAGAUUUGGCCCGAAAAUGCUUUGUUCGUGCCUUUGCCCUUUUGUCCAGCCAAAUAGCCAGAAAAAACUAAAAUGACAACACUGGGAUGAUCCUCAAACUCCCUGGCAUGCUCCAGUCAAUUUUUGACCCACAGCACGCCGGACACUGGCCCACUCCUAAAAUCGUAGGCUAUAGCACACCGAUUUAGCUUGAAAUUGUCCUGUUCAUGCCGUUUCGCCCUUUUGUCCAUCCAAAUGGCCACCAAAAUUAAAUGGACUACACUGGGAUGAUCCCCAACCUUCUUGGCAUGUCCUGGUCAAUUUUUGGCCAACAACAUGCCCGGACCUUAGGCCCGCCCCCAAAAUAGUUGGCUAUAGAACAUCGAUUUGGCCUAAAAAUGCCCCAUUUGCGCCCCGAUCACACUAGAACAAUUCCCAACCUCCCUGUCACUCCCCGAUCAAUGUUUCACCUACAGCACACCCGGACCCCAGGCCCUCCCCCCCAAAACCGUGGGCUAUAGCUCACUGAUUUGGCCCGAAAAUGACCCAAUUGCACUGUUUCGCCCGUUUGUCCACCCAAAUGACCACAAAAAUUUAAACAGAACACACUGGGACUAUCCCCAACCUCUCUGGCAUGCCCAAGUCAAUUUUUGGCCAACAAAACGCCCGAACCCCGAGCCCACCCCCAAAAUCGUGGGCUAUAGCACACCGAUUUUUCCUAAAAAUGCCCCAUUCGCGCCGUCUCUCCCGUUUAUCCAUCCAAAUGGCUAAGAAAAUUUAAAAGGACGCCUCUGGGAUGAUCCUAACCCUUCUUGGUACACCUAGGACGAUUUUUAACAAACAGAACGCCCGAAUCCUAGGCCCUCCCCCGAAAUCAAUGGCUAUAGCAGACUGAUUUGCCUUGAGAAUGCCACAUUCACGCCGUUUCAGUGUUUGUACGCCCGAAUGACCAAAAAAAUUUAAUCGGACCACAAUGGGAUGAUCCCUAACCUCCCUGGCAUGCCAUGGUCGAUUUCAACCCACAGCACGCCCGGACCCUGGGCCCACCCCCAAAACCAUGGGCUAGCACACCGAUUUGGCUCGAAAAUGUGUCUUUCAUGUCGUUUCACCCAUUUGUCCACCCAAAUGUCCCCAAAAAUUUAAACGGACCAUGCUGGGAUGAUCUCCAACCUCCCUGGCACACCUCGAUCGAUUUUUGGCUCACAGCGCGCUAGUACCUCGAGAUCACCACUGAAAUCAUGGGCUAUAGCACACCGAUUUAGUUCAAAAAUGCCUCGUUCGCGCUUUUUGCCUGGUCGUCUACCCAAAUGGCUGCAAAAAUUUAAACAAACCACAUUGGGAUGAUCCCCAACUUUGCUGGAAUGCCCCGAUCAAUUUUUAGCCCCAGCACGCCUGGACCUCGGGCCUACCCACAAAAUCGUGGGCUAUACCACACCGAUUUGGCUCAAAAAUGCCCAGUUCCCGCCGUUUUGCCCUUUUGUCCACCCAAAUAGCUACGAAAAUUUAAACGAACUCCACUGGGAUGAUCCCCAACCUCCCUGGCAUGCCCCGAUUGAUUUUUCGCCCACAGCACGCCCGGACCUCAGGCCCACCACCAAAACCAUGGGAUAUAGCUCACUGAUUAGGCCCAAAAAUGCCCCGAUUGCGCCGUUUCGCCCGUUUGUCUACCCAAAUGGCCGCAAAAAUUUAAAUAAACCACAUUGGUAUGAUCCCCAACUUUACUGGCAAGCCCCGAUCAAUUUUCGGCCCCAGCACGCCUGGACCCCUGUCCCACCCCCAAAAUCAUGGGCUAUACCACACCAAUUUGGCUUGAAAAUGGCCAGUUCUCGUCGUUUUGCCCGUUUGUCCACCCAAAUAGCCACAAAAAUUUAAAUGGACCACACUGGAUGAUCCCUAACCUCCCAGGCAUUCCCUGAUCAAUUUUCGGCCAUAGCAGGAUCGGACCCUGAGCCCACAUUUGAAACCGUGGGCUAUAGUACACUGAUUUGGCUCAAAAAUGUCCCGUUCAGGCCGUUUCUCCCAACCUUCUUGGCAUGCCCUGAUUAAUUUUUAGACCACAACACGCCUGGAUCUCUGGCCCACCCCCAAAACUGUGGGCUAUAACAAACUGAUUUGGCCCGAAAAUGCUCCAUUCACACUGUUUCGCCUGUUUGUCCACCCAAAUAGCAACGAAAAUUUAAACGGACCAUACUAGGAUGAUCUUCAACCUCCCUGGAACACCCCGGUCGAUUUUUGACCCACAGCACACCUGAACCCCGGACCCACCCCCGAAACCUUGGGCUAUAGUACACCAAUUUGUCCUGAAAAUAUCUCAUUCUCUCCAUUUCGCCCGUUUGUCCACUCAAAUUGCCACAAAAAUUUAAACGGGCCUUACUGGACGAUCUCCAACCUCCUUGGCAUGUCCCAAUCUAUUUUUGGUCCACAGCACGCCCGGACCCCUGGCCCACCCCCAAAACUGUGGACUAUAGCUCACCGAUUUAGCCCAAAAAUGCCCCGUUCACGUCGUUUCUCCCAUUUGUCCACUCAAAUGGCUACGAAAAUUUAAACUGACCAUACUGGGAUGAUCCCCAACCUCCCUGGCAUGCCCCGGUCAAUUUUUGGCCCACAGUAUGCCUGGAACCCUGGCCCACCCCCUAAACCGUGGGCUAUAGGACACCAAUUUAGCUCGAAAAUGCCCCGUUCGCGCGGUUUUGCCCGUUUGUCCACCCAAAUGGCCACAAAAAUUUAAACAGACCACACAGGGACGAUCCCCAGCCUCCCUGAAAAGCCCCAGUUGAUUUUCAGUAUAGCAUGCUUGGACCCUGGGCCUACCCCCAAAACCGUAGGCUAUUGCACACCGAUUUGACCAAAAAAUGCCCCGUUAGCGCCAUUUCUCCCGUUUGUCUACCCAGAUGGCCACAAAAAUUUAAACAGACCACACUGGGAUGAUCCCAACCUCCCUGGUAUGCCCUAGUUGAUUUUCGGCCGAUAGCACACCCGUACCCUGGAACCACACCCAAAACCGUGGGCUAUAGCACAUCAAUUUACCCCCAAAAAUGCCACGUUCGCGCCGUUCUGCCCAUUUGUCCACCCAAUUGGCCAAAAAAAUUUAAACGGACCAUACUGGGAUGAUCCCCAAACUUCCCGACAUGCCUCAGUCAAUUUUCAACCUACAGCACGCCCGGACCCUUAGCCCACCCCGGAACCGUAAGCUAUAGCACACCAAUUUGGCCCGAAAAUGCCCCAAAAAAUUAAACGGACCAUAUUGGGACGAUCCCCAACCUCCCUGGCAUGCCCCAGUUAAUUUUUGGCCCACAGCACGCUCGGAUCCCACGCACACCCCUGAAACUGCCGGCUAUAGCACACCGAUUAGGCCCGAAGAUACCCCAUUCGCGCUGUUUUGCACUUUUGUCAACCCAAAUGGCCACAAAAAUUUAAACGGACCAUACUGGGAUGAUCCCAAACCUCCCUAGCAUGCCCCAGUUAAUUUUUGACCCACAGCAUGACUGGAUCCUAGGCUCACCCCCAAAACCGUUGACUAUAACACACCGAUUAAUCCCGAAAAUGCCCCAUUCGUACUGUUUCUCUAAUUUGUCCACCCAAAUGGCCACAAAAAUUUAAACCGACCAUAAUGGGAGGAUCCCCAUUCCCCUAGAAUUUCCUGGUCAAUUUUAACCCACCCUCAAAAUCGAGGGCUAUAGCACACCGUUUAGGCCCGAAGAUACCCCAUUCGCGCUGUUUUGCACUUUUGUCAAUCCAAAUAGCCAUAAAAAUUUAAACGGACCAUAUGUGGGAUGAUCCCGAACCUCCAUAUCAUGCCCCGGUUGAUUUUCGACCCACUGCAUGCCCGGAUCCUAGGCUCACCCCCAAAACCGUAGGCUAUAGCACACCGAUUUAUCCCAAAAAUGCCCCGUUCAUACUAUUUCUCCAAUUUGUCCACCCAAAUGGCCACAAAAAUUUAAACCGACCAUACUGGGAUGAUCCCUACUCCCCUGGCAUUCCCUAUUCAAUUUUACCCCACCCUCAAAACCGUGAGCUAUAGCACAUCGAUUUGGCACGAAAUGCCUCGUUCACGCCGUUUCGAUCGUUUAUUCUCCUAAAUGGCCAAGAAAAUUUAAACGUACCACACUAGGAUGAUCCCCAACCUCCCCGGCAUACCUUAUUCAAUUUUUGGUACACAGCACGCCCAAAACCCUAGCCCAUCCCCGUAACCGUGGGCCAUAGCACAUCGAUUUAGCCCAAAAAAGCCCCGUUCGUGCCGCUUCUCCCGUUUAUCCAUCCAAAUAGCAACAAAAAUUUAAACGAACCACAACGAGACGAUCCUCAACCUCCCUUGCAUGCACCAAUCGAUUUUCAUCCCACAGCACGCCCAGAUCCCGGGCCCACCCUCAAAACUGUGGGCUAUAGCACACCGAUUAGGCCCAAAAAUGCCCUGUUCGCGACGUUUUGCCCGUUUGUCCACCCAAAUGGCCAUGAAAAUUUAUACGGACCACACUGGACAACCCCUAACCUCCCUGGCAUGCCUCGGUUGAUUUUUGACUCACAGUAUGCUCGAACCCCGUGCCCACCCCUAAAACCGUAGGCUAUAGCACAUGGAUUUGGCAAAAAAAUGCCCCGUUCACUCGUUCAUUUUGUUUGUCCACCCAAAUAGCCAUAAAUAUUUAAACGAACCACACUGGGACAAUCUUCGACCUUCCUAGCAUACCUCGGUCAAUUUUUGGCCCACAACACGCCUGAACCUCAAGCCCACCCCCAAAAUUCGUGGGCUAUAGUACACCAAUUUGGCCCCAAGAUGCCUUGUUCGCAAUGUUUUGCCUAUUUGUCCACCCAAAUGGCCACGAAAAUUUAAAUGGACCACAUUGGGACUAUCCCCAACCUCCCUGAAAUGCCCUGGUCAAUUUUUGGCCCAUCGCACGCUCGAACCCCAGGCCCACCCCCAAAAUCGUGGGCAAUAGCACAUCGAUUUGGCCCAAAAAUGCCUCGCUCAUGUUGUUUCGCCCGUUUGUCCACCCAAAUGGACACAAAAAUUUAAACAGACCAAACUAGGACGAUUCCCAACCUUCCUGGCAUGCCCCCAUUGAUUUUUGGUUAACAACACACCUGGACCCCUAGCCCACCGUCGAAAUCGUGGGCUAUAGCGUACCGAUUUGGCCCAAAAAUGCUCCAUUCACGUUGUUUCACCUGUUCUUCCAUCCAACUGGCCACAAAAAUUUAAAUGGACUACACUGGAAUGAUCCCCAACCUCUUUGGCACACCCCGGUCGAUUUUCAUCCCCCAACACGCUCGUACCCCAGGCCCACCCCUAAAACCGUGGGCAAGAGCACACCGAUCAGGCCAGAAAUACCCGGCUCGCUGCUUUGCCCGUUUUUCACCCAAAUAGCUAUAAAAUUUAAACGGACCACACUGGGACGAUCCUCAAUCUCCCUGGCAUGCCUUGGUUGAUUUUUGGCAACCAGCACGGCCGAACCCCAAGCCCAACUCUGAAACAGUAGGCUAUAGAACACCAAUUUGGCCUGAAAAUGCCCCAUACUUGCCGUUUUGCCCGUUUGUCCACCCAAAUGGCCAUAAAAAUUUAAACGGACCAUACUGGGAUGAUCGCCAACCUCGCUGGCUCGCCCCGAUCGAUUUUUGGCCCACAUACCAACUGGACCUCGGGCCACCCUAAAAUCGUGGGCUAUAGCACACCGAUUUUGCUAAAAAAUACCGCAUUCAUGUCGUUUAGCCCGUUUAUCGACCUGAAUGGCCACGAAAAUUUAAAUGGACCAUACUGGGACGAUCCUCAAACUCCCUGGCAUAUCUCAGUCAAUUUUUUCCCCAUAGAUCGCCCGGACCCCGAGCCCACCCCUAAAAUCGUGGGCUAUAGCACAUCGAUUUGACCUGAAAAUACCUCGUUCGUGCCAUUUCACCCAUUUGUCCACCCGAAUGACCACAAAAAUUUAAACGAACCACACUGAGAAGAUCCCCAACCUCCCUGGAACACCUUGAUCAAUUUUUGGCCCUCAGAACGCCUGCACCCCGGGCCACCCCCGAAUUCGUGGGCUAUAGGACACUUAUUUGGCCCAAAAAUGACCCAUUCGUGCCUUUUCGCCUAUUUAACCACCCAAAUGGCCACAAAAAUUUAAAUGGACCAUACUAGGAUGAUCCCCAACCUCCCUGGUACUCCUCGAUCAAUUUUCGGCCCAGCACGCCCAGACCCCCGGCCCACCCUCAAAAUCGUGGGCUAUAGCAUACCGAUUUGGCCCAAAAACUCCCCGUUCGCGUUGUUUCGCCCGUUUAUCAACCCAAAAGUCUUCAAAAAUUUACACAGACUACACUGGGACAAUCCCUAACCUCCCUGGCAUACCUCAGUCAAUUUUUGGCUCACAGUACACUCGAACACCGAGGCCACCCCCAAAAUCGUAGGCUAUAGCACACCAAUUUAGCCCGAAAAUGCCCCGUUUGCGCUGUUUCGCUCGUUUAUCCACCUAAAUGGCAAUGAAACUUUAAACGAACCACACUAGGAUGAUCCCUAACCUCCCUAGCAUGCCCCAGUUGAUUAUCAACACACAACACACCCGAACCUUAGGCCCGCCCCCAAAGCUGUGUGCUAUAGCGUACCUAGUUGGCCCGAAAAUGCCUCGUUCAUGUCGUUUUGCCCGUUUUUCAACCCAAAUGGACACAAAAAUUUAAACGGACCAUACUGGGAUGAUCCCCAAUCUCCCUGGCAUACUUCAGUCGAUUUUUGGUCCACAACACGCCCGAACCUCAGGCCCACCCUCAAAACCAUGGGCAUUAGCACACUGAUAUGGCCCGAAAAUGCCCCGUUCGCGCUAUUUCGCCUAUUUGUCCACCCAAAUGGCCACGAAAAUUUAAAUAGACCACAUUAGGACAAUCCCCAAACUCCCUGAUAUGCCUUGAUCAAUUUUUGGCCCACAGCACGCCUGAAACCAGGGCCCAUCACCAAAACUGUGGGCUAUAUAGCACAUCUAUUUGGCUUAAAAUUUCCCCGUUCGCGUCGUUUCGCCUAUUUGUCCACCCAAAUUGCCAUAAAAAUUUAAACGGACCAUGCUGGGACGAUCCCCAACCUCUCUGGCAGGCCCCGAUCAAUUUUCAGCCUACAACACACCUGAAUCCCGGGCCCACCCCAAAAAUCGUGGGCAAUAGCACACCGAUUUGGCCUAAAAAUGCCCCGUUUGCGUCAUUUCGCCCAUUUGUAGACCAAAAUGGCCACAAAAAAUUAAACGAACAAUACUAGGACGAUCCCCAACCUCACUGGCAUGCCCCGAUUGAUUUUUGGCCCACAGUACACCCGAACCCCUGUCCCACCCCUAAAAUCGUGGGCUGUAGCACACCGAUUAGGUUCAAAAAUACCCCGUUCGGGCUGUUUCGCCCAUCUGUCCACCUAAAUGGCCACAAAAAUUUAAAUGGACCACACUGGGACGAUCCCCAACCUCCCUGGCAUGCCCUAAUCGAUUUUUAGCCCACAACACGCCCAAACCUCAGGCCCACCCUCGAAACCAUGGGCAUUAGCACAUUGAUAUGGCCCGAAAAUGCCUCGUUCACGCUAUUUCGCAUAUUUGUCCACCCAAAUGGCCACGAAAAUUUAAAUGGACCACAUUAGGACAAUCCCCAACCUCCCUGAUACGCCUUGAUCGAUUUUUGGCCCACAGCACGCCUGAAACCAGGGCCCAUCCCCAAAACUGUGGGCUAUAUAGCACAUCUAUUUGGCUCAAAAUUUCCCCGUUCGCGUCGUUUCGCCGUUUGUCCAUCCAAAUUGCCCCAGAAAUUUAAACGGACCACGCUGGGAUGAUCCCAACCUCUCUGGCAGGCCCCAAUCAAUUGUCGACCUACAACAUACCUGGACCCCUGGCCCACCCCUAAAAUCGUGGGCAAUAGCACACCGAUUUGGCCUAAAAAUGCCCUGUUUGCGUCGUUUCGCCCAUUUGUCCACCAAAAUGGCCACAAAAAAUUAAACGAACAAUACUAGGAUGAUCCCCAACCUUACUGGCAUCCCCCAAUAAAUUUUUGGCCAACAGUACACCCGAACCCCCAUCCCACCUCCAAAAUCGUGGGCUAUAGCACAUCGAUUAAGCUUGAAAAUACCCCGUUUGGGCCGUUUCUCCCAUCUAUCCAGCUAAAUGGCCACAAAAAUUUAAAUGAACCACACUGGGAGGAUCCCCAACCUCCCUGGCAUGCCCUGGUUGAUUUUUAGACCACAAUACGCCCGUACCCCGGGCCCACCCCCAAAACCAUAGGCUAAAGCACACCGAUGCCCGAAAAUGCUCCGUUCGCAUCGUUUCGCCCGUUUUUUCUCCCAAAUGGCCAGGAAAAUUUAAAGGGUCCAUAAUGGGACGAUCCUUAACCUCCCUGGCAUGCCUCGGUCAAUUUUAGGCCAACAGCACGCCCAGAUCCCAGGUCCAUCCCCGAAAUCGUGGGCUAUAGCACACCAAUUUAGUCUGAAAAUACCCCAUUCACGCGGUUUCACUCGUUUGUCCAGCCAAAUGGCAACGAAAAUUUAAAUGGACCACACUGGGACAAUCCCCAACCUCCCUGGCAUGCCCCAGUCAAUUUUUGUCCCAUAGCACGCCCGGACCUCGGGUCCACCCCUAAAAUCAUGGGCAAUACCACACGAAUUUCGCCUGAAAAUAUCUUGUUCACACUGUUUCACUCGUUUGUCCACCCAAAUGGCCACAAAAAUUUAAACGGACCAUAUUGGGAUGAUCCCCAACCUCGGUCGUUUGUCCACCCAAAUGGCCAAAAAAAUUUAAAUGGACUAUACUGGGAUGAUCCCCAACCUCGGGUCCACCACCAAAAUUAUGGCUAUAGCACACCGAUUUGGCUCAAAAAUACCGCGUUCGCAUCGUUUCGCUCGUUUGUCCACCUAAAUGGACACUAAAAUUUAAAUGGAACACAUUGGGACGAUCCCCAACCUCCUUGGUACACCCCGGUCAAUUUUCUGCCCACAGCACGCCCGAACCCUAGCCCACCCCUGAAAUCAUGGGCUAUAGCACAUCGAUUUGGCCCAAAAAUGCUCCAUACGUGUCGUUUUACCUGUUUGUCCACCCGAAUAGCCAUGAAAAAUUAAAUGGAUCACACUGGGAAGAUCCCCAACCUCCCUGGCACGCCCUGGUUGAUUUUUGGCUCUCAAAACGCUUGGUCCCCAGGCUCUCCCCCGAAAUCGUGGGCUAUAGCACACUGAUUUAGCUCGAAAGUGCCCUGUUCGUGCCAUUUCGCCCGUUUGUCCACCCAAAUAUCAACGAAAAUUUAAACGGACCACACUAGGAUGAUCUCCAACCUCCCUGGUACGCCCCAGUCGAUUUUUUGCCUCAGCACACCCAAACCCCCGGACUAUCUCCGAAACCAUAGGCUAUAGCACACCGAUUUGGCUCAAAAAUGCCCCGUUCAUGUUGUUUUGCCCGUUUGUCCUCCCAAAUGUCCACAAAAAUUUAUACAAACCACAAUGGGACAAUCCCUAACCUUUCUGGCAUGCCUCGAUCAAUUUUUGACUCACAGUACACUUUAACUCCGUGCCCACUCCCAAAACCGUGGGUUAUAGCACACCGACUUGGUCCGAAAAUUCCCCGUUCGCGCCGUUUCACCUGUUUGUCCACCCAAAUGGCCACAAAAUUUAAACGGACCAUACUAGGACGAUCCCCAUCCUCCCUGGCAUGCCCCAAUCGAUUAUCAGCCCAUAGCAUGCCCGGACUUUAGGCCCAUCCCCAAAACCGUGGGCUAUAGCACACCGAUUUGGCCUAAAAAUGCCCCGUUUGUGCCGUUUUGCCCGUUUGUCCACCCAAAUGGCCACAAAAAAUUAAACGGACCAACUGGGAUGAUCCCCAACCUCCUUGGGACACCCCAAUCAAUUUUUGGCCCACAGAACGCCUGAACCUCGGGCCCACCCCCAAAACCUUGGGCUAUAGCACACCAAUUUGGCCUGAAAAUGCUCCGUUCGCGCCAUUUCGCUCGUUUGUCCCCCAAAUGGCCACGAAAAUUUAAAUGGAGCAUUCUAGAACAAUACCUGACUUCCUUGGCGUGCCCUGGUUAAUUUUUAGCUCACAGCAUACCCGAACCCCGUGUCCACCCCUGAAACCGUGGGCUAUAGCACAUAGAUUUGGCUCCAAAAUGCCCCGUUCGAGACGAUUUGCCCGUUUAUCCACCCAAAUAGCCAAGAAAAAUUAAACAGACUACACUGGAAUAAUCCAAACCUCCCUGGCAUGACUUGGUCUAUUUUUGGCCCACAGCACACUCGGAUCCCCGCCCCACCCCAAAAACAUUGGGUUAUAAGAUACCUAUUUGGCUUGAAAAUGCCUCAUUCGCGUCGUUUCGUCCGUUGUCCACCCAAAUGGCCACAAAAAUUUAAACGGACCAUAUUGGGAUGAUCCCCAGCCUCCCUGGCAUGCCCCGGGUGAUUUUGGCCAACAGCACGCCCGGACCCCAAGCCCACCCCCAAAAUCUUGGGCUAUAGCACACUGAUUUUGCCCAAAAAUGCGUAGUUCGAGCCGUUUCACCCGUUUGUCCACCCAAAGAUCCCCGAUAAACGGACCACACUGGGAUGAUCCAUAACUUCCCUGGAACACCUCAAUCAAUUUUCAGACCACAACACGACCGAAACCCGGGGCCACCCCCAAAACCGUAGGCUAUAGCACACCGAUUUGGACCAAAAAUGCCCCGUUCACACCAUUUCGCCUGUUUGUCUACCCAAAUGGCCAUAAAAAUUUAAACGGACCACACUAGGAUAGUCCCCAACCUCUUUGGCAUGCCUCAGUUGAUUUUUGGCACACAACACGCCCAGAUCCCAAGGCCACCCCUAAAAUCGUAGGCUAUAGCACAUCGAUUUAGCCUAAAAAUGUCCCAUUUCACCAGUUUGUCCUCCCAAAUGGCCACAAAAAUUUAAACGAACCACACUGGGACAAUUCUAAACCUCUCUGGCACACCCUGAUCAACUUUCAGCCUACAACACACCUGGACCGCUGACCCACCUUCAAAAUCGUGGGCUAUAGCAUACAGAUUUGGCCCGAAAAUGCCUCGUUCGUGCCAUUUCGCCCUUUUGUCCAGGCAAAUAGCCACAAAAAUUUAAAAGGACAACACUGGGAUGAUCCUAAACCUCCCUGGCAUGCCCUGAUCAAUUUUCGACCCACAGCACGCCAGGACAACUGGCCCACUCCUAAAACCGUAGGCUAUAGCACACCGAUUUGGCCCAAAAUUAUCCUGUUCGUGCUGUUUUGCCCUUUUGUCCAUCCAAAUGUCCACGAAAAAUUAAACGGACUACACUGAGAUGAUCUCCAACCUUCCUGGCAUGCCCUGGUCAAUUUUUGGCCAACAACAUGCCCGGACCCUGGCCCACCCCCAAAAUAGUGGGCUAUAGCACAUCGAUUUAGCCCGAAAAUGCCCCAUUUGCGCCCCGAUCAAACUAGGAUGAUUCCCAGCCUCCCUGUCGUGCCCCAAUCAAUGUUCGGCCCACAGGACGCCCAGACCCCAGGCGCCCCCCAAAACCGUGGGCUAUAGAACAUCGAUUUGGCCCAAAAAUGCCCCAUUUGCGCUGUUUUGCCCGUUUGUCCAUCCAAAUGGCCACAAAAAUUUAAAAAGAAUGCACUGGGACUAUCCCCAACCUCUUUGGCACGCCCAAGUCAAAUUUUUGCCAACAACACGCCCGAACCCCGUGCCCACCCCCAAAACCAUUGGCUAGCACACCGAUUUGGCCCGAAAACAUGUCCUUCAUGCCGUUUUACCCGUUUGUCCACCUAAAUGUCCCCAAAAAUUUAAACGGACCACGCUGGGAUGAUCUCCAACCUCCCUGGCAUACCCCAAUCGAUUUUCGGCUCACAGCACGCUAGGACCCCUAGACCACCACUGAAAUCGUGGGCUAUAGCACACCGAUUUAGUCUAAAAAUGCCCCAUUCAUGCUUUUCGCCUAUUCGUCCACCCAAAUGGUUUUGAAAACAUGGGCUAUAGCACACUGAUUGGGCCCGAAAAUGCCCCGUUCGCACCAUUUUGCCCGUUUGUCCACCCAAAUGGCCAUGAAAAUUUAUACGGACCACACUGGGACAAUCCCUAACCUCCCUGGCAUGCCUCAAUCGAUUUUUGACUCACAGUACACUCGAACCCCGUGCCCAACCCUAAAACCGUAGGCUAUAGCACACCGAUUUGGGAAAAAAAUGCCCAGUUCGCUCGUUCAUUUCGUUAGUCCACCCAAAUGGCCAUGAAAAUUUAAAUGUACCAUACUGGGAAAAUCCCCGACCUUCCUAUCAUGCCUCGGUUGAUUUUUGGCCCACAACACGCCUGAACCUCAGGCUCACUCACAAAACCGUGGGCUAUAGUACACCGAUUUGGCCCCAAGAUGCCCUGUUCGAGCUAUUUUGCCUGUUCGUCCACUCAAAUGGCCAUGAAAAUUUAAAUGGACCACACUAGGACUAUCCCCAACCUCCCUGAAAUGCCCUGGUCAAUUUUUGUCCCACCGCACGCCCGGACCCCAGGCCCACCCCCAAAAUCAUGGGCAAUAGCACAUCGAUUUGGCCCAAAAAUACCUCGUUCAUGUUGUUUCGCCCGUUUUUUCAGCCAAAUGGCCACAAAAAUUUAAACGGACCACAUUAGGACGAUUCCCAACCUCCCUGGUAUGCCCCGGUCUAUUUUUGGUCAACAGUAUGCCUGGACCCCUAGCCCACCGUCAAAAUCGUGGGCUAUAGUGCACUAAUUUGGCCCAAAAAUGCUCCAUUCGCGUCGUUUCACCUUUUUGUCCAUCCAAAUGGCCACAAAAAUUUAAAUGGAUCACACUGGGAUGAUCCCCAACCUCUCUGGCACACCCCAAUUAAUUUUCAUCCCACAACACGCUCGUACCCAAGGCCCACCCCUAAAACCGUGGGCAAGAGCACACCGAUCAGGCCAGAAAAUACCCCGCUCGCUAUUUUGCCCAUUUUUCACCCAAAUGAUUAUGAAAAUUUAAACGGACCACACUGGGACGAUCCUCAACCUCUCUGGCAUGCCUUGGUUGAUUUUCGGCCAACAGCACGGCCGAACCCCAGGCCCAACUUUAAAAUCGUAGGCUAUAGAACACUAAUUUGGCCCGAAAAUGCCCCGUACCCGCCGUUUUGCCCGUUUGUCCACCCAAAUGGCCACAAAAAUUUAAACGGACCACACUGGGAUAAUCCCCAACCUCGCUGGCAUGCCCCAAUCGAUUUUUGUCCUACAACCCAACUGGACCUCGGGCCCACCCCCAAAAUCGUGGGCUAUAGCAUACCUAUUUGGCUAAAAAAUACCGCAUUCAUGUCGUUUAGCUCGUUUGUCGACCUGAAUAGCCACGAAAAUUUAAAUGGACCAUAUUGGGAUGAUCCCCAAACUCCCUGCCACAUCUCAGUCAAUUUUCUGCCCAUAGCUUGCCCGAACCCCGGGCCCACCCCUAAAAUCGUGGGCUAUAGCACAUCGAUUUGACUUGAAAAUGCUCUGUUCGAGCCGCUUCACCCAUUUGUCCACUCGAAUGGCCACAAAAAUUUAAAAGAACCACACUGAGAAGAUCCCCAACCUCCCUGGCACACCUUGAUCAAUUUUCGGCCCUCAGAACGCCCGCACCCAAGCCCACCCACAAAAUUGUGGGCUAUAGGACACUGAUUUGGCCCAAAAAUGACCCGUUCAUGCCUUUUCGCCUAUUUCACCACCCAAAUGGCCAUGAAAAUUUAAAUGGACAAUACUGGGAUGAUCCCCAACCUCCCUGGUAUGCCUUGAUCGAUUUUCGGCCCCAGCAUGCCCAGACCCCCGGCCCACCCCCAAAAUCGUGGGCUAUAGCAUACCGAUUUGGCCUAAAAACUCCCUGUUCGCGUUGUUUCACCCGUUUGUCAACCCAAAAGUCUUCAAAAAUUUAUACGGACUACACUAGGAGAAUCCCUAACCUCCCUGGCAUACCUCAGUGAAUUUUUGGCUCACAGUACACUCGGACACCGAGCCCACCCCCAAAGCCGUGGUUUAUAGCACACCAAUUUAGCCCAAAAAUGCCCCGUUUGCGUCGUUUCGCCUGUUUGUCCACCUAAAUGGUGAUGAAAAUUUAAACGAACCAUACUAGGACGAUCCCCAACCUCCCUGGCAUGCCCCAGUCGAUUAUCAACACACAGCAGACCCAGACGUUAGGCCCACCCCCAAAAUCGUGUGCUAUAGCGUACCUAUUUGGCCUGAAAAUGCCUCGUUCAUGUCGUUUUACCCGUUUGUCCACCCAAAUGGCCACAAAAAUUUAAACGGACCACACUGGGAUGAUCCCCAACUUCCUUGGCACACUCCGAUCUAUUUUUGGCCCACAACACGCUCGAACCUUGGGCCCACCCUCGAAACCGUGGGCAUUAGCACUCUGAUAUGGCCCAAAAAUGCCCCGUUCGCGCCAUUUUGCCCGUUUGUCCACCCAAAUGGCCACGAAAAUUUAAACGGACCACACUAGGACAAUCCCCAACCUCCCUGGUACUCCUUGAUCGAUUUUCGGCCCACAGCACGUCAGAACCCCGGGCCCAUCCCCAAAACUGUGGGCUAUAUAGCACAUCUAUUUAGCUUAAAAUUUUCCCAUUCGCAUCGUUUCGCCUGUUUGUCCACCCAAAUUGCCAUAGAAAUUUAAACGGACCAUGCUGGGACGAUCCCCAACCUCUCUGGCAGGCCCCGAUCAAUUUUUGAUCUACAACACACCUGAAACCCAGUCCCACCCAUCGUAGGCAAUAAAACACCAAUUUGGCCUAAAAAUGCCCGGUUUUCAUCAUUUCGCCCAUUUGUAGACCAAAAUGGCCACAAAAAAUUAAACGAAGAAUACUAGGAUGAUCCCCAACCUCACUGGCAUGCCCUGAUCAAUUUUUGGCCCACAGUACGCCCGAACCCCUGUCCCACCCCCAAAAUCGUGGGCUAUAUCACACCGAUUAGGCUCGAAAAUACCCCGUUCGGGCCGUUUCUCCCAUCUGUCCACCUAAAUGGCCACAAAAAUUUAAAUGGACCACACUGGGAUGAUCCCCAACCUCCCUGGCAUGCCCUGGUCUAUUUUUAGCCGACAACACGCCCGUACCCCGGGCCCACCCCCAAAACCGUGGGCUAAAGCACACCGAUGCCCGAAAAUGCUCCGUUCGCUCCGCUUUGCCCAUUUUUCCUCCCAAAUGGCCAGGAAAAUUUAAACGGACCACAAUGGGAUGAUCCUCAACCUCCCUGGCAUACCUCGGUCAAUUUAAGGCCAACAACACGCCCAGACCCCAGGCCCACCCCCAAAACCGUGGGCUAUAGCACACCAAUUUAGCUCGAAAAUGCCCCAUUCGCGCUGUUUCGCUCGUUUGUCCAGCCAAAUGGACACAAAAAUUUAAAUGGAACACAUUGGGACAAUCCCCAACCUCCCUAGCAUGCCCCGAUUGAUUUUUGUCCCACAGCACGCCUGGACCUCGGGUCCACCCCUAAAAUCGUGGGCUAUAGAACACGAAUUUUGCCUGAAAAUGUCUCGUUCGCACUGUUUCGCUCAUUAGUCCACCCAAAUGGCCAGAAAAAUUUAAACGGACCAUACUGGGAUGAUCCCCAACCUCGCUGGCAUGCCUCGAUCGAUUUUAGGCCCACAACACACCUAGACCUCGGGCCCACCACUAAAAUCAUGGGCUAUGGCACACCGAUUUGGCUCAAAAAUGCCGCGUUCGCGUCGUUUCGCUCGUUUGUCCACCUAAAUGGCCACUAAAAUUUAAAUGGAACACACUUGGAUGAUCCCCAACCUCCUUGGUACACCCCGAUCAAUUUUUUGCUCACAGCACGCCCGGAUCCCAGGCCCACCCCUGAAACCGUGGGCUAUAGCACAUCGAUUUGGCCCGAAAAUGCUCCAUACGUGUCGUUUCGCCUGUUUGUCCACCCGAAAAGCCAUGAAAAAUUAAACGGAUCACACUGGGAAGAUCCCCAACCUCCCUGGCACGCCCUGGUCGAUUUUUAGCUCUCAAAAAUCCUGGACCCCAGGCCCUCCCCCAAAAUCGUGGGCUAUAGCACAUUGAUUUAGCCCGAAAAUGCCCUGUUCGCGCCAUUUCGCCCAUUUGUCUACCCAAAUGGCAACAAAAAUUUAAACGGACCACACUGGGAUGAUCUCCAACCUCCCUGGUACGCUCCAGUCAAUUUUUUGCCUCAGCAUGCCCAAACCCCCGGACCAUCCCCGAAAUCGUGGGCUAUAGCACACCGAUUUGGCUCAAAAAUGCCUCGUUCACGUCGUUUUGCCCUUUUGUCCUCCCAAAUGUCUAUGAAAAUUUAUACGAACCACACUGGGGCAAUCCCUAACCUCCCUGGCAUGCCUCGGUCAAUUUUUGACUCACAGUAUGCUUGAACUCCAUGCCCACCCCCAAAACCGUGGGUUAUAGCAGACCGAUUUGGUCCGAAAAUUUCCCGUUCGGGCCGUUUCACCCAUUUGUCCACCCAAAUGGCCACAAAAAUUUAAACGGACCAUACUAGGACGAUCCCCAUUCUCCCUGGCAUGCCCUAGUCGAUUAUCAGCCCACAUCACGCCCGAACUUUAGGAUCAUCCCCAAAACCGUGGGCUAUAGCACACCAAUUUGGCUUAAAAAUGUCCCGUUCGUGCCGUUUUGCCCGUUUGUCCACCCAAAUGGCCACAAAAAAUUAAACGGACCAACUGGGACGAUCCCCAACCUCUCUGGCACACCCCGAUCAAUUUUUGGCCCACAGAACGCCCAAACCUCAGGCCCACCCCCAAAACCUUGGGCUAUAGCACACCAAUUUGGCCUGAAAAUGCUCCAUUCGAGCCAUUUCGCCCGUUUGUCCACCCAAAUGGCCACGAAAAUUUAAACGGACCACACUGAGAUGAUUCCCAACCUCCCUGGCACGCCUCGGUCAAUUUUUGGCUCACAGCACGCCCGGACCCCGGGCCCAUUUCCAAAAUCAUGGGCUAUAGCUCACCGAUUUGACCCAAAAAAUGGCCCGUUCACGCUGUUUCGCCCGUUUGUCCACCCAAAUAGCCACGACGGACCACACUGGGAUAAUCCCCAACCUCCCUGGCAUGCCCCGGUUGAUUUUUGGCCCACAAGACGCCCGAACCCCGGGCCCACCCCGAAACCGUGGGCUAAGCACAUCGAUUUGACCCGAAAAUGCCUCGUUCGCGCCGUUUCACUCGUUUGUCCACCCAAGCAAAGAUUCAACAAUAAUACUAAAAAAUAAUAUCCAAAAUGUAGUAAUUAAUAAUAUAAUCAAACCAAGUCACAAUUGAACAAAGAAAAAAGAAAAUAGAUAAACCUUAGAUUUUUUGCUAUUUUAUUCAGCAGCAACAUGAUUGUUUCAUCCAACUUUUGGAUCAAAACCUUAAGUGAAAAAGAAACAUGAGAAAAUAAUUAAAGGGUGGGGUGGGGGGAUUUAUUGUGAUCAUUUGUUAUAUAAUCUUUCCUUGAGCCGGGGGUCUUUCGGAAACAGCCUUUCUACUUCAUCAGAGGUAGAGGUAUGGACUGCGUACAUCUUACCCCCCCCAGACCCCACUAAGUGGGAAUACACUGGGUUUGUUGUUGUUGAUUUGUUAUAUAAUCUUUAUAGUUAUUAAUUAAAAGUUAUAAAUAAAGACAAAAAGGCUGAUGAUAAUGAAUGCAAAAAGUCUUGAAUCAAAAAGAUGAUGAUAAUGAAUGUAAGGAAACUUAAAUCAAAAUCAAAAUAUAUAAAAAGUAGAAAUAGAAAAGCAUGUGUUUCUUGUGAAAUUUUUAAUUGAAUUAGAAAUGGUAAAUAUUAUAAUUUCUUACCUGAAAUAAAUAACCCCAAAGCUGAUACCUAUUUUAUUGGAUAUAGCUGUAGGUUUUAUAAAAUUUAUGAAAAUUUUACUAUGAAAUUUCCAUAAAAUUCAAUACCAAAAAUAAUUUGAUUUAUUUCAUUAGAAAACAUAAACUUCAAAUAUAAAGGGAUUACACGGCAUAAGCAGCACACGUCCUUGGACAUUUUAUUAUUGCUCGUCCAUACUGGACUUCUAAUAGAAUUUGAAUUUCAAAACUAUUAAGGCAAAAUAAUUAUUUUAUAGGUAAAAUUUUAAUUAAUGUAAAAUACCUAAUUAUAGCGAACAAAGUUAAGAUAAAAUCUAACCUUUUAAAAUAAGCAUAUACAUCCAUAUAAUGUGGCACGAAGUUUUUGGUCUAUUAUAAGACGAUGUGAGUUAUAUAUCAUCCAAAAUAUCAUAUUUUUAACACUCGGAACCACUGAAUAAUGGCCCUACACAAUUAGGAACUCCAAAUAAUAUGACAAAACCAAAAAACAUGUUUGCACGCAACAUCACCACCAAUUAAAAUAAACAACCUACAGCAUAGGAAAAAAAAAAAUCAAUUUUUCCAUUUUUUUCUUAAACUCUUAUUCAAUUAUUUUUUUUAUAAAGGUUUUAUAUAUUGUUACCAAUUAAUUAGUUGUGUCUUUGUUUCUUUACGUGAAAUUGAGGGGUUUUUCCUAUUAAAAGUCACCUAAAUGUAGAAAGAGUGGUUUAAUAUUAAUUGUGGGGACAAAAACCUACCAACAUUAAAAUAAAAUCCAUUAUAUUUUUUCUUCCAAAAUCAUUAGGGUUAAAAUAUACUAAUUAGUUUUCUUACCAUAUACUUUAGGAUUUCUUAAUUUUAAAAUUCAAAUAUUAUAAAUAUGAAAAUAAUAAAACGACGGUUUUGUCUAUUGCAAAAAUUUUUAAUGACGGGCAAAAAAUUCAAAUCACUUUUCUAAGGGUCUUCACACUUUUACUAUAUUAUAGAUAUAGAUUAUAGAUUAUAGAUUAUAGAUUAUAGAUAUAGAUUAUAGAUAUAGAUUAUAGAUAUAGAUAUAGAUUAGAUAUAGAUAUAUAGAUUAGAUAUAGAUAUAUAGAUUAGAUAUAGAUAUAGAUAUAGAUAUAGAUAUAGAUAUAGAUAUAGAUAUAGAUAUAGAUAUAGAUAUAGAUAUAGAUAUAGAUAGAGAUAUAGAUAUGGAUACAGAUUAUAGAUUAUAGAUGUAGAUACAGAUUAUAGAUAUAGAUACAGAUUAUAGAUAUAGAUUAUAGAUUAUAGAUAGAUUAUAUAUAGAUUAUAGAUAUAGAAAAAAAUUUCCCCCAACCCCCUCCCCAUCUUUCUUCUAUAUUUAUAUAUAUAUAUAUAUAAAUAAAAACCAUUUUCAAUAGCGUAAAUACAAUCAUGUUUCUAUCAUAUGUUUUUUUCCUUUUUGUCGAAUCAGAAAAAGACAUGAACUAUCAAGCAAACACUUGAAAAAAAUUUUAUCAUUGCAUAAAUUCUCCAAUAAAACUGAACAACAAAAUCGUGUUCCUAACAGUACUACAUUCAGUUUACAUGCAAUGCAGAAACUGAAGUCCCCCUCCCCGCACGAUUUCAGAAAAUCAAAUCAAAGUUAUAUGUGAUAGUUGAUUGUGCAAACCUUCCAACAUAACAAAAAAGCAAAAGUCGGGAAGAAGAAAGACCACAUGACACAUAUUUACAUAGAGAGCUCAUAUGUCCCAACCUUCGAUUAAAAUACAAUUAUAUCUUGCAUUUUAAUUUGUAGAUUUAUACGUGAUUUCUGGUUGGAAGUUGUGAUCUUGAGUUUCCCUAAUGUGAUGGCGUUUAUGGAUUAUUAUGUGAAGAUCCGUCCUUAUAGGCAGUAAGCACUCCCUGCGUUUUCGGCAACACAAUAAGUUAGAAAGCAAGUACUUUGGGUCAUUUAAGGUUCUGAAGUGAAUUGAUUGAGUUGCGUGCAUAGGAACCCUGGGCAAAUAAGUCAUCUCUGUAGCAUUUACACAAAUGAUGGUCCAUAGGAGAAAUUUAGUAACACCCCGCAUUCUCGAGCUAGAAAAUGAACCGUCGUUCCUACAUGCGUAAACUCAAAUUCCAUGGUUUAUACUUAAAUUCAUGUUCCAUGAUCUUUCUCCUAGUAUAUAAAGUGCUUAUGAGGUGAAAAGUGGCCAAAAGCAAGGUUGAUACUAAGAACCUGUCAUUCAUCCGAAAUUGGAUAUUUGAUUCUACAAGGGUUUACUUUAAAUGAGUAUAAAUCUUGAUACACAUCGAAUUUUGCAGCUCAAAACCCACCAAAUUGUAGAUAAUUGAAUUAGCUUUCCAACGAUACCAAUUUCGCUAAAAUUUGAUAAUCGAUCAAAAAGUUAUGACAUUUUUCGUGUGAGGCAGUAAGCCGAUGCGAUGUCGACGCGACGCGUCGGCCUGCGCAUUACAAAAAUUUUUUUCAUGCCAAAUCAGUUUCUAAUUGGUCUAGGGGCAUUUUAGUCAUUUCUCCUCACCCAAAUUUCGUUUAUAACACCGAAUUUAAGCCCUAGAACAGCAUUUGAGCCCCAAAAUUCACAUUCUCCCCAAACUAAAAUCAUCCUCUCUUUCCCCAAAGAUUCAAGAACUCAUCCCUAAGAUCAAGAAUUCCAAGAAAAGGAUCAAGAUCUAGGUUCCAUUCUUCUAACUACGAAAUCUAAGGUACGUGGGGUUUAUCCUAAAACUACAUGGGCUUGUUGAAAACACUCAAUUAUGAUUUAAAGAUCAUCAAGCAUGAAUUUGUUAAAGGGGUUUUGAAAUCCAUGAUUUUAUUAUGCUUUAUGCAUGUUUAAUGUUAUUGUUGUUUUUGCCUUUAGGCCUUAUCCCCUUAAAUUGAUUUACACAUAUAUGUAUAUGUAUGAAGAAGUGAAAUUUAAGAUUUUGUUUGAGAGCAUAAAUUAUGAAAUCCCUCUCCUGUGAUAAAUUCAAGUUUUUGAUCUCAUUGUGAAUGAUUUGAAAUGCAUGAUUUAUGGUUUGAAAAUAGUUUUCUCAAAAUCAUAGUGUUUGAGCCUGAUUUAGAGAUAAUGAGAGGGAGCUUCUUGAUAUAGUUAUGUUUUGUUUUAAAGAGAAAGAGUCACAUGUGAUUGAGAUAUUUGACAUGACCACCUUGCAUUAUGGAAAUGCUGACAAAGAGUUUCUUGCAUAUGUUUACAUGAGUUUUAAAGAAAGGGUUUCUUGAAUUGUUUUAUUGAUAUGGUGGUCCCGAACUUAUGUUUUGAAAACAGUGAUUGUAAUAUGCUAGAAUUGGCUCAGAGAUGUGACUUGCAAGUCAAUGGUAUGAUGAUACCAUAAGUAUGUAUGCCAUAACAGAGUAAGAGAUUUCAGAGUAUAUUUUCAGAAUAUGUUUUCAGAAAAUACAUGAUUUUAAAAGAGUUAAAAAUGUGCUUAAAGAGGGUUAGGUGGUUACCCAAAGAGGGCUUGAGUUCAAGUAACUCUUAGCCCGAAAUCGUAUUUGUCGAUACGGGUAGAUUAUUAUUGUACGCUAGCGACGGCCGUGUGGCGUAGUAGAUACAGAGAUCCAACCCUUGCGGCACACUUGGGUUGGGGGGUUGGCUGUCGAGUUAAUGGCAGUUUCCAUAGAGCCUAUGGAAUUUCAGAGUUGUAGGGUAUACCACCUAGCGCAGAAGUAAAACAAAGAGUGUCACAGAGUUCAGAUGAUUUUACAGAGUCUUUUAAAUAUACCCAUGUGAUUUCUUAUUAGAUGACAUAUUUACGAACUGAUUUAAAUUGCUCUCAUGUAUGUUGAAUAUAAAUUGCUAUUUUGAAUUUGCUCUGCGUACCAGUACAUCUGUAUUGACCCCCCUUCCCUACCUCUCAGGUUCUGAGGCUCAGUCUAGGGGUCUUGAUAAGCAGUAGAUAUUUCAGACAGCAGAGCAGAGUUCAGUGGUGAGCCUUCUAUAUUUCAGAAGCCUAAUGUCUUACAGUCAUUUAUGAUUUCUAUAGUUUUGGUCUAUUGGGGGCCUUAUCCCAGAUAUAUUAGAGAUUUCGCAGACUGAGUCAGAUGUUAUUUAGAUGUUGAAAUGCAGUUUUCAUCAUUAUCUUGAAUUCAGAAUUGACCAUGAUUCCGUAUUAUGUUUUGUUCCGCAUCUUCUUUAUUUAUAUGAACGUUGUGCAUGAUUACCAGAUAGAGAGGGACGUCCGGGCCUUCAUGGUUUGGAAUGCUCAUCACGGCCAGGGCCUCAGUUCGGAUCGUGACAAAUUUGUAAAAAGGUAAUGUUAUGACCACGCACCAAGUGAGACACAAUGUAUGCAAUCCUAUACAUAUUAAGCUUUGAAAAUAGAACUACUUGUGAAUUGCAAGGUGAACCAUUUUUACCAAAAAAUGUUCACGUGAACUUAGAUUUAUGGAAAUGAUUAACUUUAUAUAUUUAUUACUUAUUUUAAGAGAGGCUGAUUUCAAUAAAUCGAGGAAAUACUUUUGAACUUAUGUAUCCUUAUUUAUAAAAUUUAUUGAAUUAAAAGUACAUUAGAAGGGGCAAAAAAUAGUCAGAUUUCAAUUUUCCAUUUAUAUGUUAAAUGGACUAAAGGACUUGUAACAAGAAAAUCAAAUAGGGGAGGUAAACACAAAAAAAUUAGAUGAUUAUGUGAACAAUCACUAAUGAUUGAAUUGUUAAUGCAUAAUAUAAGUAACACGAGUUCAAUAUUAAGAUUGAAUAUGUCAGGUCUAAGUCAUGAAUUCGACGACUCUGAUUAUAAUUAAUCACGAAACUAUUAACAUACCAGGAUCAGCAUGGACAGCAUCGAUGAGCUGCAAAUAGACUUUAUGUCCAAGUAUUUCAUCAACUCGAUCGACAACAGAUGCCUUCACAUCAUCUAAAUCAAAACAAUUGUACCCUUAACUUUUUUGCUUUCACCAUCUUCAGAUAUUUUCAUUUUACUUAGAUCGGAUAGCUUCUGAUGAGACAUAUCUGUACAAUAAAGGGGUCCAAAAGUAAUUAAGGUACAUACAUGUAAUUAAUUAUAGGCAAAAAAAGAAAAAGUAUUUACAUGCAUGUAAGUAUGUUUUGCCCCUUUAUCAUACUUGGAUAUUGCUCAGACUCUUUAAAAAUAUCAAGAGGUAUAUAUGCAUCGAAUAUGAGAGCAUGCAACAGUAUUUUUAAAGGGUUGGAGCAACAUAGGUCGAAGGUAUACUGUUCAAUGAAAAAAGAUACUAAUGUUUGACAAUGCCAUGCACAAAGCACAAUUGUUGAAGUUUAGACAUAAUCAGAAUGACCUGCAUUACUGUAAUUAUUUAUCUAAAAGUUCAAUACACUCAUGUGCAUGAAACAACAUAUACUACACUUGAUUAGGGAGUAGAAAUGUAGAAUUUACAAAGGUAAAGGUAAAAUAGUGUGACAAGAAACAGUGGAGGAAAAUUAUCAAAGAACCGAACAAAACCAUCCCCCACCUGCGAAGGCCGCCACUGUCGGUGAGGAUUCCACCAGUCAACUGCCGCCACCGAACCAGCCGGAGAAAUCCCCACAAACAUAUCAAAGAAGUGCAGCGGCUCCGGCGAACCACAUCGCCAUGCAUCCAGCGACCACCGCCGUCGCAUUGUCCCAAGCUACAAUCCCCGUGCUGAUGCCGUAUAUUUAGCUACUUUCGUCGGGAAGUUUAAUCGUAAUGACGGAUUCUGACAAUCCGUCUCCGGUAUGGUCUCAGUCGCUUGCUGCUACCUCGAUUCGUCGGGAACCGCACUUGUUUGAGGACUUUUGCUUGAGAAAUUAUCGCAAUUUCAUAUGAUUUAAUCCGAUAGCUGAAGCAUAUUUCUGUUCCUUCACCUUAUGUUUAGCAGCAUGGACGACAUCCUUCUAUGGCAAGAAUAUGAUUUAUGUGUGAUAGAGAGAGGAUUCAAAUAAUUGUGCCUUUUUGGUUUUAACAAAUUGUGUUUGGGUGUAUUUAUGGUAAUUUAGCAUAUUUUACUGAGUUGAUUUUUUUCUGAAAUAUCCUUUUUCCUCUUUUACCUCCCCUUGAUUUGUUUGAAUAUUUUUUCUUCCUUUGCUGCUUUCACUGUAUAAACAACCGCAAUUCCCUCCCCAUUCUUUACGACACACGACACGAAAGCUGUAAGCAAAAAGUAAAAAUUUUUACUUUAUUAUUUUUGCCUACUUACAUUCAGAGCAUUGGUCUUGACCCUUCUGUGGCAAUUCCUACUUGAAUCCUGUGCUUCUUGGUUUCUCCUUCUUCUUCUUAUUGUUUAUUAUCGUCAACCGGUAUGUCCCUAUCGACAUAAUUUUCAUUCUCUAUGUGAUAUGUUGUAAAAAUCAUUAGAAAGCAUGCCUAUAGGAGAUAAUUUGAAAAUAAUUUAUUUUCCCGCUUGAGUAUGUUGGUAUCUAGUUUUCUUUGUGUAUGCCGUGGUAUUUUGAUUAUAUUUACAGGUGUCAUUGAAGGGUAUUUCGGAAUUGGAAGAGUCGCUUUGGAAAUUUGGGAAGGGCGUUUCAAUUAUUUUUAGUUUAGUUUUAUUGGUAUGUAAUUUAUUGUACAACAAUGUAAUAAAUUAUGGGGACUGUUUGCCGAUGGGGUUUAUGCGUUUUAUGUGCUACAUGAAUCACUUAGGAAAACUUUGAAUUAGGAUUGAUAACAAACUUAUUUUUUUUCCUCCUAGUUAAAUUAACUCUCCGACGUAUAAAGCUCUAGCAUGUUAUUUUAACCGAUGACAAAAUGGUUACUGUUCAAACGUCUGUAUUUAUGUUGCUGCAUGAUUUCAAUUAAUUUCCAGCAUGUAAAUUUUAUUUUCCAGCCUCCAAGAAUCAAUUUUCAAUAAAAUCAUUGUUCAGCAGUUUAAAUACUUUGCAAACAUAAAUUGAUUCCCAGCAUAUUAAAAAAAGUAAAAAUUACACUUUUUGAAACAAAUUUCCAGAAUAGGGAAAAUGGAUUUCCAGCAUUGUUUUAUAAAUUUUCAGAGGUGAUUUCCUACAUGUUAAUUAGCCAGGUUUUGAAUCUUGUUUUCUUUACCCAUUUUUUGUUUUGGUGUUUUGUCUUAUCUGUUUUUCGUUUCCUUAAUUGGGUAUUUCUGUUUUUGGUUAAAUAUUGUGCCUUUGGUUGGAUUGUAGUUAUAUCUUGAUCAUUCUACAGUUUACUGGACAUGUUCCUUUUUGGAGUUUUUUUGGGGGGGUUUGCUUUUGAGGCAUUUCUGUGUGAAGCUGCUACUGGCAUUGGGAUUUUUUUACAAGCUAUAAGUCUAGCUUUUUAAUUAAGUGCUCUCGGAAAAAAACUAUUCUCUCCCUCUUAUUUUAUGUAACGUUAUUUUUUUUACUCCGUUCCAAAAAAUGCCAUCUUACUGUAAUUAGAAUAUUUAGACCACAUUUCAAAAGUCUUUCAUUGUGCCAAAUAAAAUAGCAUGUGCAGCAGAAUAAAGUUCCAAAUUUUUGAAUUUUAUACAUGUUAAAUAUACUUGAGUAUACUUUUUGUUGUUUUUGUAGGUAUGGGUAAACCUAAAAAAGUCUUCUCAUCAAAGGCUGAAAGUUCAGAUCUUGCGAAAAAGAAUUUCUUCAAAAAGGUAAUUAGUUAUGUAAAGAAUAUAAAUUUCUUAGUUUUGUUUUUGUCUGAGAGUGGUAAACCUACAACAACAACAACAACAAACCCAGUAUAUUCCCACAUAGUGGGGUCUGGAGAGGGUAAAAUGUACGCAGUCUAUAUCAUUACCCCCGAAGGAGUAGAGAGGCUGUUUCCGAUAGACCUCCAGCUCAAGACCCAAUAUAUUCACUGUAAAGUUGAAGAUAGCAACUCAGUUUUUGAUAGCCUAAUCACUGUAAAGAUGGAAAACUGUCAUUUUGUUUAAAAGACAAAGCAUUUAAGAUUACCAAAUAUAAGACAACAUUGAGAUAAUUCUUCACUUGCUGGUUGUUUGUGUUUUAAUUAUCAAAUUAGAAAUAACAUUGAGAUAAUCCUAUAAUCCUCCACUUUUUUUUUUAAUGUUUUAAUGAUGUCUCCUCCUCUUUCUUUCUCUGUUUUCUUGCUUUUUUGUUUUUUUCAGAUUGAAUUUAGUUGGGUGGGCAAGGAUGCACUUCUUGGUGUCCACGAUCAAGGAAGAUGUAGUAAGUGUAGCUUCUAUUAAUAAUUAUUAUUAUAUUAUUAUUAUUAUUAUUAUUAUUAUUAUUAUUAUUAUUAUUAUUAAUAAUAAUAAUAAUAAUAAUAAUAUUGUAUUAUUAUUAAUAGGUAAUUAUUCUUGUACUAUUAUUAUUAAUAAUAAUAAUAAUAUUGCAUUAUUAUUAAUAGGUUGUUGUUGGGCUUCCUCUGCCACGGGAGCAAUAGCGGCUGCCGUUGCCAUAAAAAGAAACCUACAACCUAUUGCACUGUCAAAACAACAACUCAUUGACUGCAUGUUUAACCAUUACUCAAAGCCGGAUGAGGCCAAAAAAUUGAAUAAAAAAAAGUGUUUCCCUCUUUGCUGUGAGAAGGCAUAUAUAUUUGCAAUGGAACAAGGUUUAUGUGAAGAAGAAUAUUAUCCCUUCAUCAAGGAAAGGAGUGAAUGCAAAAUGCCACAAAUAUUACAUGACACGGUGUGUAGCUGUAAUUCUUCGUAUUGUUCAUUUGUAUUGUUCAGUAAAAGUCUUAUCUUUACUGAUCUUAUCUUUACCGUUUUUUUUUUGCAGGAAAUACUCAAGAUAGCUGAUUACCAAUUAUUAGAUAUUGACAUGCUGAGUAAAAAGGAUACAGAAGAAUAUAUCAAAACACAACCUAUCACGUGUACUAUUGAUCUUUAUCCUAGUUUUCGCCGCCACACCGGACAGGUUCUCAUUUAUCUUUUUCAAUUAAUGUUCAUGUGGAUGUCUUCUAAUUUUCUUUCUUGUUUCUUAAAUACAGGGAGUUUACAUGGCCACUGAGAAAGAAGUUGAAAGAUUUCAGAAGCUAUUUGAUGAAGGAAAAAAUAUACCAGCACAUGCUAUGCUGAUAGUAGGAUAUGGGAUGGAAAAUGGUGAAGAGUUCUUUUUGGUGCAGAAUAGUUGGGGGACAAAAUGGGGUUAUUAUGGAUUUGCAAAAAUCAAGCGGCGUUUACUUUAUGAUUUACAAUAUCCUCUGAUACAUUGAUGAGCCUUGUGUUUUUUUGCUGCCAGAAACUAUUUUGUGACAUUUGUAAUAGGUAGUGGAUUGUUUCUUUCAACUGCAUAGUUAAACAUGAUAGGCACUUAUCAUAGGAUGGAUAGCUUCAUUGAUUUUGCUUUGAGAUAGAUACCCACCUCUCUUUUCACAUUUUUUUACUGGCUUUAUUUCUGGUCUCUGAAUGAGAUAAUUCUUUUAGUUUCCACAGUUUUGUUCGUAGCUGAUGUUUGAUUGCCUGUUGAAUAUUGUAUUGCUUCUAUUUGUUCUUGAGAUCUUCUCAUUGAUUUUUUCUUCUUUCGACUUUGUAAAACUAUAUAUAAAAAUAGAUGCUCUCCGAUUUUAGGUGAUUGCUUCAACUGAUGCUCAGAUGCUGUUUUCCGUUGCAAGUUCUUCAAAUGUCCCAAUCUUCGAUUAAAAUACAAUUAUAUCCUGCAUUUUGUAGAUUUAUAUGUGAUUUCUGGUUGGAAGUUUGUUGAGGGAUUAUUAUGUGAAGCUCCGUCCUUAUAGGCAGCAAGCACUCGCUGCACUUUCGGCAACACAGUAAGUUGGAAAGCAAGUACUUUGGGUCAUUUAAGGUUCUGAAGUGAAUUGGUUGAGUUGCGUGCAUAGGAACCCCGGGCAAACAAGUCACCCUUGUAGCACAUGGGCGGAGCUACCUUUGACAAAGGGUGGUCAAAUGCACACCCUUCGCUGGAAAAUUACAUAGUGAAUAGAGGUUAAAUGUUAACCAUAAUGAAUGUAUAUUCAAUUUUGCACACUCUUUAACUUAGUUGAGAAUAAAAGUUGCAUACCCUUCACCAUAUUCCUAGAUCCGCCACUGCUGUAGCAGUUACACAAUGAUAGUCCAUAGGAGAAAUUUGUAAAGAGGUAAUGUUAUGACCACGCACCAAGUGAGACACAAUGUAUGCAAGAGCACUCGGCCUGUACAUAUUAAGCUUUGAAAAUUGAACUGCUUGUGAAUUCCACAGUGAACUUUUUGCCAAAAAAUGUUAACGUGAACUUAGAUUUAUGGAAGUAAUUAACUUUGUGAAUCCAUAUUCUGGAAAUGCAUGUUGGAGUCUCAUCCGAAUCUAUCAACAAUAUCACAUCGUCCUUCGGGAAUAGAAUAGAGUCAAGGAAUAUGUUCAAGGUUCAUAGGAAUGAAGACACACGAUAAGGAGUCAUGAAGUAAAUUUCCUAAAAUGUCACUGUAGCCUCCCGAAGAUAGGUUACGGACGUCUCUGCACCGAUCCGCAGGACUCUACAAACACUUAGCUCUUGUACUAAUACACCAACGAAACCUGGCUCUGAUACCAAUUUAUCACGACCCAACUUUUCAGGUCAUGAUAGUGCCUACCAUAACCCACCAGUAGGCAAGCCAACUUGUAAUCCGGAACGGCUAGUAACGGACUACUCAAUAACUUAAGGAAAAGAAUGCGGAAUAUAUGAGAUAAAGAUCAAUACAUAGACAAAUCUCAAAGCCUGGCGGUAUCAGUACAAGAGCUUCUAAACAUAAUAAGAGUACAAAAGUGAUAUAUCAAGGAGAAAUACACCGAUUCAACUUACCUCUGAAUACAACUUAGAGGCUAGUCUAAUACAUAGGAGGGAGAUAAGUAAUACUCUGAACGUCAAAAGCUCACUCUAAGUAUCCGAAUCAGGGCUACUUGAUAUCUUGCAACCCCAAAAAGACAUAAAACACACCACAAAUGGAGAGCCCAAGGAACCAAGUCUCGGCCAAGAAUGACAACACAAGAAUGAAAAGAAAAUCCGAGAAUGAUUCAACAAUGGUGAGAUAAUAACAUGUAUAACCACACCAAAACAGCAACAACAUUACAUUAAUGUGAUGAACAACAAGCUUACAAUAACAACAACCAACGAUUACAAGAGGACAAGACACAACUACUACAAGAUGACAACAAAAGUAAAGGGAUAGAUAGUUAGACAAAGGUGGUGUAAACCCUAGCAACCAAAGAAUACAUUAAACUCUAAGACCCCUAACACCUCACACGAUCACCUAACUCUUACGAUGACACAAGAGCGGAGUCCACCACUCAAGUGCCAAGGUUUCUCAAAAACAAGAAAUCACAAGAGAUUCCACCCUUGAAUUGUUAUCCUAGUUACAAGUUUCGGUUUGCCUCAAGUAGAGAGAGGGCUUUGGUGUUUCAAAUGUCCUACAACAAUAAUCAACUAAAGAACUAAAGACAUAAAACUAGUCUAUUUAUAGACUUAUUACAAACAUAAGUGAAAUGUCUCAAAUGCCCUUAAUGAAAGGAAGACAAAAGGUGCCUAUGGAGUGUAGUGUAUUGCCCAUUCUUGGUGUGUGAUAUGGUGUUCCUUUGCACUUCACUUGCACACUUUGAGUCUUGGGUUCGACGCGCACUCUCAUAAGUUUAUCUCCGUGAUUAUUCUUGUAUCACUAGUCCACUCGAUGGACACAUCAACGGCGAUAACCCAUACUAUGAUUUGUAGGCUGCAGAGGUGUAUUAUGAGUACCAAACGAAUGGUACUCAAUAGGCAACUGCCAACUAAGCUCCAAAGAUAAAGUAGAUAUAUACAACAUAUAAACAGAAUGAAAACUACAACCAAAAGUUCAUGAAUCAUAUAAUAAGUCAAUGAGAAUAACAAGGGACAACUAUCAUAUUUAUGUCCAAGAGUCUAACAUAAGAAGACUAAGGAAGAAUCAAAGGGAACUAUCCUAUUCCGGCUACAUCCAGUAUAUGACAAUGUAAUACUGUAUAUCCCAGGUCAAUAUACAAGUAAAGAGCGAAAGAAAAAUAUAUUGUAAUAUACAAGGAUAAAGAACGACUAUACAAUAUGAACAAUGAAUGAAGGGAUAUCCGAUAGUACCAUGGCUUCAUCUCAAACAUAAACUAAACUGUCAUGUUCUCAUUUUAAGACCUCAUUAUAAUACUAUCAGGAUUCAAUAUUAUAAUACUAUCAGGAUUUAAUACCAACAUACUUAGGAUUUCUAAUCCAUAUGGCUAGACAUAGAAUAAUCGUGCAUAGUAAUGUAAUCAUAAGAUAGCAAAGGUUGAAGACAUACCUCAAUCUCAAUGCCGGAUCCAUGACCAAUCUGUCAUAAGCUAGCCAUAAUAAUGAUCAUAACCAUGAUAAUAACAAUGUCAAUAACAUCGUAAAUAAUCGGCUACUCCGGACAACCAAAUACCUAGCCGAGCCUGUGCGUACCCCCACCACCCCAGACUCAGAAGGUUCAAUCAACAAACAAUAACACAAGAUAUAUUCUUCACCCAUAUCUAUGCAACCGUCCCAUUCCGACUGAUAGACAUAGGUGCAUAGUGGUGAUAAGCGAUACACAUGCAGAAAUGAAUGCAAAAUAUACCAUCAAUAUCACAAUGCAUCAUAACUGUCCUCAUCAGGACCAUCAUCAUCGUCAUCAACCUCCGGCCUUACCGGGUAUCAAUAUCAUCUCAAUAGUAUCCUCCGAACUCGAACCGAGUAUCAAUAUUAUCACAAUAUCCUCCUUCCUUGCCGAGUACCAUUAUCAUCUCAAUAGUAUCCUCCGAACUCGAACCGGAUAUCAAUAUCAUCAUAAUAUCCUCCGGCCUUGCCGGGUAUCAAUAUCAUCUCAAUAGUAUCCUCCGGCCCGAACCGGGUAUCAAUAUCAUCAUAAUAUCCUCCGGCCUUGCCGGGUAUCAAUAUAUCAUCAUAACUUUUGACACAUAAAUAUAGGCAUAUAAUAGGUGCACAGACGCAAGCCGAUAUACUCAUAAUCGUAAAGAUAUCUAUCUUAUCAAUACACCCAAUUACUCAUUAUUAGUUAACCAACAUUUAUUAUUAUUAAACCGCUAGUUCGCUAGUCAUCACAUAACCUCUAAUUAUUAGCCUAAAUAUUAUCCUUCACAUAAUCCUUAUUUACGGGAUAACAACUACCCACUAUUCAUUUAAUAGUCUACAUCUAACAUCUAGUCUAAGUUCAUCAUUAGAUCAAAACCGUCAUUUAUCCACCAUUCAUUAUUAUCAACUAUUCAUCCUAUUUUUGUUAAUCAUUACUAGACAACACAUUACUACUUGUCGCCUAACCAUAUUUUAUUAAAUGAAAUCAUUCAUUAACUAACCAUCAUCAGCUACCAUGUUCCAACUAAGCAAGAUUCAUUAACUAAUACAUUAGCUUCUUAGCCAUCAAGUGCAAUAGUUAGCUAAUAGACAACUAGUUACCACAUAGCUUAACCGUCUAACAAGAAGAAAAAACCAUAAGAUCAUAUUUCGGCUAUAAUCACAUCAUUUAUAAUGGUAAAUAAUCAUGAACGUACCAAACCUAUACAUGCCAUCACCAGUAUUCAAUCAAUGGAAUAAUAAGCAUCAUACCGCAUCUUGCUCCGUCCCAUACCGGAGAGAUGUGUAUUCAAACAUAUACAUAUUCAUAUUCAUAAAUCGCAAUCACAUCAUUCAUAAUGAUAAAUACUUAGAUAUUUAAUCAGUACCAUAAUAACACGGCCCUUGGCCCUUGGCCCAUUAAUUUAUCCGGAAUAAUCACAACAUCAUAAUCAUGGCCUUAGGCCCAUAUACAUAUCCGAAACUCAUAUCAAUAAUCAUAUCUAUAAACCGUAGCAUAUCUAUAAUCAUCUCACAUAUAUGAGGCAUCUCACAUCUAGGAGGCAUAAUAUCAACAAGCAUAUCGCCUCUAUUAGAUAUCUCAUAUCUAUAGGUUAUGCAUCAGGACCAAGAGGAAAAUCGUCUCUAUAAGCUCAAUAAUUAUAACUAAGAGGAAAAUCAUCUCUAUGGACAAAAUAUCAUAACUAAGAGAAAAAUGCAUCUCCAUAGGCAAAAUAUCAUAAUUAAGAGAAAAAUGCAUCUAUAUGGGUCAAAUAUCAUAAUUCAAAGGAAAAUUCAUCUCUAUAGGCAAAAUAUCAUAAUUAAGAGGAAAAUGCAUCGCUAUGGGCAAAAUAUCAUAAUUAAGAGAAAAAUGCAUCUCUAUGGGCCAAAUAUCAUAAUAAAGAGGAAAAUGCAUCUCUAUGGAUCACUAAUCAUAAUCCGACAAAAAUCAUCACAAUUUAUCAAUUCACCAAGUAAUUCUCAUAAAUAAGGCUCAUUAGUCUCAACUAGGUCUACUAUCCGCAACUAAGCCCACAAGGACUAACACAAAUCUUGACCUAAGUAGGCCGGAUGAUCCCACUUCUAAUCCAUAAUUUUCAUAAUUACGCAUACUAUGCUCCAAACUAGGCUAAGGUAUCUAGUUCAGCCUCUAGAUGUCAAGCAAGCCAUAUUAACGCCAAAGACAGUAACUUUGACUAGAAACAAGGGUGCUCAAGUCAACUUUACCAAACUUACGGUUCCAAAACUAUCACACUAGCCCAAUAAGGCUAAAUAUACAAAUCAUGCUUCAAAUGCUAAACCAUAUUUUGAGCAUAGCAUUAUAUCAUAUCCAUGCUACAAAUUUACCCAAACUAGGAAGAAGGCAAUAGGAUUCUACAAGGGUAUUAAGUAAUUCAACAUACAGGUCCAAAACCCUAUCUAAUCUCCAAACUUAUAUGUAUAUUCAAUACUAAGUCAUUCUAUCCAAUAUCAAUCUUAAUAUUCACAUUCACACGCAAUAUAUAUCAUACAUCAUUCAUGAAGAAGAGUAGACAGAAGCCUACCUCAAGGCUAAACCGCAAAAUCACACUUCAAGCACCACAUGCUCGUCUUCACUUCACAAUCCUCAAAAUGCCAUCACACUAUCAAAAAUAUAAUCUACUCAUCAAUAUGAGUCUAACGAUACCCAUAUUGCACUAUUGUGCUUCGGGUCCAAAAAUAACACCAAAAACCCCAAGUGGAUCCCACAUACGGAAAUCGCAUUUCCGAGGUUAACUCAAUGUUCAUCUAUCACCAAGGAAGCAUAUCCCUCAAUUGACGGGUGCAAACAAACAAAAUUUGGGGCUAAAUCAAGCCCUAGGCUAAAUUGGGGUUUUUGGGUCAAGAACAAUGAAAUUCACCAAUAAAGUGAUGAAAUCCUACCUUAAUCCGGAUGAUAAUCAUGAUAAAAGAUGUUUACCAAGCUCCCUAGACAUCCACAAGACUCAAUUUUGAGUUAUCGUACCCAUUCAAGGGUUUAGGUUCUCAAAUGUGAAAGAAAAAUCCCCAAAAUCGCGAUCUUGGGGUCUAUUUAUAGACCCCUCGGCGAAGAGACGCGGUACCUGUGACAGCAAAGUCAAAAACUUGUUUUUGACCCUCAGAACUCAUUCGGAACCCAAAAUAUAUGAUCCAAUAGUGAAAUUUGAGUGUAAACCACAAUUCAAAUCCAUUGGAAUCAUCAAAACUUCCAUACAAGACCGUUUAGGCAAAAAGUGGGGCCCACCUAUAUAGUUUCGAUUUUAUGACUUUUCGACUAAUAGGUCGAAAUGAGCUCGGAUGCAUUGGGACCCAAACCAAAGGUCUAUCUAGACUAAAAUCGAUAUUUCGGAUACGCUGGCACAGUAAAAAUUUUCAUCCGAGAUCUUUUCGUUGAAAUUUUUGAUCGGUGGCCAAUUGGAACCAAUGAAGACUUCUAAACAGGGAAUUGACUCUAAAAAUCAAACGAACUGCCCGGUAACCGAACCCUCAGUCCCAGCAAGUCAUAAAUGACUUGGGGCAGCUAUGGAGAAGCUCGAAUGGUAAAGAUAAGCAUAAAUAUGAAAAAUGACCUGAAGGGUCAUUACAAUAUUCAUUACUAAAAGAACUUUCGUCCCCGAAAGUCAAUGAAUAGAAAGAAUCUCAAAGGCUCGAAGUGAUAAGGUACUGGGCCCGCAUGCUCCAAGAAUGACUUCCCAGGUAACCUCUACAAGGAGAGAACACAUGCAAGGGAUUUCACCACAGGUAUCCCUUUUUCAACCUGCACCCUCACUUUACUUCCCAAACAACCAAACCUCAACUUCAACCGCUAGAUUGCCUCCAACUGAACUGAAAAGACUGAUGCACGCAAAUAUGAAUCACAACACGUUGAUACCAACUCAAGUAUGUUACUCCCAUUGAGUAAAUCAUCCAAAAUUCCUAAAGAAAAUUGAAUCUUGAGGUCAAAACUGAUAUAACCAAUAUGGGGCCCAUGAGCUAUCAUCUGAACACUUAUCAACUAUAAUCCAACCGACGCCAAGAAGACCAAAUAGAUAACCACAGACCCACCCAAAAAGAUUACUAUAUCAUUUCAACUACUAGACCUUCAAAGUUUAUCACACCCACAAAGUAAUUCUUUUUUUUUUAAUAACCGUGUUGUCCAGCCAUCUUGCCCGCAGCUCAAACUAUUUUAACACGGACUACUUGCACCUCCCACCACCAAUAGUGUUAAGUGUUGCUACCAGGUAAUUCUGUCCACUCAAGGAGAAUAGAUAGGAAGAAAUCACUCAGUGUUUUGUCUCUGCUGGGAUUUGAUAUUGAGCCCUCAUGGUGCUCAACCCACUUCAUUGACCACUAGGCCAACACCCUUAGAUGCCACCCACUAACAAAUUCAUUGAGAAGCAAAAUAUAUAGAGUACAAAGCAGAGAAAGAUACCCCAGCUCAUAUAACCUGCCACAAGUCUAAGGUGAAGCCUUUGUGAUGAAACAAGUCCAAAAUGAGUCGGCCUCAAUGUAUAAUCGACCUCAACUAGUACUAAUUUUUGUAACUUAGUUAAAUCAACCAAGAACUCGUCAGCUAACUCUCAAGAAAGAAUUACUAUUCGUUUCAACUACUACCUCUGCACCCAAUGGUGUGGCCUAGCAGUCAAUAAAGUCGGGCGAGCACCAUGAGGUCUCAGGUUCAAAUCCAACAGAUAUAAGCACUACAAGCAUCCUAUGGAAUUAGUCAAGGUGAACGCAAGCAGGCCCAAACACCACAGUUAUCCAAAAAACACUCUACUAGACUAACCAAGAACUUGUCAACUAACUCUCAAGAAAGAAUUACAACUACUAGACCCCUGCACCCAAUAGUGUGGCCUAGUGUCAAUAAAGUCAGUUGAGCACCAUGAGGUCUCAGGUUCAAACCUCAACAGAGAUAAACACUACAAUGUAUCCUAUGGAAUUAGUCCAGGUGAACACAAGCUGGCUCAAACACCAUAGUUAUCCAAAAAACACUCUACUAGACCUCCAAAUUUUUUCACACCCACUAACUAAUCUUUUAGAAGCAAAAUGUAUAGAGUACAAAGCAAAGAAAGAUACCACAACUCAUAUAACCAGCCACAAGUCUAAAUAAAGGUGAAGCCUUUGUGAUGAAACACGUCCAAAUUAGUGGACUCAAUACAUACUCGACCUCAACUCGUACUAAUUAUUGCAACAUUAGUUAAAUCAACCAAGAACUCGUCAAGCUAACUCUCAAGAAAGAAUUACUAUUCAUUUCAACUACUAGACCUCCGCACCCAACGGUGUGGCCUAGUGGUCAAUAAAGUCGGUCGAGCACCAUGAAGUCUCAGGUUCAAAUCUAACAGUGAUAAACACUACAAUGUAUUCUAUGGAAUUAGUCGAGGCGAACGCAAGCUGGCCCAGGCACCACAGUUAUCCAAAAAAAACUCUACUAGACCUCCAAAUUUUUCACACCCUCGUCAGCUAACUCUCAAGAAAGAAUUAUUAUUCAUUUCAACUACUAGACCCCACACCCAACGGUGUGGCCUAGUGGUCAAUAAAGUCGAUCGAGCACCAUGAGGUCUCAGGUUCAAAUCCCAUCAGAGAUAAACACUACACAUAUCCAAUGAAAUUAGUCAAGGUGAACACAAACUAUCCCAGACACCACAGUUAUCCAAAAAACACUCUACUAGACCUCCAAAAUUUUUCACACCCAUUAACUAAUCUUUUAGAAGCAAAAUGUAUAGAGUUCAAAGCAGAGCAAGAUAACACAGCUCACCAUAAGGGUGUAGCCUUUAUGCUGAAAAGAGUCCAAAUCUAAUGAGCCACAACUAUUUUAUUACUAAUUGUUGCAACACUAAUAAAAUGCAAAAGGGUAUUAAAGGGGCUAAUAAAAUUGUACCUUUAAGCUUUUUCAACCCAUCAACAUAUAAUCAACCACAACUAUUUUACUAAUUGUGAGUGUAAAGAAUGGAUCCUGGGCCUAACUCAACCUAGCUUUGCCUAACUCAACCUCAAAAACAUCUUAGGCCUAACUCAACCUCUAAAGCUAGCUCAUGAGGGGAGGAUUGCUCAAAUCCAUAUAAGGAGAUCAAUUACCCAUUCUUUUCCGAUGUGGGAUACUUAACACUCCUUGCACGCUCAAACCUAGUUAACUGGCGCGUGGACAACAUAAUAUGGGAGCCCAACAUCGGUUAACAACGAUUUGGAAUGGACCUGACUCUAAUACCACGUAAAGAAUGGACUUUGGACCUAACUCAACCUCAAAAGUUAAGCUCACGAGGGGAGUAUUGCUCAAGUCCACAUAAGGAGACUAAUUACCCAUCCCUUUUCCGAUGUGGAUAGUUUAACAGUUACAACACUAAUAAAAUGCAAAAGGGGAUUAAAGGGGGCUAAUAAAAAUUGUACCUUUGAGCUUUUUCACCCCAUCAAUGUGUACACAAGAAAGUGAUCUUAAAGUCAUCCAUGUAAAUCCACUUAGGAAAAAAUGGUCUCUUCUAACACUAAUUUGAGCAUGACCCAUAAUUUCUUGACACAAAUAAAGAUUCUUGCUCAAUAAUUCUUGGACCAUAAAGUUUCAUUUUGGAUGUGCUUAAAAUUCUCAUUUUGUCAACCCCAUAAUUUUUUCCCUUUCAGUUUUGUGUGCUGUAAGCAAAUUGUGAAGGUUUGUUAUGGUCAGUGUAGAUGAUGAACAAGAAAAUGACCAGCUAAUUUCAAGAUUUUUUAUUUUUUUUAAUUUGUUUAUUGACUCACACAAAAUUUAAGGAAUAAAAAAAAAUUCAAUCUUGUGAUAUUAAAUUAAAAUCAUAAUAAAUGUAUUAAUUUCAUUUAUAUUUAGAUAUCGAAUAUACAAAAAUAGAUAUGCAAUAAUAUUUGUUUAGUUUGAAAAUUAAUAGAUAAUUUAUUAAAAAAUUAAUUGAUAAUUUAUUAUUUUAUAUUUAUUUUUGUUAUUAAAUAUUAGCUAAUAAUUUUAUUAAAACAUUAAAUUUAUUAUAUUCAAAAGGAUGAUAAUUAUUCUUAUUAUUUAUUGUCUCAACUUUUAAUUAUAAUGUGUCAAGUCAAUAAUCGAUAAGUAAUAAUGAAUAAAAAAAGUAUUAAAAUAUUUUUUGAUAUUGUAGUCUAUAACAUAUUAUGUAAAAAAAUGAAAUUAAAGAGUGGCUUAAAACAGAAAGAUAUAUUCUUUAAAAAUAGAUUAAAAAAAUAAAAUACUAAAGAGACGUUCUUCUUAAAUGAAUAGAAGGUCGUGUCAAAUCAAAAUCAAACAAACACAUGAAAGUUAAUUAGGUCAAUUAUCAGUUGUUCAUUUUUUUUACGUGAACUAUUAACAUCUACUCAACUAGGCGUAUUUUAAUACAUAGAUGUUGAUAGUGCAGGUUAAAAAGGGGAACUAUACUAAUAGUUAGGAUUUGAAACUCGCGAGAAAAUUGUAGUUUCGAUGUGUUUUUGACCAUUAUCUCGUUUUAAUUUGCUGUGAAUUGAUGAUUAUGGAGUGUUUUGUUAGGUUUAUAUUUGAUUAAUUAUCAAGGGAAUGUUAGGUUUUAUAUUCGAUUAAUUAUCAAGGAAGAUUCUUUGAAAACUUUGGUCUAUAAACAAACAUUGACAUAGCAUAUAAUUCAACGUUCCGAGGAACUAGUCGAGGUGCAUGCAAGCUGGCCAGCCUCCGCACCUUAGUUAUCAAAAAGAUUCAAACUUACUGAUGUUCAAAUUUUGAAUAGUUAGGAAGGGAUAUUGAAUGAUGUGUACCAAAUCUAGAAGCUUAAACUGAGAAAGAAGGGAUAUUCUUAUUUGGUUAAUUUGAGUCUGCAAUAGGCGUCUUUCUUAAAAACAACGGAGAAAAGUAAAUAAAGAGUAAAGAAGAUGGGAGUUUUUAACAAGUUUAAACAGAACAAUACAUCUAUGUAUGUCACAAAGUUUUACAGUCAAUAUUUUCUAUUUUGCAUCAUUUCUCUUGCAAGCACGAGAGAAAUGAUGAGAAAUUCUUAAGCCAAUCUGUGAAUCAAAACGACAAUCACAAAUCAACAUAAAAUUCAUACAAAAGCUAGAGGACCUUGUGCUGGUAAACCGAUUUAACAGCUGCAAGAGGAACCUCAGCAAAUUGCGUAUCAGCCAGGAUUAGUUGAUAAGUGAUCGCUGCAAUGACCUUUUGACAUAAUGAAAAGCAAAAAAGAAAAAGGAUUAGAGCAGAAUUUCAGUUAAGGCAACAUGUAGUCAGUCAUGACAAUUGAUAUAACAUGCAGACUAUAGUAUAAAACCAGCAAAUCUUUGCAAGAACACAACUUGUGCAGUUAAGUAGUACUUUUAUCCAUACAAAUCAUCUAUAUGCAUGCCAUCAAGCUCGAUGACCUUGAGGAUGGAAUAUUUGUUAUUUCCAUUUAUCCCAUCUAACACAUAAUAAAUACAAGUGCGGUAAUGCUUUAGAGUAUACCUCCCCAGGUUCUAUGCCUUUCUUGGUUUUCAGAACUAACGUGCAAUACUUCCUGCAAAAGCAAUCAACAUUCAAAAUGCAGAUUCUCAUCCAUCUGAAAAUUUUGUGAAAUCCAGCAGGCUAUAAUAUUUCUUAUUGCAAAAAUGGUAGCAACAAUGCAGGAUUGUACUAAAAGAGUGUGUAAGUAACAUAUAAACUACAUGCUUAUACCCGUUCAAUAAACAUCUUUCAAGGAACUGUGACUCUUUUCCUGUGUUUGCAGCAUAAUUCAUGUCCGGAAGUUCUUUUGAAUAAAUGUUCAAUACGUCCUGCCACAGCAUAGACAAUAGAGUGAGGACUAUACAAGGCAACAGCUUAAUGUAAGCAUUAGUAUGGCCAAUUUGUCCACUUUUACUUGUCCCGUUUUACUUCAAUAAAGUCAAUCUGACUAAACUUGGAAGCUCACUAUUCGAAAACUAUACAAAAAUGCUAUAAGUUGCAAUCGUUCUCGUGUUAAUAUGAUGAAAUAUAUAUGCUCUUGAAAAGCGAAACCUGACAAAUAAUUCUAAUGUAAACUUCCCAGCUUCCACAACAACCUCGCAAUUUCCAUAAAAUUACAAACAAAAAAUGAAAAUUAGAGAUCUCAUGAGAAAAUUACUCCCUCUAUCUACUUUUACUUGUUGCGUUUUGCUUCAAUAAAGUCAAUCUGACUAAACUUCCAAAAUCACUAUUCGAAAACUAUACAAAAAAUGCUAUAAAUUGCAAUGGUACUCGUAAUAAUAUGAUGAAACAAAAAAUAAUACAACUUCAGUCAAAAUUCAUGCAGUUUGAAUCUCAAAAAAAGAAACGUGACAAGUAAAAAUAAACCGAGAGAGCAUUUGAACCGUUACCGGAACAAUUUUGGUUCUUUCUUACCGAUUGAUAUGGGAGAAGAAGAUGAUUUCUUGGCGCCAUUGUUACUUUCCAAGUUUUUUUUUUGGGGGGGGAGAAAGGGAGAGAAAUGAGAGGUUUUGUAUUUAUAGGUGAGGAUUUUAAGCGGGAAGAGGGAUAGGGAUUUUUGAAUUUUCGAUUUAGGGAUAAUUAUACUUUUGAUUCCUUAAUUAUUGUUCCCUCCGUUCAUUAAUAUUUGUUUAUUAUUGAAAGACCCUUAAACUAAAAUCAAGCGUAAAAAAAAAAAAAUAGAAGCGUGCAAUAUACAUACAUUUUAUGGGUAUAUACUUUCUCAACCUUCAAAGGUAACAUAUCCCUCACAAUGUGCUUGAGUAAUUUAUGUUCAACAAUAUGUGAUGUUUUCUAUUUUAUAGAGCCAAUUUAGUUUUUAUUGAUUGUUUAGUAGUACACAGCUACUUUAUAGGGUGAUUUUGGUAUUUUCAAUGGCCUAUAUACGAACAGUUCUCUUGCCUAAAUUUUUGAAGUGUUGUUUCUUCACGGUCUGGGUUGACCUUUCAUUUCUUGGUUUAAGCUGCCAUUCUUAUUGCAGACUAAGCUACAGUUUCUAAAGGAGUUUCACAAAGAAGAUUGAUAAUAAAGAGAUGAACAACACAAUUGUUGAUUUUGAUCCAUCCUUCAACCUGUGGUUUCUGUCACACUGUGGAUGGAACUAGGUUGCUUGUAUGCGUAAUGUAUUUUUAUGGAGGAUUGCCCAACAACAUUUUUUAGAGUAAUACGACCCACGUCUUCAUAUACAUUGUUAUCACUAAACUAUACUAGGUAAUCAAUAAACAUGCUCAGAUUUCAAUAUCUACGAGGAUAUGGCGCUAACCCCAAGUGUCUCGCCGGCCAAUAAAAGGAAUACAAAUAUCUAUUAAGCUUCAACCAAACAAGAAGAUAUAGAAUAAUAAAACAACACAAUUAUACCGUCUUUAACUUAAAAGAGCAAUCUUUUCCAUAAAUUAUAACAAAGGUCAGCCACAGUAGUUCUUUAUACUUUUCACACUAGACUUUGAUAAUCCAUUGUCAGUUACUAGAAACUAAACCAUUGAGGCACACACUUCACAUCAAAGAUAUGCCAUCACUACCCUUCACCUACACAAAAGCACAAGAGAGUGAGUUAGUAACAUGCUCAAACUUUGUUAAUUCUUUUAAAAAAAAAAAAAAAAACUAAAAACUUUGUGGCGCAGAUCAGGUUUUGGUAAAUAAUUUCCAGGCUCCUUUAUUAAGCUUAUACCAAACUGAAUAUUAUAUUUACAUUUAUUUUCUAAUAGAAAUACCUUUUUUCCCAUUUGACUUAAUUAAGCUUUCUCAGGACAAACUUAUCUACCAUAAACUGCUAAUUCGUUCUCUGAGAUAUUUAAAGUUAUGAAACUUCAACCAAAAAAAAAAAGGAAUGAAGUAAUGAACAGAUCUCAUUACCCUUGGCCUGACGAUAAGGACCUUCAAAGAUUUAUGUAGACGGUCCACCACCUUAACUUGAAAAUAUUCCGACUCGCCAUUCUUGACCGAAAGGGUUAUAUAGUAAGUUACGUCUCUACAGCCAUCUUCGUUAACCCUGAUAAUCUCAUUGACCUCAUAUGUAGUGCCCUAACAUGAAUACACAGGAAAUUUCUCAGCUUUCUAGAGAAAAUAAGGAAAAAGAACAAGUAGACAGACAAAUGGCAAGCGUUACUAGAGCAUACAUGUUUUUUGUUGUACCGUUCAAGUGCCUGUGCGGCAUAACCCUUCAUCAAUUUAACGUUCUCGAGAUCUUCCAAGUAGUACCACAUCGGGGUUAUGGAACGGAAUGGAACCGAACUAGGAUAAUCUUUAAUGUCAAAUCCCUAUCAAAGUAAGAGUCGACCAAAUAGAGACAAACAUCACUUAUUGCAACCAACCAAUAUGUUGUAAGAAAUAAGCUUUGGAAAAAAAAUCAGUAAGUUAUAUCAUAUCAGACAAGUAUCCAAGAAUUUUAUUUGCUUGUAAGUACCACAUAAAAUGGUGUUGUUUUUCACAUUUCGUUUAUUUUCAUUAGCAUAUCCACAUAUGAUAUUCAAUCUUUCCCACGAUUCUGACAUAAGUGAGCAUAUCAAAACUAGCGAAUUCCGAUCCCCCCCCCUUUUUUUGAGAAAGUAACAUCGAUCCCCCUUUUCUUUUAUUAACAUGCUCUAUACUAAAAAAGACUCAAAAGUCACUUCCUGCCGAAUUGCACCACUUUGGUUUAGGGCCUAGAGAUUGUAACAGUUGAAAGCCAAAACAAUUGAAGGAGCAGAGAGAGCAAUCAAACUUGAUGUUUGGCAUCCACGUGGUGUUGUUUAAUGGUGGUGGUUACUGUUUGACUACCAUAUGAUGCCUUCAAAAGAAACAAGAAGAAGUAAUGCUAGAAAAAAUAUAUUUAACCCAAUGCAGAAGUUAUACGGGAUUGAAACAUGGAAUGUCAUUAGAAAUUUCAGUUCCCAAAAAUUCUUCCUUCUUUUUGCUAGUUUCAACAACAACAUCCCACAGGUUGAUUCUGAGGAGGGUCGAAGAUAAGAAGUUUUGUUUCAGAAAGACACUCGGCUGAGCAAUAAGUGAAAAAGAGACAUUAGCAACAAACGGAAACAGCAGCAAGGCGAAACAACUGGUACAUGUAUUAAUCUAAUAGUCUCCUGCGUUUCAUUAGACUGAAACUCAAUAUUAUAAUCUCCCUAACCGUACUGAUGUGCCAAGUCGUCUGAACAAGUUAUGGAUACAACACAUUAGAAAAUAUGCCAAGGAGUGGCGAACCAACACCCCUUUUUCGGAAAAUUACAUUGCGCAGCUAGGAAAAAAUGUUACAUGUAUAUACUACAUACUAACGCCCGUCGAUUCGGGCUUAAGCCAACUCGACCAAGGAGGGAGCUUAAAUCUAUUUCAAUAAUAGGAGCAUAACCUACGACUAAUGUAUGUAGACCAAGGACUUUGCUUCUUCGUGAAUUUACUUCUUUAUACCACCUUGACAUCCCUUGGUGAAAGCUGUAGCUCCGCCAAUUAGGACCCAACCACAUAAGCAAAUUCAUGUUAUAUUACCUAUUUGACGGAAAGCAGUCUAUAUAAAAGAUGAACUUGAUGGAGAAAAGGCCAUCUAUAGAACGAAAGGUCAAAAAACACAUCUAAAGUAUUCCAAUUUUUGAAUUUCAUGCCUAAACUAUCACCAAUUAGUUAGUAAAUGUUAAUUGUUUGAGUUUCAUACCUAAACGGAAACUGACACAGUUGAUAGUAUAGUUUAGGCAUGUAAGUACUGAAAAUAUCGAUCAGGAUAGUUAAGGUGUGUUUUGGACCAUUAACUCAAAUCAAUGUAUAUACAAUUAUGCAAGCGGUUUUUCUAGUCUAGGCACAUAGAUAGAUGAUAAAGCAAAUAGGUACCUCGCUCUCCUCGAUCUGAUCCACAUACUUGUUCCAGCACUCUAUAUCCCCGGGAUUCGGAAAAUACCCUACAUCUUUGUGGGGAAGAAAAUGGUGACAUUUGAUGUGGCUUCCAUCCAUAGGUAAUGGAUCCAAAGUUUUAAAAUCGCUCGAUUCUUCAUCUGCAUCUGAUUCGCUGCUCAAGAAGUUCUCCGAUUCGCUCGAGUCCGAUUCACUUUCAUUUUCACCUUGUGAUGGUGGUGAUGAUGGUGGUGAUGAUGGCAGCUGUGGCUUUUCACCUUCUGCAUCUUCCUCUUCAUUCACCUUUUGUUUCUUCACCGACGGCUCACUGUAUUUCGAUUCGCUUGAUGGCGGUGGCGACUUUGGUGGUUGCAACAUCAUGUCAAAUCGACAAAGAAUCUAAGAUUUCGGUAUGGAGUAUUGCCCCAAUAGAGCCUUUAACUAAUAUGGAUAUUAUAAAUAAUAAAAAC